GUAAUUCUUAAAGUAGUCAAUUGAUAAUAUCCCCUAAAAUAAAUGUUCGUAAUAUGUUCUCAUUUUAAUGCAACUGAUUGUUUAAUAAAAUUGUAUUUCUUUGUUAAUCUUUUAUCAUGUGCAUGCUCAGUGAGAAUUUGACUUACUAGAACGCAAGUUUGACUCUUCAUUUAAAUGUCUCUUGUAUCAUAUCCUUCAAUGUUGAGUGUGAUUCCAAUAAAAUUGAGUAGGGAGAUCCUUAAAUACCUUUUCCUUUUUUCCAAGGGCCUGCCAAAUUGCUCUAAGUGGUUCUACCCUUUAUCAAUGAAUAAUGAAAAAAAAAUUUUUAUUAAAGCAUUUUGUUCCUUAAAUGGUGACUAAUAGUACCCCUUUUUUUUGGAGAGGAAAGCCAAACAUGCCCAAAGAGAAUCAUUUACUUUCCUCUAAUGUAUUUUCUAAUUCGUUUUGAGCCUUGAAUGUCUGUUUUGGUGCGUAUUCUCAUUCCAUGUCGAAUCUUAUCCAUAUGGACAACCCCACUUACAAAAAAGUCUAAUGAAUCUAUUGAAGUUCAUAUGAGGUUUGUGCUUUAGAUUUAGACCUCUCUCUCUCUCUCUCUCCACUUACAUGUCUUUCACUUACCUGUUUGCAUGCAUGCCCAUGCACACACUUUCAAGAUAAUACACGGUCACUCGUACUUGUGUUUUGGUUGAAUUUCUGGCUGCUAACCUCUGUAAUUCAGUUUGAAACUUGCCACCCUUAGUGCUUCACUCAAAUGGUUGGUUAGGGUGAGAUCUGUAUCGUUUUCCUGGUCUCUUUCCAAGGUUAUCUAAAGGGAUUUGGCAGUCUGAUUCUUUAGGGAAUAUCAUUGCAUAAGAUAUCUAUUUUUUGUUAAUGAAUAAUUUCUAUUUAACUGGUUAUCUAUAUAAAUUGGUAAAUUUUAACUGCAUAAUUUGCAUGCAAUAAGAUUUUAUAAGAAUCUUGUUUUCAACUCAUGACUUAGACUAAUGUGAUAUGUUGAGCAUUAAGCUACAAGAUCUGCACAUCAAAGUGCUUCACAAUGUUAAGGAGAAAGCAUCUUUUUCUGCUUCUUCAUGUGAUUUAAAGUUUCCAAGGUACUUAUCCAAUAAAAUAUCUUUCAAGACUUUGGAAAUGCUUUUAUGUAUGACUGAGAGAAACUUGUUGGGAUGGUUUUUAGCAACAGACGGAGUUAUGGACUUUGUGUCGACUUGUUAUUGAUUAAGACAGUACAUCGGCUGAUCUAUUGGCAUCAAGCAGCAGAUGCAGAAAUUAUGGGUGGCAUACCAUUGUAUCCAAAUAACAUACUACAUUGAUUUUUCUGACUUUCUGUUGGUCUCCGAGUGAAAUGCAGGCAUUUGCAGAUGAACUGGGGAUUCCUUUCCUGGAGACGAGUGCCAAAGAUGCAAUCAAUGUGGAGCAGGCUUUCUUGACCAUGGCUGGCGAGAUUAAGAUAGAGUAAAAUCACUUAACUCUUUCCUUCUUGCCGACUGUUCUUAUUUAACAAUCACCAUUAUUGCUGGUUAUAUGCAUUGUGAUGAAAAUUCUUCAAUGAGUAACUUUUUACCUAAUGUUUUCUGUUGGAACAAAUUACUCUGGUAGAAAAGCCCUACAGGGUUUGGGAAAUCCCAUGAUGUGAUGAUUGUGAGCAUUUUAGACACCGUGUGUGGGUUUAUUUUGUGACUAUAAAAUGUUAAGAUUGUUUCUAGUUUUGGUUUGUAGUGCAUAAAAGGAUUCAAAAUUUGACAUCUGUCUAAAUCAGAUUAAUAACAUGAUAAUGUACAUAUGCAAGAUGUGAGGAAUUGUUUUAUCUCACCUCUAAACUUUAAGAAAUGGAAACAUUAUUAUUCAAAAUAUUUAACAUUUCCAGAAUUGAUAGUUGUCUAUUUGAGCAGUGACUGGUGGUUAUCAUGAACUGAUGUGCGGUUGUGGUUUCAAAUCUUGGUGAAACCUGUUGUCAUAUGCUGAUUAACAUAGAUAGUCUCUGAAACAAUUUGUUGAUUCACUAAUUAUGAGUUCAAAUUUGAUGCAGAAUGGGCAACCAGCCUACUGCAAACAAAUCUUCUGGAACAGUUCAGAUGAAGGGAUAGCCAAUCCAGCAAAACAGCAACUGCUGUGGUUAGCCGAGCAUCUUAUUUUACUUCUACAUGUUAGCUGACUGAUUGUAGACAGUUUUAACUAUGUUGACUGCAUUAUCUUAUGAAUCUUUUAAUCUGUCAAAUAUUUAUUUCCUGCUUUAAGUUCUUUCCCGUUUAUAACAAAUUUAAUUUCUUGCUCCAUUGCAUUCCAAAUUCCUGUCAAUUUACAAGGGAAAAAGAAAAGAGAGACGAAAUGGGAGAAAAUGGUCAAAUUUGUUAGGGGGAGAGAGCUGUUGAAGUAGUUUUUGUUCUUGUUUAUCGUCGUGACCCUCUUGUCGCUUAUCUACGACCUGGAAGUCCGGUCAUAUCGGAUGGGUAAAGUUACCGAAACGGCACCAUUUUGGGUGAAAUAUCAUAUUUAUGUAACACUUUUGAUAAUAUUUUUAUGCAACAAAAAAAUGUUUGCAGUACCCUUUUCACAUCGGAUGAGAGCAGUCUGGAUUCUGGCAUCACAAGCUAAUGCUUUGAUUUGCUUAGUUUGUUUUUUGUUUCUGAUAUUUUCUCGGCAUCGGGUGGGAUAUUGUUUCUCUUUUUUUUUGUUUGUUAUGGAAUUUGGAGAUAGUGUAAAUGUAUGAAGAUGAAAUUGUUGAGUUGGUUUUGUUAUGGAAUUUGGUUUACUUCACUGACCAUUAAUGCGCAAAACCUCGUAAUGACCCUCAAAAAUCCCGUACAUAAUUAAAGAAUUUCAAUUUUAUAUGUACAUAAAUAAAUAACUCUCAAAUAUAUUAUUUGAUAAUCCCAAAAACAACAAUUCACUCUAAUAAAUCUCGUAGUCAAUACAUGGUCUAUAUUGUAAGUGUUUUCGAGACUAAUUCAAAAAGAAAAUACGAAGGAUAUAUAAUUGACUUUUACUUGUUAUAAAGAAUUCUAAAUAAAUUCUUAUACGCAUCGCAGCUAAUUACAGUCUUGGUACUUCAUUAGGUUUUUGUUAAUUUUCUAUACAGUUGUGCUGUGCAUAAAAGUUUUGUUAAAUGAAAUCGAUAGGUGAGGAUUAAUUAAUCAAUUAAUUAAGAUCCAGUUAAUGUAAUUAAUUUUAUUUGAUUUUUUUAAUUCGAGUUCUAAAUUAAUCAAUUAAUUUAGAUUCAUGUGAAAUUGAAGUGAAUUAGUUUCGAUUUGUUUUUCGUUCUAUGUUUGUCUGUGUUUACUCUUACUUUUUUUUUUGUUUAAAUUUUCGUUUUCUUAUUGUUUAAUUAAAAAAUUCGAAAACCCAUUAAAUACAUGUAAGGACUCACUGACGCCGAACCAUAUUAAUUUAAAUUAAUUUUCAACUGAGAUUAGAAUUUUGAAAUUACAUACACAAGCACGCCCAAUUAAAAAGUAGUAAUUAUAAAAUAUUUCAGUACUCGUUUUACCAUCCAUUUGAGUAUACACAAACACGCCCAAUUUGAAAAAAAAAAGUAGUAAUUAUAAAAUAUUUCAGUCGUCCACUGUUCAAUCACCAAAAACCAAUUUACCAUCCAUUUCAACGCCUAAUUUGAAAAAAGAAAAUACUAAUAAUAAAAUAUUCCAGUCGUCCAUCCUUUCACAAAUCAAAAAUAUCACCAAAAACCAAUUUGUCAUCUAUUUCAACAUAAGGUAUAUGGGUUAACAAGUCCCAAUAUCGUCCUCCAUCCUUUCUGCACUUCUUUUUUAUCAAUGGACAUCUCCAGAUCCGUAAUCGCAAAAGUGAGGAAGGCAGGCCCUUCUCCGGAAAGUAUUUGAGCUUGGGACAAUCACAGAGAUACAAAUGAGUGAGGUUUUGAAGAUCAACAAUUGAAGAAGGUAGGCGUUCCAGAUUUGAAAAAUUAUAAAUGCUCAGAGAUGUUAGAGAGGCAGGAAGAGGAAGCGCGGUCCCUAAUCUUUUGUCCUCUAGUGGAAAUGACACCAUGUCGUCAUCGCAUCUGCUGAUUCUAAGAUGUCGCAGAGAGGAGAAUCUGUGAAAUCCCCGUCCCCGCUCAAUCAUUGACUUCCAAAUCUCCAUAUUACCCCAAAUAUUAAGUGACUGAAGGUUGGUGGGAAGGCCAUCUUCUUCUUCAAGGCUUGCAAGCUCAACUCCUCUUACUAUUGUUAAUUCUUGAAGAGAGCUCAGAUUGUGCAAUCCCUUGGGUAAGGCCUCUAGUCUCUUACAAUCAAAUAUCGUCAGCCUCGUGAGUUUCGCACAAGGCAAUCCCCCUUCGGGAAAGGACUCCAGAUUUCCACACCUCUGUAUACUAAUCUCUCGAAGCUGGUGGAGUUUAUGUAAACCAUUCGGUAAAAUUUUCAGAUUUUCACACUCAGAAAUGUAGAUAUCUUCAAGAGAUGUGUUGUUGUCCAACCUUUCUGCUAUUGACUCCAGCUUUGAACAUCCAUUAACAUGAAGGGACUUAAGAGACGGAGGUAGAUUGCCAACUUCAAGGGACUCGAGCGUGGCAGGUAACUCGUUUUUUGAAAAUAUACAUGUCAGUGACGGACAACUGCUAAUACGCAACUGCUCAACAAGAGAUGAGGUGUACCUUCUGCUGCUGUUGCUGCUACACUGGAUGCCCUCUUCCACUGUCAAAGUCCUUAGAUUAUCACAAUUAUGGAUGUUCAACAUCUUAAGGCUCCGUGGUAGCUGGACAGCAGCAAUAUAUGUCAACGAACGACAAUCCUGAAUAGACAAGAUCUCGAGAGACGAAUUGGUGUCGCACAUCCAUGCCUCUGGUAACGAUUUCAGUGCAUCACAAUGCCUAAUCUGAAUUUUCUUCAACUUGGAAGGCAGAGCAACCUUAGGAAAGGAAACAAGGGAACUGCACUUGCAGAUUUCUAUCUCUCUCAAGGAACUGAGGCUGAACGAUGAUUGUGGCAGCUUCACAAGGCCUUCGCAAUUACUCAAUCUUAGAUAUUCAAGUCUGCAUGACAACUGGCAGAGCUGCUGUUGUUGGUCUUUCUCUUCCUCCGCGACCAAGGAUUGAAGUUUGGGACAACUUGUAAUCGUCAGACUUUUGAGAGAGCAAAUGUCUUGCAGUAAUUCGUUAUGGCUCUUCCAUAUACAUGUUUCAUUUUGAAUAUUAUUUAUCUCCAAUUCUUCCAGUUUUGGUAUUCGCGGCUUCAAUGGCCCUGCGAGAAACACUUGAUUUGAUGUAUCUCUACAAACCACUGAAUUCUGUGAGCCGAGAUGAUCAGUUGUACUUCUCCACACAACCUUUUUACAUCCACGAAUUACCAAUUUGCAAAGAGCUGGAUGACUCGCAAUUGAAAUUGACAAUUCUUCACAUUCUCCAAUAACAAGCAUCUCCAAUGCAGGAAGGCAUUCUGGCAAUGUUCCUCGCAGUUUAGAACAUCUUAAAAUGCGAAGCUCUCUCAAUUUAGGAAACCCUUCAACUCCCUGACUAGAUCUAAGAGGAAUCCAGUCUUCCCAUUCUUGCGUGUCUUCAAAAUAAAGAGUUUCCGAAGAUGGAAAAGGAAUCGGGGAAUCAUUACCAUAGAACUCUGAACCCGAACUCUUUACUCUACUCAUUCCACGCACUGCAAGAUGCUUUAGAGAGGGCAGUUGCCCCACUGACGGCAGGACAGUACACAUGCCACAAACUUCAAAAGUUAAGGUCGCUAAAUUUGAGAAUGAUGAAUCUCCCAUCCGAGUUGGACAUUCUUUACCUCCAUAGCCACUGAUACAAAAUUGUUACAGAUUUUCAUGAGGAUUUAGCAUGUCGACCACAUCCUUUUCAGUUUCUGCCUCCCUUGAAGACAAACCAUUGGUACUCCGUGUCCAUCGGAACCUUAACACUUUAAGAUUCUUCUUUCCAUCCAAUUGAGCCUCCUUCGCAUCACCAAUGUCUUUUACGUUCUCCAAUUUUGAAAUGUUAAGUGUCCCACGAAGAUGCGUCAACAAUUUUAGCUCUCGUAUCCCGGAACCACUGUCUUUUCCCACAACAAAAUUACACAGCGUCUGAAGGCAAGUCAACUUGCCAAUUCCUAGUGGCAUCUCCUCCAAUGAAUAUGUAUUUGAAUUAUUGAGAUGAUGCAAUUUGAUGAGAUUUCCCAUGUCUGCACACAACUUCUCUAGUUGAUGACAAUCUUCCAACAAAAGCGUGUGCAAAUUGUAAAGCAUGUUGACUGAUUCAGGCAGAGUUCUAAUCUCAGUUCCAGAUAGGUUGAGGUACCUUAAAUACCUCAAAUCACCAAUUGAAUCCGGUAGCUCAUAGAUGCAAUAUCCACGCAAAGAGAAGACCCUCAACCGUUGGAGUUUGAACAACUUAGGAAGAAUGCUACGAGUCAAGUGUCUAAGCGAACGAUUUGACAAUGUUACUGGUAAAAAAGUUCGCAAAUGGUGGAUAUCAUGUAAAUCCUCAAACCUUUGAACGCCAUCACAACCUCCACGAAUGAAUGACAGGUGACGAAAAUUUUUGGAAAAACUUUGUUGCUUGUUAACCUCUGAGUUAGACUCCAUUGUGAAGUAUAUCUCCCCCGCAGCCCAUUGAGCAAGGUCGUUGACAAGGUCGUGCAUCACAAAUCGUGAUUUAUUGUUGCUUGAUUGCUGGAAAAAAGAUCUUGAACGUAGCUCUUGAAAGAACUUUCGACCUAGAUCUUCAUUAGGAUUCCCUCUCUCUUUGUGAUCCAAGAAACCCGAAGCACACCAUAAUAAAAUUAUCUCCUCCUCUUCAAAUUCAUAAUCCUUUGGAAACAAUGAGCAGUAUGCAAAGCAUUGUUUCAAAGGUGCCGAAAGAUAAUAGUAGCUCACUCUAAGCGCCGGUAUAAUGGCACAUCUCUCUUCUGGUAAAUCCCAUAUCUUGCAACUGAGCACACCUUCCCAAUCACUCCGGUCAAGUUUACCACGUAAGAGACCACCAAGAGUUUUCGCAGCUAAGGGCAAGCCGUUGCAUUUGAUCACUAUCUUCUUGCCAAUUUCCUCCAAUGACUUGUUUGAACUGAAAUCUCUUGUCCCCAAAGCGUGUUGAGCGAACACAGACAGACAAUCAUCAUUUGACAACUUUUUCAAUUGAUAAGCCGGAGCAGUCCCCAUGAUGGCUGCAACCCCUUGAUUACGAGCUGUGACAAUAAUCUUACUUCCCGGUGCGCCAGCUUCAAAUGGAGGUCUGAGUCGAUCCCAAUCAUUGUAAUUCUCAUUCCAAACGUCAUCUAAAACAAGCAAAAAUUUUUUUCCAGAUAGUUGCUUAUUCAAAUCCUCUUGAAGCUUAUUCAAGUUGUGAUUAUCCACGUUCUGGUCAGGAACAAUGGAUAUCAAGAUUGUUUUUGUUAGCCCGAAAACAUCGAAAUCAUCAGAGACACAUGUCCAUGCCUUGAGAUCAAAAUGAUCCUGCACUUGCUUAUCAUUAUAGACAAGCUGAACGAGAGUGGUUUUGCCCAGCCCGCCCAUACCUAUGAUAGGAAUAACAGAGAAUUCACCAUCGUUGCUUAAAUCAUCCCUCAACAGCAGUUCUACAACAUCCUUCUUUUCUGUUUCUCUGCCAUAUACUUUGCCUUCCUUCACCAAAGAAGUUGUCUCUCGCCUUUGCCUGUCUUUUCUGGAUCUCCCAGCUGAACUUACGUUCAAACCGAGCGAGUCUUUCUGUGUUACAAUAUCUUGAAAUCUGUCGUUGAUCUCUUUGAUUUUGGACAUUAUGGCGUAAUCGAACUGAAUCGAUUGUGGAGUAAAAGUGGUGCAGCAAGUAGGAAUGAGCUUCUGAAACUUACUUGUUCUUGUACGACUGCUACUGGGUUGAUCAAGAGCAGCAGCAGGUUCUCCAUUUCCAAGCAGCAACUUCCUCCGGAAAACCUCAGUUUGAAACUCAUCCAACAGGUCCUCAACAUCAUAAGCCAAGAUCUGAAGCUCGCCAAGCCACAACUUCACAGACUGAUCAGUCGUUUUCUUCUCCUCAGCAUCAUCAAGCACCGCCUUGAUCAUCACCAACAUAUUCUUCCACUUCUUUAGGUCGGCCUGGAUUUGCUCUUGGCGUGCAAACAAUCGAAUCCCCUCUGAAGCUAACUUAUUAACCAGCAAAUCAACGGACGCCGUAAGGAUUGCCUCUCCGAUGAUUGACAUUUUUUUUUUGUUUUGCAAAGAAAGAAACAGAAUUUUGAGUUUUGAAAAGCAAAAUGAGAAAAUUGAACAAUAAGUGUGGAGGGUCAAGCAAAAUGCGCGUAACAAGUCUUCCGCUUCUUGUUUAUUCCAGGAAAGUGAGAAUAAAAACAGAGCCCACCACCCAUUAAUAAUUGAGCAAUUCACCAAUCACGAGUCACCACCACUCGUUACCAUGAAUAUAAUAAAUUGCAGGGUCCAGCAACAUUGACCCAGUGUCCGGGUAAAUGCUGAAUAAAGAGGAAAAUGGAAUGUAUCCCCUACGAACCUUCGCUUUACAAGUCUUCAAACUCAUAAACCAAGUUAAAUCAAAACGUUUAUCUCUCUCUCCCUUUUUGCCAUAUAAUUACUUUAUUUAUUGAAUUAAUUUCCAUGCUAAAACGAACACUUAAAAGUGCACUACAAUUUUUUAUAAUCACAAUGGUAAUUUCUACUAUCAUGUUAUUUUAAUGUCGUGUUAAAAUAAAUUAUUACAAAGUUUUUUUUAUGAACACUCUUUUUAUUUAUAAUUUUUUUAAUUUUUAAUAUUUUUCUUACUCUUUUAAUCUUAAUAUUUGUAUUUCGCUCUUCAAAUUUUUAUUAUUAUUUAAUUUUUAAAGAAAAAUAUGAAAAAAAAAUAAAAAAAAUAUUAUACUUAAAAAAUAGUGAAUAUUUUAUGGGUCUAAUACAAACCUGUAUUGUUUUUGACAAUGAAAGAGCACGCGAAAAAUCUCACUCAUAGAAAAUUUAGUGAAAGGCAUUUGAAUGUGUGGCCACAUUUUCCGAACGAAACGAUAAGGCUUUAGCCUUAUAAUUGCAAUUAGUUUGUCUUGUAACUAAAUUAUUGCCGACAAGCACCAUCAUGCUGACAAACCGUGCAUGCACGUCCUCAAUCACCCACGUCCUCUACUUGUGUGCAAUAUUUCCCAUUACUUCCCGUACUUUAUGCAUUAUUGUUUUGUAUGUCUUUUGGUGUUUACGGUGUAGUUAGGGAUGGUAGCGGGUUGGGUCUGGUACCGGUUUGACAUCACCAAACCCGCAUCUAAAAAAAAUUUAAUUACGUAAUUUAAAUUAUAAAUUUAUAACCGUUGCCUAAAAAAACCACAUAAAAUACUUAAUUCUACAUUUUAUCAAUGUAAAUGAGAAAUGAAAAUAUCAACAUUAAAACAAAUACAUAAAAUGUAUCAAUUUAACACCAAUUUUCAAAUUCAAUUACCAAAUAAAUAAGUACAGUGUAGCACUAAAAUAUAAUAUUUAAAUUAAAUUAAUCACAAAAAAUUAAUACAAUACAGUGUAGCACCAAACAUUGUAUAUUAUUAUUAUAAUACAGUACUAAUACAACGCAACAUAAUACAAUACACCAACAUUAAAAUAAUACAAUCUAAUAUAAUACAAUACAGUGUGCGAAAUGCACCGACAUGGUAUUACUUUGUUUGUCUCGUUAUUUACAAUUAUUUAAUCUGUAGACCCACUCAUGCUCCUUCUAUGUAACAUAGAUGCAAUUUGAGGAAGAUUAUCAAUUUUUUCUGACUAAAAAUAAUAUAUACCACUUAUUUUUUAUUGUUUUUAUAAUGUUCAACAAUUCGCUUGAGAUCAAAAAAUUAAAUGAAAAGGAGUAAAUAGAUGAUUUACUUGAUGUUGUAUCUUAGAAAUAUAAAAUAUAUUUAUUUAUUAUUAAAAAUAUUUAAAAAUAAUAAAGAGUACAUAAAAAGUAUCUUAUCCUCAACAACAAGAUCAGACGACGUCAAUUCAGCAAAAUGACUUGAAUAACUUGAAAGUCCAGCAGCCGUCACCUCUUGGCGCACACAUGGCAACGUGCGUGGCUUUGGCAAGAGGUCUCCCAAAAGGACGAUUAAGAAAGAUUGCAGGACAAAUCAUGAAAAUAGUAGUACAGAUAUGCAAUGGCUAAAUUUCCUCGAUUAAGUCCAUCACAAUCAAGUCUUAGAAAUCACACCCCUGUAUUAAUUUCCAGAAAUAUGUUUGUUCCAUAUUUAUCGUGCACGUAUAUAUUGUAUGUAUUGGGAAUAGAAAGAGUGUAUGUAAAAAAUUCUUCAUUCAUCGAUUAAAACUUAAUUUAUGUACAAGGGUUAAGUGUAGUGUUUUUAAAUUUAAAAAGGACAAGUGUCAAUCCACUUAGGCUUGCCUCAAUGGCUAGAGCCACACUCCCUCACAAAGUGGUUCGAUCUCCCACAAAUACAUUAUAGAGGUUUAAUUUAAAUUUUUUUCCUCAAAUUUUGAGUGAAGACAGUUUUUCUUCCAGAAAUAGAAUUUUUCUGAGAGUUUGACGCCCCUCAAAUAUUUGAGAUGAUUAAAAUUUGAGCGGUGCUAUAUAAAAUAUAAUGUAAACUAAUCUAAAUAAUUGUAUAAUUAUAAAUAUAAUGAACAAUAGUCUCAUACAAAAAAAUGACAAGUGUAGUAAGCCCAUUUAAAUUAACUUAUAUUUGAGGGGAAAAUCUCUAUAUAUCAUAGUAUAUAUUAUAUGGGAGCGCCUAAGUUACGAUUAAUGUAUCUUACGUCUUUUGUUUUAUUCUUCUUGGUAGAUUUCAUUUGAGUCCCUUGAUAUUUCUUUAUUUUCUAUAAUUGAGGGAGUAUUUGUCUCCUUCCAUCUCUUCUACACCUAUUUUUUAUUCUUUCCAGAGUUAUAUUUAUUUCUUUUAAUAACAACAAGUGAUUAUCAAACUCAUAUAGAUCUAUGAAUUCAGAAUAUAUUUCUGGUCCUAAAUUUAUCAAACCUAUUCUUUCUUGCUCUAAUAAAUCUAUUUUUUGAUUUAUUAAAUUUAUAUAUGUAUUUACUAUAUUUUCCCAUCCUAAAUGCAUAUGUUCCGUAUUAUUUAUUAAUUCCUGUAUUGUAUUAAUUGCUUGGUUCAUAAUGUUUCAGUUUUAUACCAAUAUAUUAAAAAUUGUAUAAAUUUAUCAAUAAAUUUCAUUUUCUUUUCUAUCAAUAUUUCUCCUCCUGUGGUAUCUAUAUUCCUUUCUAUAAGUUCUUCAGUUAAUUCAAUUUCUAUAUUUCUUAUAUUAUUUUUAUCAGUUUUCAAAGCUUUUACCAAAUUCUUUAUUUCUUCUUUAUUAUAUACCUUUAAUGUAUACAAACUAUUAACUAUUGACUGUAUUGGGUCCAUCAUUUUGUUUUUAUGGCUCUGAUACCAUCUUGCACUGUGUGCUAAAAAAAAAACUAAUAUUAACAAAUUAAUAAAAAAUAAAAAUAAACUAAAAAGGUAAAGAAUGAAAAUAUAACUAAAUAAAAAAUAAUAGAAUAACGAAUUACAGAAAACUAAAAACAUAAAACAAAAAUUUUUGUUCUAUAAGGUAUACAUAUCAUAACUAUUACUGUUAUUUCUUACAUAUAAGGCAGUAACUUGUUCUCCUUCUAUAAUCCUAGGUAUAUUAUUAAGAAAACUAGCAAAAUAAAAAUCAUAAUAAUUAUUAUUAGUUUCUAAAAUAUAUGCAGGAUUAUUAGUCAUAUCAUAAAAUAAUUCUAUCUGUAUAAAGUAUAUAUUAUUAUUUAUUAUACUAAAAUAGUAUCUAAUUUCCCUUUGGGUAUCUAUUUUUAUAAAAUAUCCUGAUUACAGGUACGUGGCUUGUUAUCCCAAAGUACAGAGGAUACUAACGCCCAAUAGGGAUCGUCUAUCCAAUUUACGUCAUGGGUUGCUUGCCGAUAUACCUUACAACCAGUUUAUUUGUUUUAUUUUACUAGAUUCCUAUAUUUCAAGUUCUUCGUUAUCCGAAUUUUCAAAGUAAUUUAUAUAUGAUGGUCCAAUUUCUCGACUUUCAUGUUCUAUAUAUGCCAAAGCUAUGUCAAUUCCUUGCUCUAUUGUUAACAUAAUUAUAUUAUGUUUUAAAUUAUCUGUUUCGAUAUGGUUUAUAAUUUUUCUUUUUAUUUCUUUUGGUAAAUUAAGAGUAUAUACUGCUUGUAGAUCUUCUGUUCUAACUAGCUCUGUUUUACUUAAAAGAUAUGAACUUUGUUUAAAAGAUCCUAAGUUAAAGUCUAUUAUCAUCAUAUAGUCAUUAUAUGUUAUUCUAGUGCUAGAGUUUAUCAUAUAUUCUUUAGAAUUCCCAAGUAAAAUAUUGUUAUUCAUGUUUAAAUUAACAGCUCUUCCUCCAUAAAUCUCCUCAUCAUCAAUCAUCAACAAACUUCCACCAACAGAUAAGGUUUGAGAAUUAUUACCCAGAGUUGUUCUUAUUUCUCUGCCUUCCGAUCCUUUUCCAGUGACCUUCAGCCUGGUUGUCCUUAUUCCCUCAACGGCCUCCUUGCCUCAACGGGAUCAGCGGACUCGAGCGGCCUUACUGUAUGGAUUUUGAUCGUUUUGCUCGAAAAUUUUGAACAAAUUUAGGUUUCUCUUUCCUUUCUAUGGUGUUGUUUUGUUUAUGAUUUCUGAUGGCUUGAUUUCUGGAUUUUGAGCUGAAGAGUUGUUUAGUUCUUCAUUUUUGAGAGAGUUUUUGGAAAAGAUUUCGUAAUGGAAGCUCUGAGAGCCUUCUUUCUUUCUUUUUCUUCUAUUUAUUCAAAAAAAAGAUUACAUUCUUGCCCUCAUAUAAUUGGGCUUCUUACGUCACUGCUGACGAUUUUACAUUAUCCUCUAUGCUUUAUUACAUUAUUGCCCUUAUAUAAUUGGGCUUCUUACGUCACUGCUGAUGUUACAUAUCACUUACUCUUAAUUUUAGCAUCUUUCUUUUUACUUUUUGACAUUUGCUUUGCUUUGUCGGGCAUCUUCUUUAUGAUGUCUGCCACUUCUUGUCGGGCAUCUUCUUUAUGUUGUCAGCCACUUCCAUGAGCUGAAAAGCUUGUUCCAUAGUUUUACUGCUACUGGGAAAACGCAUAGUGCUUAUUUCAUUAAUGAAGUCUAACAACAGAUUUGAUGGUGUAUGGCUGUCUUCAGAUGUUAUGAGAAUGUAGUUCUGGAAUUUGAUGAUGGUUCUGAAAUUUCUUUCGUAUAGAUCCUUGGCUAUGCUCCAUAUGGCUUUUAUUCCUCUGGCUCUUCGUGUUCUGAUCCAAGGUUCAUUUAUAUGUGGAACAUUUGUGUAGUCUGUCCCAACUUCGACCUUGAAAUUCUUAGUGAGAUGACCUAUAGAGAUCAUAUAAAAGGCUUGAUAUUCUACGUUCUGAUAAUAUUCUGAGCUUAUGGUGUAGAAUUUUAGGUAUAUGGGCCUUUUUUGGGCGAACCUUGAUACUUCUUUUAUUAACAAGUCAUCAAGGCUGGCUAUUUCCUGAAGAUUUAUAUCUGGAUAAACUAGAUCUAAAUACUCGUAUUUUGCUAUCUUUCCAACAAGGAGUGGGUCUGCUCCUUUUGUAGCAAUCAUUCUUGGAUACAUAUUUUUUCCUGGUGCUUUGAAAAUUGUAUUCUUGUGGGAACAAGUGGAGUAUACCCAUGUGGAGAAUUGUUUAUAUUCUUCUUCUUUUGGAUUCAGGGGUUUCUCCUCUUCUUCUGUAUAAGGAUUGUUUAUUUCUAUGAACUUUUUUGGAGGUUCUGAUUUUGGAGACUCGACUUCUAUAGAUAUGACUUUAUUAGGAACUGGGUCAGAGAUUGGUUUAUCUUCUCUGAAGGGUCCACUACUGCUUCCGAUAUUUAUUGGGUUAAUGUUUAUUGGGCUCGUGUUUAUAGAGAGAGCUUUUGUUAGGUCGUCUAUGUAUGACUCUAACAAAUUUACUCCUUUUUCAUGAGCCUCAGAAGCUUCUUUCAAAUAGUUUAUUGCAUCAAUUAUAUCAGAUGCUUCUGUUUUGAGCCUUUGUACCUCAGCUUCUAUUUUCCCGAUGAUUCUAUUAACUUCGGGAUUCAUUCUCCAAAUUCUAUGUUCCUGCUUAGGAAAUCUGCAAGAAAAUUGUUAAUUCCUUUUAUAUGCACAAUUUUGAAAUUAUAAUAUGACAGAUAAACUUGCCAUCUAUGCAAUCUUCUGUACUGGGGGUUCAUUUGGUAAAAUCCUAUUAAUAAGGGAGUUUACCCGAGAAUUAUCAGUUUCUACAGUAAAUUGUUUUUGGAGCAAAAAUAAUGAAAACUUUUUAAUCCCUUUGUAUAUUGCAAGGAGUUCUUUUUCAUGUACAGGAUAAUUAACCUGAGCUUGGUUAAACGUUCCACUAGUGUAUCGACAAAUUUCAUUUAUAUCGGUUUUAAGUAUUGCUCCCCAAUAUAGGUCAGACGCAUCUGUUUGUAUUACUAAUCUAUCUUUUUCAUCAGGUAGUCUUAAAGUCGGAAGGUUUUUACAUUCUUCUUUUAAAUUUUUUACAAUUUCUGUAUGUUCCUCAUUCCAUCCCCUAGUAUUAUUUUUUCUUAAUAAUUUUUGGAGUAUAUUUCUCUUUUUUGAUAGGUCUUUUAUAAAUCCUUCUGCAUAAUUCAAACAUCCCAAGAAUUUUUGUAUUUGUUGUUUAUUUUCUAAUUUAUCUGGAAACUCAAUUAUUUUUCUUCCUAUAUGGCUCUGGAGUUUGAUUCCUUGUUUAUCAAGUAUCAUUCCUAAAAAUUCUAUUUUCUUAUGCUCUAUUACUGCUUUUUUACUAGACAGUACUAUCCCUUCUCUAAUACAUGUAUUAGCAAAUUCUUUCAAAUGGUGUCUAUGUUCUUCUAUUGUCUCUGAAGCUAUCAAUAUAUCAUCAACAUAGACUAUAAUGUAAUUGUAGUCUUUAAAUAUUUUAUCCAUCCUACUUUGGAAAAUUUGUGGAGCAUUUUUUAAUCCAAAGGGCAUUACUAACCAUUCAUAAUGACCUUGUGGGGUACUAAAAGCUGUGUAUGGGAUACUAUCAUUUUCCAUUUUUAUUUGCCAAAAUCCUGACUUACAAUCAAAUUUUGAAUAAUAUGUUUUAUUUUUUACAAGAUUUAUCAGUACUUCCUUGUUUGGGAGAAAAUAUCCAUCAAAUUUUGUAUAUUUAUUUAGUUCUUUGUAAUUUAUUACCAUUCUUGCUUUUCCCCUAACUUGUUCUGCUCUUUUCCUAACCAUAAAAGCUGGGCUAUUAUGCGGGCUAUUACUGUUUCUAAUAAGUUUUAAAUUUAAUAAUUCUUUUAUUUGAAUUUUAAAUUAUUCUCUAUCUUCUUCUGUAUACAUCAUAGGUUUAAGUCUUAUAAUCCUAUUUUCAAUUAAUUCUAUUUUUGCUCUAGGAUGAUCUGGUUUCCAUAAUGCUAAAGGAUUCUCUUUAUAAACUUGCUCAAGCUGUGAUUUUAUUGUUUCUAAUUGUAUAUUAUAACUUUGUCCUUUUUGUAUUAAAUAAUGUUUUUCAUAAAUAUACUUAUCACCACGCUGGGCUGGCUGAACUCUGUAGGGUUUGAAUUCGCGAGGGAUGCGUAGAAUAUGAUUACAAGGGGUUUUUAAAGUGAUCAUAUAGGGUGUUUGUUGGUAAUAUUGGAACUGUUGUAUGAAGUCAUUUCCUAAAAGGAUAUCACAAUCCAUAUUAUUGUACUGGAAUAUUUGGUUAAUACGUACUACUUUACUUCCUAGUAAGAUUUCAAAGUUUAAAAUAGAUUGAUUGACAUGUUGUUUAUCUCCUGUAAUACCAAUAAUUAUUAAUUUUCCAUUUGAUUCCCAUUUAUUAGAUAAAAAGGAUUUCAUAAUGGUUAUUUCACUACCAGUGUCUAACAAAGCACAAGUAUCUAUAUCUUUUUCGGUUAUGUUUAUUUGUAUAUAUACAGACAUAGGGUAUUUUACAUAAGCUUGUUUUAACAUGUGUAACAGAUUAUUGUUUGGCCUUGGAUUAAGAAAGUUAUCUUAUUAGGUUCAAUUUUGUAAUACUCUAAAUCAUUUAAAAAACUAUUUCCCAGUACUAUAUGUUUUUCUGGGUCUGUAGUCAUGAAUGAGUCUAUAUAACAGGCUACUAUUAUUCUAAGUCCUUCUAUUAUUAUGGGGACUUUAACCUCUUGUUUACAAAUAUGUUUAUUCCCAUUGAAGUCAGUAUACUCAUAUGGAACUUCCUUUUCUUUUACUAAGAGUCCUUUAUUUUUUGUGUGAUUCAUGUAAUUAUGGCUUGUGCCAGUGUCUAAUAGUAUAGGUACUUUUGCUGUGUAAUCUAUUCCAUUAAAGUAUUGUCCAAGUAUUUUUACCACAUUAUUUGUUGGUACUGAUUUAAUUAUUUGCUUAUCAGUGUUUAAUCUUCUAGAAGAACUUCCUCUUAUUAAGGUUCUUCCAGCAAAGCUUAUAGGAAUAAUGGAGUUUUCAUUACUAUUGUUUAAAAAUUGUUUUUUAUCAUCGAUAUUUAAUUCAUAAGUUAUAGGGAUUUUGUAAUCUUGGAUUACAGGUUCUAUAAAUGUUGCAAUAUCUUCACAAUCUUUAUUUAUCUCGAUGUAAGGUUUAUUACCAUAUAUUUCUCCGUAGUUUGAAUUACAGAAACUAUAUAAAGCUGAGUAAUGUAUUGUCAUUAUUCUAUUACCUUCUUUCAUUAAAUCUUUCUUUAAUAGCUUAAAGUGUAAGCUUAAUGUUUCGUCUAUGUUUUUAUCUUUAAUGUGUACACAAUAUCUAGGAUGACAAAUAAAUAAUAAUUUAGUAUAACAUAAAUUUCCUUCUAUUGUUCCAAGAUGUCCUAUGUUAGGAUCUAUAAAUCUUUGAUCAUGCAAUGAUAAAACUAUUGGGCUAUCUAUUCCUUCUUUAAAAAGAGAUUUUAUUAAGAUUUGUAUUUCAGCAAGAUAUACAUAUUGAAUUUUUUCUUUAGUUGACUCAUUUUUUAUUUUUCUCAAAGCUAAAUCUAUGGAUCUUUUAUUUAUUAAACUAAAUCUAAUGUUUCCUUCGGCUUGUGUAAUUGUCACAGCUUUUUCUUGUUCAUAAUAUUCAUGUAAUAUUAUUCUUUUUCUUUUAAACAUAUCUCUAAAUCUAUGGAUUAUUCCAUACUCUGGUUUUUCCAUAUUUAAUUUUAAAAGUUUAUUAUAUUUUUCUUUGUUAAAAGUAGCAACAAGGCUGUAUCCACUUUUUUUUUCUUCUUUUUCUAUCUCUUCUAUUUCUUCUAUUUUUUCAUUAUCUAAUAACUCUUCUUUACUCUGAUUCAUUUUCAGAUUCUUCAGCCAUAUAAACUUCCUCUCCUAUAUAGUUAGAUAAAUUAUUUAUUUCUUCUAAGUCACUUUCUAUUUUUUCAAAAUCCUUUUUUAAGAGUUUAACUUUUUUCUUUUUUGUACAAUCUGUACUUAUGUGCCCUAUUUCUCCACAAUUCCAACAUUUACAUUUGGACUUAUCUAAUAUUUUUCUCUGGUUUUUAUAUUUUCUUUUAUAAUAUUUUCUUCCUGAUUUUUUAUAUUUUUUCUUAAAAUUAUUAUAUUUUUUAUAUCUCUUUUCUUUAUAAGAUUUUCUUCGUCUUUUAUGAGGUACAUAACAUCCCCAUUGGGUAGGCAUUUCUGUCUUUUCACAACAUAUUUUUGUUAUGUUUUUACUCUUUUUUAUUAAGCUUCUUUGGAUACAAAUUUCACUUAAUCUUGUAUUUAAAAAUCUGAUCCUAGAUCCUAAUGUAUCUGGGAUUCUACUAUCAUUAUUAUUAGUAUGUUUUUCAUAUUCAUUUAUGAAAUAUCCAUUCCAUGGAUAAGGUAAUUUAGAAUAAUACAAAUUCUUAUAAAUGUUCUGGUCUUCAUGACUCAUGAAUUGUGUAUAAUAAUAUUUACUAAAUUCACAUGUAUAUUCUUUUACAAAACACAUAUUACAGAUUGUCAGGUUUAUUAAUUUCAUUCUAGCAUUUAAUUUAUCAUGUUUUGCUUCAUUUUCUGUAUUUUGUAACCAAUCUUCUCCUAAGAAUUCACUAGCAAUGUAUUCGAUUAUUCUUUCUAUACCUAAUCCUUUAUCUUUUCCUAAUGCUAUUUUGGUUGAGUCUUUUAUUAAUUUUUGUGUAUCGUCACUUAAUCCUUUCCACCAAUUAAAUACAUUUCCUGUAAAACUUGCUAUUAGAAUAUCCGUUAAUAUAUUUAUUUUUUCUUCUUCAGUAUCUACAUUCCAAUCAUCUUUGGAUCCAUUGAAUAUAAAGAAUAAUUUCAUUUGCAUUCCCCAUUCUACUAAAGCUUUUCGGGAGUCUAUUUUACAAUCCAAGUCUAAAAAUGCACCUGCAUUGCUUAUUGCCACCAAAUGGUCAUUAUUAGGUUGGUAAUCUUUUUUCCAAGAGGUAUUUUUAACGGGCGGAUAAUAUUCAUAAAAAGGUCUAUUUUUCUUUUUAUUUGUUUCAUAUCUAUGACUAGGUUCUCCAAUAUCAGGUUUUAAUUCUGGACCUCCAGCAACAUUCAUCUUUAUUUGGUAUUCUUUUUCAAAUUCUUCUAAAUCACUAAGGUUAAUAUCACUAAAUUUUUCUGUUAAUUCUUCUAAUGUAUUUUCCAUUAUUCUGUAUCACUAGGUGUGUUUUCUUUUAUCUCUAAUUUUUCUUUUCCCUUUUCUUCUCUUUUUAAUUCUGCUUUUAACUUUUCUGACUCCUCUAAUAUUUUUGGAUGCUGAGUUUUUAUAAACCAGUCAUCAUAACUUCCUGGUUGAGGUUUUGUCAUCUGUUUUUCAAUGCUUGUCCCUAUUAUUCCUGAUUUUAUUAUUUCAAGUUUCUCAACUUUUUUAUUUUUCUUUCGGCUUAUCUGAAUUGUUGAUAAUUCUAUUUUUAUCUUUCCUAUUUCUUGUUUAAUUUCUCUCAUUUCUUCUUUAAGAUUUAAAAGUAUUUCUUUUAACUCGAUUAAUGUAGUUUCCAUAAAAUGUAGGGGUGCUAACAGAUAUUUUUAUUUUUGAGCGUAUGUUACAUCCAACGUAACAUAGGGUUAGCCUAUAUUAUAUAUCCAGUCGUGGGACCCAUAUAUGGUUCCAUGUAAUUCGCACAGUUGAACUGGAGACACUGAUUAGUUCGUUGUCUAUUUACCAACUUAUGUACAACUAAGUAAUUUCAUGCACCAUUUGCGCCUUAUCUAUCCAGCCUGCUUGCAUUGCAUUAACUAAACAUACAAUGAAAUUAACCCUUGUAAUUUCGGCCUUUGCCAUAGUCGUUUUGUUUAUUAGGUUUAUGUUUAUCAACAUGAUAUGUUGUCAACCAUAAUCACAAUCAAGUUGUUAAUUAUUUUUUAAAUAAUGUGAAGGAACAAGAUUUUGGUCUUUGAGUGUGGAGUUAAAAAUAUCUCACCUCAACAUACGGUGUUGUGCUCUCAUCAUCUUAACAUUAUUUGUUAAAAAUUAUGUCAAAGAGGAAAGCAGAUUCAAACAUUACUUCAAUUUUCUUUAAGAGCAUAAAAAUAUCGUUAAUAGGCUACUGUUAUUUGUUAGUACGAUUUCACAAAAGGAAGCUAGAGGAUGAUGAAGCUUUCAAGUCAUGUGUGCAUCAAAGUAAGAAACAGAGCUAACGAGAGAUGGACAAUUUUAAAUAUGUCAGCAUUUUGUCAGUUCUGGCCAUAUUUUGAAAGAUUAGCACCCUAAUUUUCUUUUGAAGCUCCUUUUCUGUCUAAACCUAUUUUAAUUUCCAAAAUAUCUUUUUCCAUUUUUUUAGUUUCUUUCUGAUUCCAAAAAAAAAAAAAUCAGUUUCUUAAACAACUCCAACUACAAAUAUUUUUUUUACAAAUUUUUGAAUUAUUAAAUCAUAUGUGUGUGUAUAAAUUGAAUAGAAUUAAAAGUGGACUCAAAUAGCUAUUAUGUAAUUUUUUUUAUAAUUAAAGAAAAGUUUAGAAUGCAAAAGUGUGUGUGGGAAAACAAAAAAUAUAAAUCGCCUUUGAUAUAAUUAUAUGGUUGUAAAAAGUUAGAUGGAGAAAUAUAGUAUAUAAUUAAAUUUAUUUUGCCUUAAAACGGGUAGGUUUUAUAAGAAUUUUUUUCGAGGAGUGCCAAUAUUUCAACUCUUUUUCAAAUAAAGUGAUGUCCUGGAAUAAAAUCACUACUCUAUCAUUGCUAUUAGUUUGUCUUGUAUUUCAAUAAUUGCCGACAAGUAUUAAUUGUGAAUAUUAUUAUUUUAAAAAUAUUAUUAUUAUUAUCGUCGUUAUUCUUAACAGCAAUGACUAGAAUUAUAAUAAGAACAAUAACGUUAAUACAAUAAUAUAACAACAUAAUAAUAUUUUAAUUGAGAGGAUAAGAAUGAAAUUAUGAAAUUUAGGUUGGGUAAAAAUGGUGAGUAUGAGGAAAUUAAUUUACCAUUUUUUAAGCUAAACAAUUCAUAAAUUCCACAUAUUUAAUUCUUAUUUCUCUUAUAUUUUAACAAGUUAUCAAUCGUUUUAAUAUUUUAAUUAAUAAAAACGGCAUUAACUACGGAACUAAAAGAUCCAAAAAAAAAAAAAAGAGACGCGUGUAUGUAUUGCUUGUGAGAAAUCUCACCCAUGGAAAACUUUGUGAAAGGCAUUUGAAUGUGUGGCCACAUUUAAUGAACGAAACGAUAACUUUAAAAGAAAGUAUGUACUGUGUUAAUUAUUAGGCUUUAGCCUGAUGAUUGCAAUUAGUUUUUCUUGUAAUUAAAUUAUUGCCGACAGACACUAUCACGACCCACGUCCGCUACUUGUGUGAAUGUGUGUAUAAAUAUCCGCAGCAUAUCAUCAAACCUGAAGCGUGAUCAUCUUUAAGUUUUGGUUACAAUUCAUCAUACGUUAGAAGAUAUCUUUUCUAAUUUGAAGAAGAUGGAAACUCCUUGUCCAGGUUCUUAGGCCAUGUUCAGUUGAAUGUCAUUUAUAAUUUUUAUUUUAAAAUUAUGUAUUUAUGAAUACAACUAUUGUUAUAAUUUUUUCAAGUAAGAAUGGAUGCUCUGAGGGUAACCCAAUAACUAUGUACAGUAUUAUUAAUGAUGAGAGCGUGAAUGACAAUUUGGAUUUUAUUCUCGUCCCUCAAUACGGAAGAAAUCUUGACCAUAGCGGUUAAGUGCUAUGUAAUUCUUUCGUAUUAUGUUUAAUUAAUAAUGAAAUGAUGGGUUAUUAUUACCUGUCAAUUAUGUGAGUAUCUUUGUUUGGUUUAGUUCAACUUAUAAAAUUUCUUGAGAUAUACAAGAGAUUUUCAUUAUUUAAUUUUGUGUACCGUGUCUUCUUGUAAAAAGAAAUUAAUAAAAAAAAUAUCAUUGUGUGCAAUGUAUUAACUAAGUUAGUGUAUUCAUGUUAGGUUAAUUGUGCUCUCUCUUCUUGAUAUUUAAAAAAAAAAAAAAAAAGCUCCACAUAUUGUUGGUUAGCUAAUUCUUGCAGCUAGCAAGUGAUCCUUUUCUUUCCCCUACUGCCGUAGCAUCAAAUCCUUACAAUUACAUAUCAAGUGGUAUUCGAGCCGUCAAAUGAUCCAUGGAAACAGGCAACAAAUCAAAUGCUGAAUUUUGCGAAGAGAUUCACGAAAUCCUUACUAUACAUGAGUCUAGUUUUGACCAAGUUCACGUCACCCAUCAGCUGCGGGUUUGAAUGGUACCUCGUGGAUAUUUUGUGAGUUCCCACUAAUAAAAUCACACUUGCAACAAAACUUAAAAAUUUAAAUUACGUAAUUCAAAUUAUAAAUUUAUAAUCGUAGCUUAAAAAAUCACAUAAAAUACUUAAUUCUAGAUUUUAUCAAUGUAAAUGAGAAAUGAAAGUUUUAACAUUAAAAUAAAUACAUAAAAUAUAUCAAUUUAACAUAAAUUCUCAAAUUUAAUUACCAAAUACAUAAGUCUAUCGCAACUCAAAGUGCUUUCAAUUGAAAACGAAAAAAGAGAAAGAGAAAAAAAAGAACUACAAAUCAAAGUAGCACUCAUGACCGAUUUUGCAGUCUCAUUCAAUACCACUAGCACCCAGCAACACGAUUUUUCUAAACAAAGUAUAAAGUACAAAAUUACAAUAAGCAUAUCAGACUCCAUGCUUUAAGUUAAAGAUCCUUAUAUAUUUUUAUGAAUAAUUUUUUAAUGAAAUUUUAUGAUUAAAAUUAAAAAUACAAACAUUCAAAUAAGAAUGUCGGACACUUGCACAACUAUUUACCAAAUUUUUUCUCUAUAAAAAUCGACCUGCAACUUUCAAUAGGUUUAAAUUUAUAAUAACAAACCUGAUUGCAGCUCGCAAAAAUUAUCCGUUGCGGCCAAGACUUUGGAUUUGCGAUGAUUUUGCCACCCUAAGUGUAGUUAGUAUUGUAUAUCAUGUGGCUCUUAUAAAAAGCCUAGAAGUUGUUUGAAUAACGGGGGAGACACAUAUCUCCCAAAGAUUUUCUCUUUUUCAAAUUAUUAUUUUUUCUGUAUUAUUGUAACUUCGAAUCCUUAUAAAUUGCAGAUUGGAGACAUGAACACAAUGUUUUGACAUAGUGGACUUUUGGCUUGUCCAGAGAAAUUUAAGAUAGAUUUUUACGCACUAAGGCUCUAUUUACUAUUGAGGUUUUAGAACUUUUAAGCCACACUAGAAAUUUGUAUUGUUUUGAUAGAGUUGUAGUUCUUGAUAUGUGAUUGGUAUUAAUCAAGUGUUAUGUUUACAAUAGUUAAAGGCAUAUUGAAUCAAAAUCCACUUCUAAGGGCUUGAUUGAGUGAUUGUAAAGUAGGUUUUUAGUUUGCUAGUCACUCAAGUUCAAAUAUUGGAACCACAGAGCUUUAUAGCCAAGUGAGAGAACUUGUGCCCUAAAAAUUGAGGGGUGCAUAUCGAGUUUUACCACCAAUAAAAGUUGGUGUUAAAACUUUAAUUUCCCUCCUAUUGAUGGAUAGGGGUGAUUAGUAGUUUACAUUCCCUCCUAUUAAUAGACAGGGGUUAUUAGGAAUAUUAAAAAAAAGUUCAAAUAUUGAAAAUAUAGGUAUGGGUUAUAAAAUUCAUAAUAUAAAGACACAAAAUCAAGAUAAAGAUUUAAAAAUUUAGAACCAUGAGAGCGUGACUUGUAAGUUUCAAAGAAGCAUGUGCAAAUAUAUGCAUUAUCGAUGCCUAAUUAAGGGUGGACAUUAAGAUCGGGUUAACCCGAACCGAACCGAACUUAAAAUUUAUUUUGGAUUCAAUUUGGUUAUGGUUGAAGCUUUCAACUGAGUUCAAAACUUAAAAAUGAUUGAGUUGUAUUUCUGUUCGAAUUUAACCCCAAAAGACAACUAACCCUAACUAAAAUGUUCGACCGCGGCCUCCUCGUUUUCUUUUCUUCUUCCUCCUCUCGCUCACCCCUAAUGCCCUUCAUGGAAAUCCAACAGCUCCAAACGCGUUUCGGCCGCUCGCACGUGUGAGAAAUUUUCGUUCUCAUAGGAUUAUUCGUUUCCUUCGCCUGCAUGCCAGCAGAAUAUUCAGGCCGAGGAUUUUUCCGGGCCUAGCCCAACUAUAAGCUCUCCCAAAACCCAAUCAUAAGUUCAUAACGUUUAGCGUUUGCUAUUACUAUAAUUUUUUUUAAACAAUUUUCACAUUCAUCAACAUAGGCUGACAGAUUUUGUAGAAAAUAAAAUUAAAUAAAAAUACAAGCUCACGAAAUUCCUUUUCCGAUGUGGGAAUCUAUCUACACCUUUCACGUGCCUUUUUUUUUUUUUUGUAGUGGGGGAUUCACUUGCUUUUGUUUGCAUUGCCUUAUUGGAUAAAAGUUUGUAGAACAUCGUCUGUUUGGUUAAAUCCGAGCAUGAGUGAAGAAAAAUUAAAAAUAAAUAAUUUCCCAUUAAUUUGCAACAAGUAUUAAUAAAGUGCAUGAGAAAAGACACCAAGAUAUGCCUUUUUUUAAAUGAAAAUAAAUGUGUUAAUUAGUCAAUUUAAAUGGUAUGACAUUUUGAAAUGAUAGAAGCAAUCUAAAGUUUAAAUCUUACUCACACUUAAUUUAGGGUUGGGGAUUAAUUGACGUAAUAUAUAAUAACGAAUUCGAAAGACAAUUAAAAAUUAAAAGAAAAUAAAGAAGUGCUUUCUUUUUUAUGAUGGUAAUUUGUUUAGAUGAUGAAAACUCUUAGAGUUGUAUUAUCAAUACAUAGUUUUAAGGGUUGGCAAUGUGAACAAUAUUUAAUUUCCUUUAUAUAGUUAUAUCUUAACUAACAUUUAAACAGAAGUAAGUUGUAAAAAAAAUGAACCAUUGAGAUUUGAGAGAAUGAAAAACUAAAAAAAAAAGUUAAAAAAUUAGAUCUCAAUAAAUUUACUUGAGAACUACUUUACUGAUUAAUGAAGAGAAAAUACAAAGAAUAAUGAUGUAUCUCAAUUAAUCAGAUAAUUUUUGUAUUUUUUAUUUAUUCCAGAAUCACGAAACUUCAUUUAAACUUGUUAUUUCAUUGAUAAUAUAUUAAUAUUGAACAAUUAAUGUAGGAGACAUUCCUUUCCAAUUAUGCCCAUAUAUUAAUUAAAGACCAUCAAAAAGUUCAGGGAUACUAUAAUAAUUUAAGUCAAUAAUUUCUGUGCUUGAAAUCAGCCAAUCAAACUCACUUUAGAAUAAAUUGAGAAAUCAAAAUCACAUUCUCCGAUUCCACGAUUUCAAUUCAUCUUAUUUCUUCAACUGAAAAAUUGGUUGUAUUUCGUUUUAUUUUAUUUUUAUUUUUAUUUUUAUAGAAAAAUAAAUAUAACUGUAAAAGUAAAAUAAAAAGAAGAGCACGAGUUUUAUUGAAAAUGACUCUUUUCAUCAUGUUGCCGGAGUGAAUGUAUCUGCAUAUAAACUAAAGAAGCACAUUUGUUUCCGACUCUACGCUUUAAAUUCAGCUUCAUUUCUUCAACUGAAGAAUCGGUCGUCUCUCAUUUUUUAUUUAUUAUAUAAAGAUAAAUAUAUAAAUUUAAAUGGCGAGAAGAGCGGACGAGGAAUACGAUUACUUGUUCAAAGUGGUAUUAAUCGGCGAUUCGGGAGUCGGCAAAUCGAACUUACUCUCCCGAUUUACUCGUAACGAGUUCUGUUUGGAGUCCAAAUCCACUAUUGGCGUCGAAUUCGCCACCCGCACUCUUCAAGUAACUAACUUUUCCUCUUUCACUUCUCUUCAUUUUUAUUAGUUAAUUAAGAUCCAGUUAAUGUAAUUAAUUUUAUUUAAUCUUUUAAAUAAAGUUCUAGAUUAGGCUAACUUAGAUUCAUGUGAAGUUCAAGUGAUUUACUUUCGAUCUCUUUUUCGUCCUAUGUUUAUUUGUACUUACUAUUACUUUUUUUUGGGUUAAAAUUUUCGUUUUUGAAGUGUUUACUGAAUAAAUUUCUGAGCUUUAUUUGUGUAUGCUGAUUGAUUUGUGAUUUUAAUUUUGUGACUUUUUUUUUGGAAUUUAAAUUUGAAUGCUUUUUAAGUUGAAUCUGAAUGUGUUGGGCUGCGAUUUAAUUAAGUCAUCUGUGAGCGCCAAAUUGUGAUAGCUAUAUAUUGGGGUGAAAAUUUGGGAUUUAAAGUUAUGUAUUUAAGAUGCAGUUAAUUCGCAAGUGAAAAUUAUGGGCCGGCAGAUUUUGUCAUUGGAAGACUGUUCUCCACAUGUUGAAGUUAGUGAUGCAAGUUGAAACCAAUCUGUUUAAGCUUGGGGUUUCAUGUCUUGAAUCAAGGCUGUGACUGGGUUGAGAGUAUUAUAGCUUUAGCUAUUCCUGAAGUGAUCUGUUUAGACUCACCGUGAUGAGACCGAGUGCUGUACAGUAAAAUGAAAGGAAGUUGGAAAAUAUUUACUUAGCAUUUCGCGUUACUAAUGUUGAACUAAUAAAACCUAGCCCCUAUCCUAGUGAAUUUAUGUUAAAAAGCUAUGCACGCAUUAAGUUAGUGUGCUGUGUGUUUGGCGCUGAGUAUUCUUCAUUCCACAUUUUGGGUUUUGGUUGACCUCCAGCAUGGCUCAACCCACUUGAGUUAAAAGCCCUAGAGUUACAUUCUACCCAUGAUAUUUGAGUUUAUCAAGUCACCUUAUUUUAAUACUUAUCUGGAAAAAAAAUAUAUAUGUUAAAUCAGGUAGGAAAAAUAAAAAGUUAAUUAUUGAGUUGUAAUGGUGUAACUAAGGUUUUGAAACAUUAACAUCUUUAGCCAUUAUGUUACUAUCCCGUAGUUAUUUAAGUUACAAGAGAUAGUAAAAAAUAACAUCAUAUUUUAAUUACUUACACUAAUCCUACAAAUGCUGAUGGUCUAAAGUUGCUGCUGCUUGCACUGAAUCAGUGGUCAUGGGCCAGCCAAGGUUAGGUGAGGCCAACUCAUUAGCUUGUGAAGCUUAAAGAAGUCUUAGGUUUGGAAAAGAUGGGGCACAGGUUACAAAAUUUUUUUGAGUUUUGGAUUGAAGGAACAAAAUUGUUGAUGUCUAGCUCACAAUAUUUGAAGUCACUCUGUGCUUCAUCAUGUAAAAUGGAUUGAAUUGCUGUAAGAUCAGGUCAAAUUAAAUUGUUUAAACUCAUUUUUAAGAAACGAAUUCUCAAUUGGACCAGCCUUUCACAGAAGCUUUGAGUCAGAUGCAUCCAACCAAAGCCCCUGGCCCAGAUGGUCUCCCAGCAGUAUUUUUCCAAAAGCUUUAGAAUUCAGUAAGCGAAGGAGUUAUAGCCACUUGUCUGCAUAUCCUCAAUUAUGGAGGUAAUAUUGCUCCUUUGAAUCAUACAUACAUUGCUUUAAUCCCCAAGAUAGCAAAACCUAGGACUCUGAUGGAGUAUAGACCAAUCAGCAUAUGUAAUGUAAUUUAUAGGAUCAUUGCAAAGACUAUAGCGAAUAGGCUGAAGCUAAUCUUAGAUCAUGUUAUUUCGCCAACUCAGAGUGCUUUUAUGCCAAAUAGGCUCAUAACUGAUAAUAUAAUUAUUGGGCAUGAGUGUCUUCAUAAGUGGACAAAGCUAAGUUCCAGAGGUGAGUAGGAAAUUCUCCCGCACGACGCAGCACAAACAAACUUUCCCUUUCAUUUUCUUUUCUCUUUCUCGCUCUCCAAACAGAGCAAAAGGACCAUCGCAAGAUUCUUCACUUCCAUCCAAAAUCAUGAGCAACGAAUAGUGAGCCUCCCUGUUUCCUUUUUUUGAUAUUAACAUUGUUAACAUAUACUCAUUUUAAUUUGACAAUACUUCAACUUUUUUUAUUUUUUUGCCUUCUCAUUUUUUUUGUUGAAGCAAUUAUCUGUUCAAGCUGUUGCUUAUCGGAGACUCGUACGUUGGAAAGUCCUGCCUGCUGCUCCGAUUUGCUGUCUGUUGACUUUUCCUUUCCCUUCUUAUUUUCUUUUUUUAUAUUAAUUACUUUCUAUUUUAGCUUUUUGUUCUCUGAAUUUGUGUUAUUAAAAUGAUAAUUAAGAUGAUAAAUAAUUGUUAUUCUUGUAAAUUUCGGUUUUCAUUACGUUAAUUGUUAGUUUUUAGGUUUAUUAAUGUAAUUUUUUUUUGUUUUUUUUUUUUCAAUUUUUCAGGAUGAUUCUUAUGUCACAGCUACAUCAGUACCAUUGGAGUUGAUUUUGUGUCUCUCUCUUCUAUAUAUAUGUAUAUAUGUGUAUAAGUUAUUAAAUUUAUCUAUGUACGUGUAUGUAUGUAUGUGUAUGCAUAUGUGGAAAGAAAUGUUGGCAGACUUCAGCAUUUUACUCUUUUUUUUUUUUUUUUGGCAGAAAAUAAGAACUGUGGAGCUGGAUGGGAAGACGAUCAAACUGCAGAUUGUGAGUCAAAAUUUCCUUUUAUCUUGUAUUGAGAGAAAUUCGAUUUGUCUUAUUUAGUGAAGGUUAUGUUCAAGAACCUUGUCUUAUUUUCUUUGUUUGAAGAGUGAUAUGUUGAAAUGAGUGUAUUUGUCUUAUAAACAUCAUUUAGGUAAUGUCUUGGUGAAACCUGUUGUCAUAUGCUGAUUAACAUAGCUAGUCUCGGAAAUAAUUUGUUGAUUCAAAAUUUAAAUUAUGAGUUAAAAUUUGAUGCAGAAUGGGCAACCAGCCUACUGCAAACAAAUCUUCAGGAACAGUUCAGAUGAAGGGACAGCGAAUCCAGCAAAACAGCAACUGCUGUGGUUAGCCGAGCAUGUUAUUUUACUACUACAUGUUAGCUGACUGAUUGUAGACAGUUUUAACUAUGUUGACUGCAUUAUCUUAUGAAUCUUUUAAUCUGUCAAAUAUUUAUUUCCUGCUUUAAGUUCUUUCCCGUUUAUAACAAAUUUAAUUUCUUGCUCCAUUGCAUUCCAAAUUCCUGUCAAUUUACGAGGGAAAAAGAAAAGAGAGACGAAAUGGGAGAAAAUGGUCAAAUUUGUUAGGGGGAGAGAGCUGUUGAAGUAGUUUUUGUUCUCGUUUAUCGUCGUGACCCUCUUGUCGCUUGUCUAUGACCUGGAAGUCCGGUCAUAUCGGAUGGGUUAAGUUACCGAAACGGCAUCAUUUUGGGUGAAAUAUCAUAUUUAUGUAACACUUUUGAUAAUAUUUUUAUGCAACAAAAACAUGUUUGCAGUACCCUUUUCACAUUGUGAAGCGCAUGAUCGGAUGAGAGCAGUCUGGAUUCUGGCAUCACAAGGUAAUGCUUUGAUUUGCUUAGUUUGUUUUUUGUUUCUGAUAUUUUCUCGGCAUCGGGUGGGAUGUUGUUUCUCUUUUGAGUUUCUCUUUUUUUUUUUUUUUUUAAUGGAAUUUGGAGAUAGUGUAAAUGUAUGAAGAUGAAAUUGUUGGGUUGGUUUUGUUAUGGAAUUUGGUUUACUUCACUAACCAUUAAUGAGCAAAACCUCCUAUUGACCCUCAAAAAUCCCGUACAUAAUUAAAGAAUUUCAAUUUUAUAUGUACAUAAAUAAAUAACUGUCAAAUAUAUUAUUUGAUAAUCCCAAAAACAACAAUUCACUCUAAUAAAUCUUGUAGUCAAUACAUGGUCUAUAUUGCAAGUGUUUUCGAGACUAAUUCAAAAAGAAAAUAUGAAAGACAUAUAAUUGACCUUUACCAGUUAUAAAGAACUCUAAAUAAAUUCAUAUACGCAUAGCAGCUAAUUACAGCCUUGAUACUUCAUUAGGUUUUUGUUAAUUUUCUAUACAGUUGUGUUGUGCAUUAAAGUUUUGUUGAUGAAAUCGGUAGGUGAGGAUUAAUUAAUCAAUUAAUUAAGAUCCAGUUAAUGUAAUUAAUUUUAUUUGAUUUUUUUAAUUCGAGUUCUAAAUUUAUCAAUUAAUUUAGAUUCAUGUGAAAUUGAAGUGAAUUAGUUUCGAUCUGUUUUUCGUCCUAUGUUUGUCUGUGUUUACUCUUACUUUUUUUUUUGUUUAAAUUUUUGUUUUCUUAUUGUUUACUGAAUAAAUUUCUGAGCUUUAUUUGAGUAUGAUGAUUGAUUUGUGAUUUUAAUCUAAAUAUGUUGGGCUGCGAUUUAAUUGAGUGAUGUGUGAGUGCCAAAUAUUCAAUAACUGAUAAAUUAUAUUUAUAAAUAUUAAUAGUGAUGGCACAUAAACAAUUAAUUCAAGAACUUGCCCAUAGUGAUUAAUUUAAAGAGUAUAAGUAACAUUGCAGUACAGUUAGCCCUUGCGUGUUUAAUUAGCAAUUGAAAACUACUGUUGCUGAUGAGGUAGAACAUUAUAACACUGUUGCUGAUGAGGCAGCUGGUAAUUCUUCUGGUGAAGAUAUUAAGACUAUUAAAGCUGAAAUGUAAUUAGAGAAAUAUAAUGCAUUCCCUUAGUUUGCUUUUUGUUUUUUAUAUUUGUUUGGCUAAUGCUUUGCUUAGAUUGCUUUUUGUUUUUGAGAUUUUAUUGUUAUGGGAUUUGAUUGUAGUGUACAUAUACGAAAAUUAUGUAAUCAAGUGCUUUCAAUAAAUCAUGAUCGAUUUACUAUUAAUUAAUUAAAUUAAAUUUACUCAAAUUACUCAUGUACACGAUCAAAAUAAAUUUAAUUACAUGAUAUAUAUACACGCGCGCACACAUAAACAAAAUGUAAUUAACUUUGAAAUAUAAAAUAUUUAAAAUAAUCACCUUACUAACAAUUCACAAGUUAGAUUUUAUAUAAAUAGACGAAAUAAUGUUAAUCUAGCGAAUCCAGUCAUAAUAAAUUGAUUUUCAUUUAUAUUAAUUAUGUCGAACCAUGUUAUUUUAAUAAAGAGCACUUGAGAAUAUAUAUAUCCAAUAGGUAAAAUUUCAAAACAAUAUUUGCAAAAGUCUGACUAAGAGAAUAUACACGCACGCACGUAUAUAACUGUACAACAGAAGGAUAAAUAAAAGAAAAUGAAGUUUCAACAGCUAAAUAAUGCAAACUCAUUUUUUUAACAAGCAUUUUAUUGUUUAACUAAAAAAUUCGAAAACCCAUUAAAUACAUGUAAGGACUCACCGACGCCGAACCAUAUUAAUUUAAAUUAGUUUUCAACUGAGAUUUGAAUUUUGAAAUUACAUACACAAACAAGCCCAUUUUUUUAAAAUACUAAUAAUAAAAUAUUUCAUUUUUCAUCUAUUACAACAAGAGGCAUAAUCGCAAAAGUGAAAAAUAUUUCAUUUAACAAGUCCCAAUAUUGUCCUCCAUCCUUUCUGCACUUCUCUGCUAUCAACGGACAACUCCAGAUCCAUAAUCGCAAAAGUGAGGAAGGCAGUCAUCCUCUGUUCAAUUAUCAAAAACUCCUUUUACCAUCCAUUUGAACAUACACAAACACGCCCAAUUUGAAAAAAAAAUAGUAAUUUUAAAAUAUUUCAAUCGUCCACUGUUCCGUCACCAAAAACCAAUUUACCAUCCAUUUCAACGCCUAAUUUGAAAAAAGAAAAUACUACUAAUAAUAAAAUAUUCUAGUCGUCCAUCCUUUCACAAAUAGGGAUGGCAAUUGUACCCGCAAACCCGCAAACCCGCCCAAAUCCACCCGCCAAAACCCGCCCGUUGCGGGUAAUUUUAUCCGUUGCGGGCGGGUUUAGUAUUAUAAAUUAAAACCCGCAUAUGGAUGCGGGUGGGUUUGGUAUUAACCUUAUACCCGGUGGAUACCCGCAUGGAUAUCCACCAAACCCGCAAUAAUUUUUUUCAAAUAUUUUUAAUUUAAUUUAAAUAUAAAAAUAUAUAAAGAAAAUAAUGUAAUUAAUCAAAUUACCAAAUAGCAAAAGGCUCAAAGUUGUGUAUGUGUGUAUAUGGCUCAUCUCUUAUUCUAAAGUCAUAACCUAAAGAAAACUAAAGGCAUUUCCCUUCGAAUUAGUAUUUGAAAAUAUUAAUCUUAAUUAUUAUUUUAGGCAUUGUGUUAGAUGGGUGCUUAUGGUGGUGAAUAAAAUAAAUAUAUUCUCUUUGAUCUUGUUUUAAAUGAUAAUAUGAAAUGUAAUUAUUAUUUUUAGAUAUUAGUUUGUGUUUUUUAAAUAGAUUUGUAUAAUUUAUACUUAAAUUUGAGAAUUUGUGUUGAAUUGAUGUGGAAAUUUUAAUUUUUCAUUUACACUGUUUAAAUAUAAAAUUGAAUAUGUUAUAUGGAACUUGAGGUUAUUAUUAUAAAUUUAUAUAUUAAAUAUUUGUGAUUUUAAAUACGGAAACCCGCAAAAAAUCCGUCGGAUACCAUUGCGGGUUUGGUAAUUGUUAAAACCCACUGCGGGUGGGUUUUUUAAAAAAAAUUAAAACCCGCUGCGGGUUGCGGGUGGGUUUUGUAAUUUAAAUUUUGUGCGGGUUUGGGUUUGGUAAUGGCAAACCCGCUGCGGGCGGUGCCCAUUGCCAUCCCUAUUCACAAAUCAAAAACCCAUGUAAAAUCUAUUGCAACAUCGGGUAUAUGGGUUAACAAGUCCCAAUAUUGUCCUCCAUCCUUUCUGCACUUCUCUUCUGUCAACGGACAUCCCACGAUCUGUAAUUGCAAAAGUGAGGAAGGCAGGCCCUUCUCCGGAAAGUAUUUGAGCUUGGGACAAUUAUGGAGUUUCAAUUCAGUGAGGUUUUGAAGAUCAACAAUUGAGGAAGAUAGGCGUUCCAGAUUUGGAAAAUCUUCAAUCCACAGAGAUGUUAGAGAGGCAGGAAGAGGAAGCGCGGUCCCUAAUCUUUUGUCCUCUAGUGGAAAUGACACCAUGUCGUCAUCGCAUCCUCUGAUUCUAAGUUCUCGCAGAGAGGAGAAUCUGUGGAAUCCCCGACCCCACUCAAUCGUUGACUUCCAAAUCUCCAUAUUACCCAAAAUAUAAACUGACUGAAGAUUGGUGGGAAGGCCAUCUUCUUCAAGGCUUGGAAGCGCACCUCCUAUUGUUAAGUCUUGAAGAGAGGUCAGAUUGUGCAAUCCCUUGGGUAAGGCCUCUAGUCUCUUACAAUCAGAUAUCCCCAGCCACCUGAGUUUCGCACAAGGCAAUCCCCCUUCGGGAAAGGACACCAGAUUUCCACACCACUGUAUAGUAAUCCCUCGAAGCUGCCGGAGAUUAUGUAAACCACUCGGUAAAAUUUUCAGAUUUUCACAACUAUGAAUUUCCAGAUUUUCAAGAGAUGUGUUGUUGUCCAACCUUUCUGCUAUUGACUCCAGCUUUGAACAUCCACAAACAUAAAGGGACUUAAGAGACGGAGGUAGAUUGCCAACUUCAAGGGACUCAAGCGUGGCAGGUAACUCGUUUUUUGAAAAUAUACAUUUCAGUGAUCGACAACUGUAAAUUGUUAACUUCUCAAGAAGAGAUGAGGUGUACCUUCUGCUGCUGCUGCUACUCUGGAUGCCCUCUUCCACUGUCAAAGUCCUUAUAUUAUCACAAUCGCUGAUGCUCAGCUGCUUGAGGCUCGGUGGCAGCUGGACUUCAGCAAUAUAUCUCAACGAAUGGCAAUAAUCAAUAUACAAGAUCUCGAGAGACGAAUUGGUGUCGCACAUCCAUGCCUCUGGUAAAGAUUUCAGUGCGUCACAUUCUCUAAUCUGAACUUUCUUCAACUUGGAAGGCAGAGCAACCUCAGGAAAGGAAACAAGGGAACUGCAGCCGUGGAUUUCUAUCUCUCUCAAGGAACUGAGGUUGAGCGAUGAUUGUGGCAGCUUCACAAGGCCUUCGCAAUUACUCAAUCCUAGAUAUUCAAGUCUGCAUGACAACUCGCAGAGCUGCUGUUGUUGGUCUUUCUCUUCCUCCGCGACCAAGGAUUGAAGUUUGGGACAGCUUGUAAUCGUCAGUCUUCUGAGAGAGCAAAUGUCUUGCAGUAAUUCGUUAUGACUCUUCCAUAUAUGUGUUUCAUUUUUCAUAUUAUUUAUCCCCAAUUCUCCCAGUUUUGGUAUUCGCGGCUUCAAUGGCCCUGCGAGAAACACUUGAUUUGAUGUAUCUCUACAAACCACUGAAUUCUGUGAGCCGAGAUGAUCAGUUGCACUUCUCCACACAGCCUUUUUACAUCCACCAAUUUCAAUUUUGCAAAGAGCUGGAAGACUUGCAACUGAAACUAACAAUUCUUCACAUCCUCCAAUUACAAGCAUCUCCAAUGCAGGAAGGUGUUCUGGAAAUGUUCCUUGCAGCUUAGAACAGCUUAUAAUAUGAAGCUCUCUCAAUUUAGGAAACCCUUCAACUCCCUGACCAGAUCUAAGAGGAAUCCAGUCUUCCCAUUCUUGCAUGUUUUCAAAACGAAGAGUCUCCAAGCAUGGAAAAGCAAUCGGGGAAUCAUUCCCAUAGAACUCUGAACCCAAACUCUUUACUCUACUCAUUCCACGCACUGCAAGAUGCUUUAGAGAGGAUAGUUGCCCGACUGACGGCAAGGUAGUACACACGCCGCAAUCUUCAAAUUUAAGUGUUACUAAAUUUGAGAAUGAGCAAUCUCCUAACCAUGUUGGAAAUUUUGUACCUCCAUAGCCACAGAUACCAAAUUGUUCCAGAUUUUUAUGGGGUUUGAGCAUGUCAAGCACACCCAUUUCAGUUUCUGCCUCCCUUGAAGAUGAACCGUCGGUGCUGCAAGUCCAAUUAAGCGAUAAUUCUCUAAGACUCUCCUUUACAUCCAACCGAGCCUCCUUUGCAUCACCAAUGUCUUUUACAUUCCCUAAAUUUGAAAUUUUAAGUGUCCCCUGAAGAUGUAUCAAUGACUUUAGCUCUCGUAACCCAGAACCAUUGUCUUUUCCCACAGCAAAAUUACUCAACGUCUGAAGACAAGUCAGCUUACCAAUUCCUACUGGCAUUUCCUCCAACGAAUCUGUAUUUGAAUUAUUGAGAUGAUGCAAUUUGAUGAGGUUUCCCGUGGCUGCACACAACUUCUUCAGUCGCCGACAGUCUUCCAACAGAAGGGUGUGCAAAUUGUAAAGCUUGCUGACUGAUUCAGGCAGAGUUUUAAUCUCAGUUCCAGACAGGUUAAGGUGCCUUAAAUACCUCAAAUCACCAACUGAAUCCGGCAGCUCGGAGAUGUGAUAUCCACGCAAAGAGAAGACCCUCAACCGUUGGAGUUUGAACAACUUAGGAAGAAUGCUAUGAGCCAAGUAUCCACGCGAACUAUUUGUCAACAUUACUGGUAAAAAAGUUCGCAAAUGUUGGAUAUCAUACAAGCCCUCAAACCUUUUAACGCCAUCACAUGCUCCACCAAUGUACGAUAGAUGACGAAGAUUUUUGGAAAAACUUUGUUGCUUGUUAACCUCUGAGGUAUACUCCAUUGUGAAGUACAUCUCCCCUGCAGCCCAAUGGGCAAGGUCGUUGACAAGGUCGUGCAUCACAAAUCGUGAUUUAUUGUUGCUUGAUUGCUGAAAAAAAGAUCUUGAACGUAGCUCUUGAAAGAACUUUCGACCUAGAUCUUCAUUAGGAUUCCCGCUCUCUUUGUGAUCCAAGAAACCCGAAGCACACCAUAAUAAAAUUAUCUCCUCCUCUUCAAAUUCAUAAUCCUUUGGAAACAAUGAGCAGUAUGCAAAGCAUUGUUUCAAAGGUGCCGAAAGAUAAUAGUAGCUCACUCUAAGCGCCGGUAUAAUGUCACAUCUCUCUUCUGGUAAAUCCCAUAUCUUGCAACUGAGCACACCUUCCCAAUCACUCCGGUCAAGUUUACCACGCAAGAGACCACCAAGAGUUUUCGCAGCUAAGGGCAAGCCGUUGCAUUUGAUCACUAUCUUCUUGCCAAUUUCCUCCAAUGACUUGUUUGAACUGAAAUCUCUUGUCCCCAAAGAGUGUUGAGCGAACACAGACAAACAAUUAUCAUCUGACAACUUCUCUAAUUGAUAAGCCGGAGCAGUCCCCAUGAUUUCUGCAACCCCUUGAUUACGAGCUGUGACAAUAAUCUUACUUCCCGGUGCGCCAGCUUCAAAUGGAGGUCUGAGUCGAUCCCAACCAUUGUAAUUCUCAUUCCAAACGUCAUCUAAAACAAGCAAAAAUUUCUUUUGAGAUAACUUCUUCUUCAGCUCCUCUUGAAGCAAAUUUAAAUCACUGUCAUCAGUAGUCUGCUUAGUAAUGGAUCUUAGAAUUGUUUUUGUUAGCCUGAUAACAUCAAAAUCAUCAGAGACACAAGUCCAUGCCUUGAGAUCAAAAUGACCCUGCACUCGAGCAUCAUUAUAGACAAGCUGAGCGAGAGUGGUUUUACCCAGCCCGCCCAUGCCUAUGAUAGGAAUAACAGAGAAUUCACCAUCAUUUCUCAAAUCAUCCCUCAACAACAAUUCAACAAUUUCCUUCUUUUAUGCUUCCCUGCCAAAUACCUUGGCUUCAUUCACCAAAGAGGUUGUGGGUAGUCUUUGCCUGUCUUUUUUGGACCCCCCAGUUGAACUUUCUUUCAAAUCCAGCAAGUCUUUCUGUGUCACAAUUUCUUGAAAUCUGCCGUUGAUCUCUUUGAUUUUGGACAUCAAGGCAUAAUCGAACUGAAUCUAUUGUGGAGUAAAAGUGGUGCAGCAAGUAGGAAUGAGCUUCCGAAACUUACUUGUUCUUGUACGACUGCUACUGGGUUGAUCCUGAGCCGCAGCUGGAUCUCCAUUUCCAAGCAGCAACCUCCUCCGGAAAGCCUCAGUUUGAAACUCAUCCAACAAGUCUUCAACAUCAUAAGCGAAGUUCUGAAGCUUGCCAAGCCACUUCUUCACAAACUGAUUAGUCGUCUUCUUCUCCUCAGCAUCAUCAAGCACCGCCUUGAUCAUCUCCAACAUAUUCGCCCACUUCAUCAGAUCGGCCUGGAUUUGCUCUUGGCGUGCAAAAAACAGAAUCCCCUCUGAAGCUAACUUAUUGACCAGCAAAUCAACGGACGCCGUAAGGAUUGCCUCUCCGAUGAUUGACAUUUUUUUCUUUUUUUUUUUUUGUUUUGCAAAGAAAGAAACAGAAUUUUGAGUUUUGAAAAGCAAAAUGAGAAAAUUGAACAAUAAAUGUGGAGGGUCAAGCAAAAUGCGCGUAACAAGUCUUCCGCUUGUUGUUUAUUCCAGGAAAGUGCAAAUAAAAACAGAGCCCACCACCCAUUAAUAAUUGAGCAAUUCACCAAUCACGAGUCACCACCACUCGUUACCAUGAAUAUAAUAAAUUGCACCUUGAUAUUUGCAGGGUCCAGCAACAUUGACCCAGUGUCCGGGUAAAUGCUGAAUAACGAGGAAAAUGGAAUGUAUCCCCUACGAACCUUCGCUUUACUAGUCUUCAAACUCAUAAACCAAGUUAAAUCAAAAUGUUUAUCUCUCUCACCCUUUUUGCCAUAUAAUUACUUUAUUUAUUGAAUUAAUUUCCAUGCUAAAACGAACACUUAAAAGUGCACUACAAUUUUUUAUAAUCACUACUAUCAUGUUAUCUUAAUGUCGUGUCAAAAUAAAUUAUAAUAAUUUUUUUUUUACAUAAACACUCUUUUUAUUUAUGAAUUUCUCAAUUUUUAAUAUUUUUUUCACUCUUUUAGUCUUAAUAUUUGUAUUUCUCUCUUUAAUCUUUCUUUAUUACUUAAUUUUUAAAGAAAAAUAUAAAAAAAAAGAAAAAUAUUAUACUUAAAAAAUAGUGUAUAUUUUAUGGAUCUAAUACAAACUGUAUUGUUUUUGACAAUGAAAGUCAAGCGAAAAAUCUCGCUCAUAGAAAACUUUGUGAAAGGCAUUUGAAUGUGUGGCCACAUUUUCCGAACGAAACGAUGAGGCUUUAGCCUUAUAAUUGCAAUUAGUUUGUCUUGUAACUAAAUUAUUGCCGACAAACACCAUCAUGCUGACAAACCGUGCAUGCACGUCCUCAAUCACCCACGUCCUCUACUUGUGUGAACCGUGAUUCUCAAAGACUUCGACAUCGUAUUUCCCAUUAUUUCCCGUACUUUAUGCGUUAUUGUUUUGUGGACUUGACUAGCUUACAGAAUCUGUAAGCUACAGACUGCAGCAUCAGCCGUUGGAUGUGGUUGGAUGUGGAGUGAGAAACUAAACAAUAGAAAAUCGGAUGGUGGGAUGACGGGAGAUGUUUGUUACAGAAUCUGCAGCAUAGACAGGUCCUUGUUUUGUAUGUCUUUUGGUGUUUGCGGUGUAGUUAGGGAUGGUAGCGGGUAGGGUCUGGUACGGGUUUGACAUCACCAAACCCACAUCUACAAAAAAUUUUAAUUACUAAAUUCGCUGUGGGUUAUAUUUAAUUUUAUUUUUUUUUAACGAAGCCCAUUCACUGUCGGUUUGAUUGGUGCCUAGUGGAUAUUUUGCGAGUUCCCACGUAUAAAAUCACACUUGCAACAAAAUCUAAAAAUUUAAAUUACGUAAUUCAAAUCAUAAAUUUAUAAUUGUUGCCUAAAAAACCACAUAAAAUAUUUAGUUCUACAUUUUAUUAAUGUAAAUGAGAAAUGAAAAUAUCAACAUUAAAACAAAUAUACAAAAUAUAUCCAUUUAACACGAAUUCUUAAAUUUAAUUACCAAAUAAAUAAGCCUAUCACAACUCGAAGUGUUUUCAAUUGAAAAGAAAAAAGAGAAAGAGAAAAAAACAAAGAACUACAAAUCAAAGUAGCACCCAUAACCUAUUUCAUAGGCUCAUUUGACACCAAGAUCUUAGAAUUAAGAUCUUCAAUUCACUCAUUACCACUAGCACCCAUUCAAUGUAGUUUGUCUAAACAAAAUAUAAAGUACAAAAUUACAAUAAGCAUAUGAUACUCCAUACUUUAUGUUAAAGAUCCUUAUAUAAUUUUAUGACUAUUUUUAGUGAAAUUUUAUGAUUAAAGUUAAAAAUAAAAAUAUUAAAAUAAGAACGUUGGACACCUGCGCAACUAUUUGCCAAAUUUUUUCUCUAUAAAAAUUCACUUGCAACUUGCAGCAGGUUUAAAUUUAUAAUAUCAAACUUGAUUGUAGCUCGCAAAAUUUUUAGAUUUGCGAUAAUUUUGCCACCCUAAGUGCAGUUAGUAUUGUAUAUCAUGUGUUUCCAAUUGGCUCUUAUAAAAAGCCUAGAAGUUGUUUGAAUAAUGAGGGAGACAAAUAUUUCCCAAAGAUAUUCUCUUUUUCAAUUUUUUUUCUUUUCUCUAUUAUUGUAACUUCAAAUCCUUAAAAAUUACAUAUUAUAGACAUGAACACAAUGUUUUGACAUAGUGGCUUUUGGCUUGUCCAGAGAAAUUUAGGAUAGAUUUUGAUGUACUAAGGCUCUGUUUACUAUUGAGAUUUUGGAACUUUUGAGCCACACUUGAAAUUUGUUUAAUUCUAAUAGAGUUGUAGCUUUCGAUAUGUGAUUGGUAUUAAUCAAGUGUUAUGUUUACAGCAGUUAAAGGCAUAUUGAAUCAAAGUCCACUUUUGAUUGAGAUUUUAAAGUAGGUUUUUAAUUUGAUAGCCACUCAAGUUCAAAUAUUGGAACCACAGUGCACCUUUCACUUGCUAGGCUUUAACCAAACAGACGACGUUAUACAAACUUCUAUCCAAUAAGGCAAUGCAAACAAAAGCAAGUGAAUUAAAAAUAAAUAAUUUCUCAUUAAUUUGCAACAAGUAUUAAUAAAGUGCAUGAGAAAAUAUGUCUUUUUUUAAAUGAAAAUAAAUGUGUUAAUUAGUCAAUUUAAAUGGUACGAUGUUUUGAAAUGAUAGAAGCGAUCUGGAGUUUAAAUCUUACUCUUGACGUAAUAUUUAAUAACGAAUUUGAAGAACAAUUAAAAAUUAAAAAAAAAAUGCUUUCUUUUUUAACGAUGGUAAUUUGUUGAGAUGAUGAAAAUUCUUAGAGUGGUAUAAUAAGUAUUUUUGAGUGUUGCCAUCGCGAAUAAUAUUUAAUUUCCUUUAUAUAGUUAUAUCUCAAGUAACAUUUAAACAAAAGCAAGUUGGAAAUUAAAAAAAAAAUGAACCAUUGAGAGAAUGAAAAACAAACAAAAAAAAAGUUAAAAAAUUGUAUCUCAAUAAAUUUACUUGAGAGCUACUCUACUGAUCUGUGAAGAAAAAACACAAAGAAUGAUGAUGUAUCUCAAUUAAUAGGACAGUUUUUGUAUUCUUCGUUUACUCAAUAAUCACGAAACUUCAUUUAAACUUGUUACUUCAUUGAUAAUAUAUUAACAUUGAACAAUGUAGGGAACAUUCCUUUCCAAUUAUGCCCAUAUAUUAACCAAAGGCCACCAAAAAGUUCAGGAAUACUAUAGUAAUUUAAGUCAACAAUCUCUGUGCUUGAAAUCAGCCGAUCAAACUCACUUUAGAAUAAACUGAGAAAUCAAAAUCACAUUCUCCAAUUCUACGAUUUCAAUUUAUCUUCUUUCUUCAACUGAAGAAUUGGUUGUAUCUCGUUUAGAUAAAUAUAAAAUAUAAAUGACGAGGAGACUGGAAAAGUAAAAUCAAAAGCAGAGCACGAGUUUUGUUGAAAAUGACUCUUUUUCAUCAUUUUGCCAGAGUGAAUGUAUCUACAUAUAAACUAAAGAAGCACGUUUGUUUGUAUUAGCUUUUUUAUUAUAUUUUUAAUAAUAAGUCAUUUUUCAAUGAACUUAUAUCAAUUUUUACGAAAAUAAUAGGUGUUAGUUAGUUGAUUCAAAUGGCAAAACCUCUUGGGAUAGAGCUUGUAAUUUAUUGGCUCAUGAAUUGUCUAAAUUGACACUACCGAAGCCAAAUUAUUGUAUUUGGUUAAAAAAGCUCCUGCUCAGCUUCAACUUUAUUAUUCUAUGAUGUUUGUUAAUAAAUAACAAUUUUAUUGAAAAAAAAAAAAGACCCCUUGUCCUUAUACAAAAGAUUUGGGAUCUGAAUCUGACUCGAAUUUAGCUUGAGGUUGACAUUGUUAGCAUAAUAAUUGAAGAUAGAUUUUUUUAAAUUAAAAAUCAAAAGAUAUAUAUAUUUUUUUGGUUCACACUAGUUAGUUUUAACUAUAGUGAGAUUUAAACAAAAGCGGAAUAAUAAAUCUUAACAUCCUGACUCAUGGAUAACAUCUACAUAAGAUAGUAAAAUCUAUUAUGUCUAAAAUAAGAGGUUUGAAGUUUGAAUUUCGCUUACAUAGGUAGUAAGAGAAUCAAAUUAUUGUUAGAUUAAAGUAAUUAAAACAAUUAUCUGAUGUCCAAAACAACGUAUCAACAAAAUUGAAAUAAAAGAAAAUUGAAGAGAAAAACCAUUGAGAGAACGAAAAAUUAACACAAGAUAAAUUCGAUAACUAAUUGUAUCAGUGUGCGCCAACUCCACUUAUUAAAACUUGGUUAUUUCAUUUUCAUCGAUAAUCAUUUUGACAACGAUUUUUCUUUCUAGCUAUGCCCAUGAACUAAUAAGAGAACUGCCGAAAGGGUUCGGGGAUAAUAUAGUAAUUUAAAUUAACAUUUUCUGUGCUUCAAAUCAUCAAAUCAAACUCACACUUCACAACAACAGAGAAAUCAAACUCACGGUUUCUCUCAUUUUUAAUUUGUUAUAUAAAGAUAAAUAUAUAAAUUUAAACGGCGAGAAGACCGGACGAGGAAUACGAUUACUUGUUCAAAUUGGUAUUAAUCUAAAAAUAAUAAUAUUAAAUAAAACACCUGUAACUUUAAGACAUGCAUAUUCUCAAAGCACAAGUGGAGCCGAGAGGCUGGGAGUCGUAAUGGAAAAAAAAUUAAAACACCAUUUACUAAAUGUUAAAUGUUACUUUUUGAUUAAUCUCAUAAGCAACAACAGUUUGACAUAAAUAUCUUAAAUAAAUAUUUUAAUAAACUUUUUAGACAAUGGUAUUGGAGAUUAUUAUUUUUUAAAAUCUGAGAAUCAACUACGAAUCGAUGGGUAAACUCUAAAAAGACUAAUGGUAAAAUUACCCGCCACCAAAAAUUCGUAACAAAUCCCAAGUACUUAUCAAUAAAAGCAAGCGGAAAGAAGAAGAGGCCUGGCUGGCCAUCCUAAGUACUUAUCCGGGUCAUGGGUCAUGAGUCAUUGCCGUAUAAAAAAUUUUGAAAAUUCCAAAUGAAAAGAUAUUUUGAAAUUGGGCAGCUGGCCUUUUUUCCUUGCUAUUAUCUACAAUAUUUAUUUUUGCAAUCCGCAUGCAUGCUCGGUUAUGAUCACCCACGUGAUCGGUAUUACGUUUUUUUUAUCUUCUUAUUGACAAAUUAUUUAGUGUGCGGACUCCAUUCAUGCUCCCACGUUAAUCUUUCCAAAUUUUGUGCAAUAAAAGUUCGGCCGAUCCGCUAUUCACUUUGCCACAGAAGCGAGACCUCGCAAAAGCAACUUAAUUACUUCUUGAGUUUUAAUUUGGAAAGUGGAGGUUUCUUCUGAUUUGAACAAUAUGGAAACUACCGCUGCAAGUUUUUUUUUUUUUGGGCGAAUUUCAGUUGAAUAUCAUUUAUAAUUCUUAUUUCAAUAUAUUUAUAAAUAAGUUUAAUAAUAUUAAAUUUUCACUUAAGAAUGACCGGUGGGAGGGUCAUGCAGAUGUGCCUGAUUUGGGUGUUGGAAUAUUUAUAGUGGCCCAUGUGCCACAUUAUUGAAUUAGCAAUAAUUUAAAAUUUAAAUGAUAAAAUAAAUAAUGGGCCAAAAUGGUCAAUUGGGAAAAUCUAAUUGCCCACUUUAAUGGAAAGUGGAAAUAAGAGUUUUAUUGAAAUUGAUUUUCUCUCUAUAUAUAUAUAUAUAUCGCGUUAAUUUUCGUUCCAUCAAAAAAGCAAAUCACUCUAAAGGGGUCAAGAGAUAAAAAUUAAUUUUACUAAUCUUUAAUUAUUUACCGUGAGAUUUGAUCAAGAAGAUUGUUAUGGAUCAAGAUAUGUUUUCUCUCAAUUAUGAUGAUGUGAAAAUCAUGAUAUUCUAUGAUCUUAGGGAUUGAAGUUUAUGUAAAUUAAGGUUUAUUUGCUUUAUAAGAGGUGUAAAAAUUCUCAACAACCGGUAGCAGAGCAUGGUUUAAGAAUUUAUGAUUUUCUAUUAAGAUAUGUAAUAACCCUUUCUUAAUUUUCAAUUGUCCUUACGAGUAUAUGUCAAUUUGGAUUUUUAUUCCACAUAUACAUAAUGUAUAAAGAAAGUUACUGGCAUAGAAAUUUUUUGCAAAAAAAAAAAAAAGAAUUCAAAGAUGUUUUUGACUGCUGGCGGCACAUUACAUAAAGAUGAAAUUAGGUUAUCUUUUCUAGUUUUUCAUGAGACACCCUAAGGUUUAUUUAGUUUAUGUUUUUCGCCAAAGUUUAGAAUGUUGUUUCAUUUAAGUCCAAUUGAAUUUGCAACGGCCAUCACAUGCUGUCUUCAAGCCGAAAUUUAGGAGCAAUUGCAUGUGACAUUUCAGUGUAGUCCCUGAUAUUCUAUUUUAUUAAAUUAAAGAUAUGAUUAAUUGGAUUUAGUAUGAUAAAGGCGCCGACUUUAUGUGCAUCAAGCCUUAUAAGUUUUGUUCUCAUAAUUUUGAAUGCUUCCGCUCAUUAAUUAAUGAUCUCCGAAAUUUCUUAAUGUUCCAAUUUUAAUGUUUGAAAUUUGAAUUGAUGGUUGUGGUUUUAUUUACUUUAUUAAAGAAAUUACUUUGUUAUAAAUGUUCAAUUUGACAUUCAUAUUAUGAUAAUUUGUUAGUUACUAAAGUAGCCAAAUUAAAAAGUUUUCAUAGAUGUCAAAUUAAAUUCAAUUUCAAGUUCUCAUAAUUAUUGUGAUGCGUAUCAUUUAAUGACAUGAUGAUCUUGUUGUAUGAGUAUAUUGAAAUUCAUAGAUUAUAAAAUAUUUAGGAAUUGCUCAAAGGUUGAUUAAUUAAUUUUAUAGUAUAUGAUCAUGAUUGUGGGUAAUUAGUAUGCUUGUUUAGAUAUGUUUAGUAUAUCCAAAGAUAGCAAGCAUGUCUAGUUUAUGUAUAGUUGAUUACUGAUUAUGUGAAAUUAAAGUUAAGCAUCAAUUAUGUUUAUUGCAGUGUAUUGUUGUAUCACCAAAUAAAUUAAGCUUCAUAAUUUUAUGUUAGUAAGUAUUAAUAAAUUAAUAUAGGUAACAUUAAAUAAUUUAAAUUAGCUGUAGAAAAUUUUAAAAUAUUUUAUUGAUGAUAAAAAAAUUAGCGAUUAUUAUAUCAUGAAUUAAUUGAUAUGUAAAUUAUUUAUUUAUCAAAAUUAUUUUUCAUUUAAUUAAAUAUUAAUUGAGGUUUAAAAAUUAACAUGGUAUUGUAUUUUAUGGUCCUGACCCCCAUCUCUAAAUUAGAAGCAAUUCUCAAACCCGUCCCAUCUCUAAGGAAAGUUUCGUCUUCAGCAUAAUAACUAUAUAAUAUCAUAAUUCACCCCAAUUCUGUUUUUGAGGUUUUUUGGGGCCCAUACCCGAUCCCAAUUCAUCGCGAGCCAGCACAUGAGUCCUGCUCGCGGAUUACAAAAGCAAAUAUUGUGGAUAAUAGCAAGAUAAAAAUUGUGGCGGGUACAUAACGCGAAACAAAUAAGAUUACAAUUAAAUUAAACGCGAGAAAUUACUUUUCUAGCAAAAGCUUAAUCCAACCCCUCCAUUACUUCUUUUUUUUUUUUUUGGUAAAAAGGGGCUCUAGGCAGAGCUAAAGAACAAUCGAGCGAGAAUGGGCAACCCCAUAAGCAUCCUUAAACAAAAAGGGUCUAGCACCCAACGGGGGAGUAUGGUAGAUAGUAAGACCAAGAGGAAUAGAGAAGGCUAGGCUCGCCAUAUAAUCCGCUGCGAAGUUAGCUUCUCUGUAAAUAUGGGAAACAGAAACUUGCCAAUCCAUCUUUAGAUAAUCCUUGAUAGCUCGAAUCAGAGGAGUAUAGUGAUUGAUUUCCAAUGUUGGCUUGGUCACCAACUGCAGCACACAACAACUAUCUAUUUCCACUUUAAGCUUUCUUAUACCAGAAUUCCAGGCUAGCUGCAACCCUUGAUACAAACCCCAAAGCUCCGCUACUGUAACAGAGCAGGAACCUAUCAUCAUCCCAAAACCACUUAUCCAGCGACCCAUGUGAUCGCGAAUCAAUCCCCCAGCAGAAGAAAUUCCCUCCCUGUUAUGGGCACCAUCCGUGUUCAGAGAGCACCAAGGCCAAUCUGGAGGUUUCCAAGAAAUCCAUCUCAUCACUCUUGUAUGUCCUGAGGUAAGCGGAUGAGAAUGAAUCUUAUGCAUUUCCGCAGUGCGCAUAAAAACAUCCAUUAAAACAGUAUUCGGAUCCAUAGAAACUUGAUUAAAGAUGAAUUGGUUCCUCCAAAACCAAAGUCUCCAGAGAGCAAUACCAAAGAAGAUGGCCCAAUUAGAAACACUCCCUAGCCCUCCGACCAUUCCCAGGUUCGUACGAAGCCAAUCAUGGAGCCGCCAAUUGAAGAAUUGUUGUCGUUUAUUUUCUGGGAGAAUCAGGAGCCAGAAACGCUUAACCAAAGCACAGUCCCGCAAGACAUGCAUAGCAUCCUCAGUCGCAGCCCCACACCGGUCGCAGGAGGUUGAUACCGGGAUGUGACGACGAACUAAUUCGGCCUUAGUUUUCAGACGAUCGUGAAAUGCUUGCCAUAAGAAGAUCCUCACACUUUGGGGACCCUUCCAACUCCAAACCGUACGCCAGAGCCUGUCAUCAUGCAUGGGAGUAUCAUUCGAAAAGGCCAAGUAGGCCGAGUGAGUAGUGAAACGCCCAGAUUUGGAGUGAGUCCAAAACAAAGAAUCCGUACCCUUAUCAGGGGAUGGGGGAUGAAAAGCCGCAAUCUGAAUAAUGAUAUUAGCAGGAAGAAAUUGUUCAAAACGCUCCCAGAGCCAGGAACCAUCUUCUUUAACAAAAUCAGCCACUUUACCGUUUAAGAUAUUGCUAGGAAGAUUAUUGGUUGUAUAAGCCGCAAGAGGGACAUCCUUAGUCACCCAAAGAUCCCACCAAAACCAAACGGAUUUACCAUCUCCCAAGCACCAGCGUCGGCUUGCCAAAACAUCACUCCACACAUUUCCGAUAGACUUCCACAAGUGAGAACCAUAGCGCGUUGGAAUGAUGUAUUCUUUAAUUAUUUUUCGUUAUUUUACUUCCUGUUCAUCAAGUUUGUGAUGUUUACAACAAUUAUUCAUUUGAAAAGUUAUCCAAUGAUGUCAAUACGUGAAAAUUGAGAAUAUGUAUAGCGAAAAAAGUUUUCUUCCUCCUCCCUUAUUGAUUCAAAUUAAAAAAAUUUUAUAACGGAUUUAAUGUGGUUUAAAAGUUCAAUUUUAUAUAACAUUUUAACGACAUAAACGGAACAGAUCAAUCACAUAAUCGAGCAUAAUGAUAAGAAUCUUCUUGCUAUAUGUGCAAGAUGAAUUAUAUAAUCUUGAUUUUGGAAAAUGUGAUCAGAGCUGCAAAAAUGAAGAUUAUUUAACCUUGGAUGACAAUGAUUAAUACCCGUCCAUUUCUCCUAAGCUCUGUUUCUUACUUUGAUGCGCACGUGACUUGAGAGCUUCAUCUUCCUCUAGCUUCCUUUCGUGAAACGUACUACCAAAUAACAGUAGCCUACUAACAAAUUAAGAAAUAAUCCAAUAUCUUUAGUACAAAUCCAAGUAGUCUCAUUUUGACUUUGAGCAAGCUUUUUAAUUCCACACUCAGAGACAAAAUUUUGUGAAUUCACAUUAUUUAACAAAAUAAUUAACAAAUUAAUUGUGAUUAUGGUUGACGAUCAUUUUGAUAAGCAUCAUAAACAAAAUGACUGUUGUAGAGGCCGAAAUUCCAAAAGUUUCGUUGCAUAUUUAGUGAAAUAAUGCAAGGACGAAGUAUCACUUAGCUGUAAGAAUUAGCCACCCAACAAUUUGUGGAGUUUGUUUUAGGUAAAAUAAAUAAAUAAAUAAAUAAUAGAGAGCAUAAUUAAGCCAACAUGGAUAGACUAACUUAAACAAUAUAUUGCACACAAUGAUUAUUUUUAUUAACUUUCUUUUUCAAGAAGACAUGGUACACAAAAGUAAAAAAAAAAAAUCUCUUGUAUAGCUCAAGAGAUUUUAUAAGUUGAAUUAAGCCAACAGAGACACUCACACAAUUGAUAGAUAAUGAUAACCCAUUAUUUUAUUUAACUAAUAUAAUACGGAAAGAGUAACUUGUACUUAACCAGUGUAGUCGGGAUUUCUUCCAUGUUGAGGGACAAUAAGGAGAUCCAGAUUGUCGUUCAUGCUCUCAUCAUUAAAAAUACUGAUCAGAGAUAUUAGAUCACCCUCAGACCACUCGACCUUCCCUAAAAACUCACAACAACAAUUAUAUUCAUUAAUACAUAUAUUAAAAUAAAAAUUAUAAAUGACAUUCAACUGAACAUGGCCUGAGAACCUGGAUAAGGAACUUCUAUGUUCUUCAAAUUAGAAAAGAUAUCUUCUAACUUCUGGUGAACCGUAAUCGAAAUUGAAGUUGCUUUUGUUUCUGGUUUGAUAAUAUGUUGUUGAUGUAUUUAUUUACGAGUCUUCAUAUAGUAUAGUGCUGUAUGCAAUACAGCCCCUUCAACAGUAAAAAGGAAACUUGAACAACCGAUAUUUUACCGGUUGUACAUUUAAUAAAUUUUUAAAAAUUAUUUUUAAUGCAGAAAAAUAAAAUAAAACGGAAAAAAUUAAGGAAAAUUUGUAAAUAUUUAACACAAACAAUAUUUGAGAAAAAAAUAUUUUUUAAUUUCAACAAAAGUUAAAAAAAUAAAAAUAAGCAUGUCUCGACUCUUUUGUUUUAAUGUCAAUAUAUUAGGUGACAUUCCAAGUUAAUUUCACAUAUACCUAAUUUUGAUUAAACUUUCUCACUAGUUGGUUUGCUUAUCUCCACUUUCCGAUCCACUAGUUUUAUGUUUAAUAUUCCCACUAAACUCGUUAAAUACUAAUAUUUUAGGUCAAAAUCCAAUUAAAUUUAUUUCUCGUUAGACAAGUAUCAAUAUUCCGUUAAACUUUCUCCACAUUUGGUUCAUGUGUUUCAACGAUUAUUCUACUAGUUUUUCAUUUAAUAUUUCAACUAGUUUAUCAAGAUUCCAAUUAUAUGGGCUAGAUAUUGAUAUCACUUUUUUUUGUUUGAUUAGUUCUAAAUUUUGGUAAUAGUUUUCCAUCUAUAGGUUCACAUGUUUCAACUUAUUGGUCCACUAAUUUUACAUUUGAUAUUUCUACUAAAUUUGUCAAGUACCAAUAUUUAUUGUUAGCUUCCAAGUAAUUAACAUUAUUCGUUGGAUAAGUUUCAAGUUUUGGUUGUUCUUUCUCUCUUAAUGGUUCACGUGUUUCCUCUAAUUUUUUCCCUAAUUUUGCGUUGAAAAUUGCCAUUAAUUGGUUGAGAUUCCAAUUACUAAGGUUAUGUACUAGGUUUGUUUUCUAUAACUUUAUUUUUUGUUUUGUAGGUCUCUAAUUUUGGUUGUGCUUUCCCCAUUUUUGGUUGACGUAUUUCAAUUGUAAUUCCACAGGUUUUGUGUUCGUUAUUCCAACUAACUUGGUAAAAUUCUAAUUAUAUGGGUUAAAUAUCAAUAUUAAUUUUGCUUGGUUUGAUUAGUCUCAAGUUUUGGUUAUACUUUUUUAUCUUUUGGUUCACAUGUUUCAACUUAUUGGUCCACUGGUUUUGCAUUUCAUAUUUCUAUAAAGUUCGUUAGGUACUAGUAUCAUGGGUUAGAUUCCAAGUAAAUAUCAUUUUUUGUUAAAUGAGUUUCUAAUUUUCAUCAAACUUUCUCUUCUAAUGGUUCACGUGUUUCAUCUAAUUUUUCCCUAAUUUUGUGUUAAAUAUCCCCAUUAACUGGUUGAGAUUCCCAUUACUGAGGUUAGGUACCAAGUUUGUUUUCUAUAACUUUAUUUUUGGUUUUGUAGUUAUCUAAUUUUGGUUGUGCUUUUCUCUAUUUUUUGUUGACGUAUUUCAUUUGUAAUUCCACAAAUUUUGCGUUCGUUAUUUCAACUUAUUCCACAUGUUUUGCGUUCGUUAUUAGAAUAAAAGCAACAUGUUCCAUCAAAAUUUAAGAAUGAUUACUAGUGCUUUCAUGCUCGUGGAGGUGAGAAUGGGAGACGCUUGUUGUCUUAAGUGACUAUUCUUACCCCACUAAAUUUAAUUAAUUUAAUAAUUUAAUAAAUUUAAUCAUUCCUUCUCUAUAUGGUGUUUCCAGCCCUAACGAUUAUUUUCUUAAUAUUAAAAUUGUCAAUAAUAAUAAUUACAAUUAUUAUAACAAAUAGUAAUAAUGAUAAUAAUUGAUUGAGGAUAAAUUAAUAAUUUAUAAUAACUCAUUCUAAUUUAUGUUCACAAAGUAAACAUAUUAAUAGCGAUAUAGAAUAUUCCAAUUGUGUUUCAUUCAUCCAACAAAUAUCAUAUUUUGUUUGUUAUUCUUCAUUUUUAUUGUAGCCCAUUCUAAUUCUAUUUUUUUUUAAAUUUUUGUAAAUUUCAAUUAUUUAUUAGUGAACACAUCAAAAAUUUAAUAAAAAUCAAAUUUCACAUUAGAAAGAGCAUGCAAGGUAGACUUUUGUAGGGUUUGCAAAUCAUAUUGUAGGUAUUUGGAAAUUCACAAAAAGUAAAUAAUGUUAUGUACAUAAAUAAGUUCUUGUUUAUAACGUUUUGCUGUAUUUCACAAAAAGUAAAUAAUGUCGUGUUUGGAUGCUAGGAUUAAGUAUGGGAUUGGACUAAUUUUGGGAUUAAAUAUUUAUCCAAUGUUUGUCAAGCUUAGUUGGAUUGGAUUAAGGGGGUAGUAAUUUAAAUUUAAUCCUAAAAUCAUGGGAUUAAUAAUCCUAAUUUACGCAUGGAUUUAGUUGGGAUAAGAUUAAUGAAAAAAGUUGUCCAUUUAUGAGAUUUUUAUUUAUAUCAUUUUUUUAUUUGCACCUAAUAUUAAAUAAUUAAUUAAUUUUUAUUAUGAUUUACUUAAAACUUAUUUUUAUUUAUUAGCUAUGAUCUAAUUAAAUUAAUAUCUUUACUUGUAUUAACUCUAGAGAUUAAAUUUUCACCACUUAUAUAUUUAGUAAUUUACCGAUAAAAUUAAAUGUUUAAUUAUUUAUUUCGCAAACACACCAAUAUUACAUAAUUUCCCUAUUAUUGCCAUCGGUUCCCAAACAUCCAAGAGCCGGUCGGCAACAAGAGAAAAAAUAGGGGUGACAUAACGACGACUAUGUAAUCAUGGCCAAUAAAUUAUUUCACAGUACCUAAUUAUAGCAACGAUUAAAUGCAACCUGAAAUAUGUUGUUGAAGUCAUAGUUAUGGAAAAUUUUACAAACUUCAAAUAAGACCAAAAAAUUACAAAGAGUAAUGUUAAAUAUCCCAAUUAAAAUUGUGCCACUAUUCAAUCACAAAUGUAGGAUAGGUGACUAUAAUUUUUCUAUAAGUAAUGCUUUGGUACUUUUAACAGUGUGAUGAGUAAACGUUAAUUUUUAUAUUUUAACUCAUGAUCGUUAAGAGAAAUUAAAUUUGGGGUGUGUUUUUCAAAUAAACGUGACACUUCAAAAAUAUAUAUCUCAUCCUUCUCCCCGUUCCUCAUCAAAAACCACUUUUUCCAAUUUUCUCCCACAGGAUGCAGGAAUGAAGAAUGCAUGGAAGGAGAAAUUACCUAUCCAAACAUCCAUAUAUGGAAAUCAUCAACACAAACCACAAAAUUAAGCUAUCUUAUGAAAAAUGACCAUAAUGCAUAAUCAAAAUAUAACAAGUAUUGACAAAUUUGAAAACAAAAUACAUAAUAAUCAUAAUUUCUGGGCAUAAAACCAUGGGAUAAUCACUAAGGAGGUGGUGGAGAUGAAGAUGAGGAUGGCGGCGAAAUCCCAAGAGUGCGGUAGAUGAGCUGCUGGUCAUCUAGAAUCUGCUGUUGCUGUGCAAAAAUACUCUGCUGCUCAGAAUGGAAGUGAUAGUGGAACGCUGCAAACCGUGCCUGAAGUUCGUUUGGUUGUAUAGAUAUGGAACGGAUUAAAACCGUCCCUUUAUAUAGGUAAUGAGUAACUACCUUAUCUUUUUAAUAAUUAAAAGAAAAGUAUUCCUUUAAUUAUUGGUAGAAUAUAUUUUCCAAUUCACUAUAAAAAAUAAAUACUACUAGGGUGAAGAAUAUAAGUAUAAAUUGAAAUACAAAAUUUUUUCACUUUAAGCGUUUUCUCAAAUUUUUUCCCAUAAGAAACUCAAAAAUGUAUUAAUGAAUAAGUUGUAAAACAGAAAGUGGACAAGCCGUCCGCUUAAAAAACAAAGUCUAACACUAUUUGUGCCAUACGAAAGUGUACCCAAUCACCCCUAAAGUGUUUUUUCAACUUUUUCUCGUAUUUGUCUUUUAAGAAUACUUAAUAGAUUAGAUAUUGUAAUAUAAAAAUUGAAGACAAAAACAAACAUGAAUGAUGUAUCAAUAAAUUAAUGGAGAUCUAUUACUACAUUUGGAGUAAAAUUAUGAAUAAAUUAACAUAGAUAAUGAAUUUAUGCCUGUACUCUAUAAUGCAAAUAAUAUUAUGUUUUUAAUUCAAUUUAGCACCCUACAAGAAGAGAUUACCUUAUCGCUUCCAAUCCUUCCUCUAGAUCUAAGCCACUUCAUGAACUUCUUGAUCCUUGAUUCGUUCCAAAAUGUGAUAGGAAGUAUAUUCCUAUAAGGCUGAAUGUUGUCAUAUGCAACAUUAUGGAGAUAAAAGAUCUGCAUGAGCAACUUAUAAUUAAUAAGAAUAAUAUUAUUCAUGGUAAGCAUAUGCUCAGCUUUAGUUGCAGAAACUAUGUCACCUGUAGGAAGUGCAAACAAAUUCCAAUGUAUGCUGCUUGUUGUUUCCAUUAUUUCAUUGUCACCAGAAUGUGAGUUUGAAUUACCCAUCCUUUUAUCUCUCUUUUUGUACCUUGCCUUUUGUUCGGGAGGAAGUUCUUUGUUCCCAAUAUUUUUUCGUAACUGUCAAAAUGAUAAUGAAUAUGUCUUAAAACAUAAAAAACCCACAAAAUAAUAUCUGUACAUGCUACAUUUAAUGAAUAUACUAACCCCAAUCGUAAGGACAAAUCUAAAUUUUCACUUCUCAAACGCUUAACUUCUUCAUUGCUGCAAAAACAUAACAUCUAAUUACUGAUAUUUGGUAUGGGCGUGUUUCUUUCCCGAUAGGUAAAUCACAACGACUAUUUACAAGUAAGAGACAAAUCCAUAAGUUGAAGAAGUUGGAACUGCAUCCUGACCAUUUGCUUUUAGAAUAAGAGCACUUUUUUUUCUGUAAGCCCCCUGGUAGUUGUUUACGCUUUCGUCGGUGACUGUCCAAGAAAAAUUUUAAAUAAUUAAGUGAAGGAUAAUUAUUCCAUCAAUAUGUGUUAAUGUUUUUUAAAAAAAUGAGCUCCCCCACCUGCUAUUCAAAGUCACUGUGUAGUCCUUACUUUUUAAUCUAUUAAACAUUCCAUAUAUGGUGGAAUUCAAGCACAAAUUAUAAUUUUAUUUUCCUCAUUUAUACCAAAGAAAAAGAUGAUAAGAAUAACAAAGGAAAGAUCUUUAUUUUUGCCCAAGACUAAGACCUCUCACACACUCACAAUAAAUGAAUGACAGAGUGAAAAAAAUUGUAUAUAAUAAAGGGAUGGGAUCAAGAGCUCUCAUUUCUUACUACAAAAUUUACGAAAUCUAAAUAUUUCAACAACAUAAAAUUUAAUGGAUAAUGAUCUUUGCUGCAUACAUUAAAAUCAUGACUAUUACCGUGCCCUCAACUUUGCAUCAUACAAACAAAUUUCAUCAUAAAACAAAGUACAAUGCUUUUUUUUUUAAUAAAGAAAUACAUUAAAGGUGUUAUGGCAAAACGUGUUACUUCCCUUUCUUGAACAAGAAUUAAGCAACCCACAAAACCAGAGCUUACAGAAACAAGAUUAAGAAAGAAAAGAACAAAGAAGAAUCAAGCAUUCAAAGACUCACUACACACCAAGAACUAACGUGGUUCAGCUCCACAAAGGAACCUACAUCCACGGCUGUAAAAGCCAGCAAGGGCAGAAGCUUUAUUGAACUUGAAGAUGAUGGAUUACAAUUGAGUCACCACUACAGAUUAAACCUUUCUAAGCUUUAGCGUUUUUCUCUCUGUAAUACUUAAGUGUUUCUCUCUUGUGUGUACCCUCGUAGGCUAGCUUAGAGACAGCUUAUAUACAUGUAUGCUCCUCACGUGUGUAUCCACUUGCAACAAAUCAGUCUGUUAUUUAACUAACUAAUUCUCUCUGCUUUUGGAUCCCACUUACGCCAGCUCACCUGCCACAUCAUAAAGCCCAUAACAGAUUAUAACUAACUUCGGCUUCACAAAAGGCUGCUGUGAAUGAGUAGGGGAUGAUGGGUUGUAACCAAGAUCAAAAUCAAUGCAUUGAAACCAAUAUGACAAACUCCAUACUAUGAAUUAUUAUAAACACCUAAUAAAGGGUUAGUAUAUCAGAGGGAUUGGUACCUAGAAUGUACUUCAGCAAAACAGGACCCCUGAAAAUAAGAAAGAAAAGUUUUGCUCAACAUUCCAAAAAAAUAGAAGAAAGUAGAGCAUCUUGUCAGCUCUUUUUAAAAAAUUAUAUCGUUGUAACUUACACAAAAUUCCACUUAGCGCAAUCGUAAGAUUAAGAUAAAGGCCUGCUUGCUGCACCAGCUUGAUAAACUUCAGCAGAUCAGAAUUCCCCUCCAAGUAAUACUAAAACUAAUUAAAACAAAAACAAAAACAAAAAAACAAAAAUAGCAAAACAUUUACUAAAGAACUUAUUUAAAAUAUUACCCUAGAUUUGAGACUACAAGCAAACAGGGCCUUCUGAUAAAAACAAAUUACAUGCCAUAAAUAAAAUUAUUACAAGCCCACCAAAGAAAUUUUCAGGGUUAUAGUGAUUACAAACCUUCCCUAACUUUAUUUAUCUUCACCAAUGAAAAUAGGUCAACAUUUAACAUUCUUUUACAACCAAGUACACCAAGUCUUACAAUUAAAGGUUUAAGGUUACAAAGCAUAGUUACUUAAGACUCUUAGCUUUAUCGUAAGGCACCUUAGAAAAUUCUAUUACCACACAAAAACCUGGGCCUAUUUCUUAUAAACACGGCAAGAAUCACAUCCAAGGUCAAGCAAAUUCAACAACAAGCCCAUACGGCAUAUACCCAGCACAUACAUUGGCCGAUUUGAGGCACAAUACAAUAGAAUAUUAUCAUAAAACCACCACAAUAUCACUGGAUUCGAAUACAGGAACAAUAGAAAUUUAAUUGUUCAAUUAAAUCAUUACCCCAAAUCACGAAUACCAGCGAGACUACAUUAAUUCAUGCCACUGGCAGCAGCACAUUCUUUAAUAAAAUCCUUCAAACAUAAAAAAUCAGCUACAUGCGAAUCUAGAAUUUAAAAGGAAAUAUACAAUAAUUUUUUGAAGAGAAGAAAUGCCUUUCCACUUAUAUUCAAGAUAAUUCAAGAAAAUGACAGGCCCCAAUUCGCAGCUCAUCAAAACAAACCCCAUUACUUGCAGUUGCUUGAUGCUCGAUAAUGUUACCUCUCUCUUUUUUUUUUCAAUUUAUAAUUUUUUCUUUUUUGUGAAUAACGGAAUCUCAAGAUAAAAUAUUGCAGUAUGACUUAAUUGUAACUCUAUCGGUUCAAAAAUAAAAAUGAGAAGCCCUAGCAAUUAUCAUUCGAUUAUCAAUCCCUAGAAAUCAUCUCAAUAUUUCAAGUAAUAAUUUCUCAAUUGCAAAAUCAAAUUAUUGAAACUGAAAUUUCAAGUAAUAUUAAUAAACUAAACUGAAACUUCAAGCAUAUUUAAAUGACAUAAUAAGAUUCUUAAUCAUAUAUUAAAUUAGAGAGAGAGCUCACCGAAACUAUUGGAUGACAUAAGAGAGAGAUACAGCAAGAGAGAUGAUUUACGACAGUGAAAAUUUGAAGCUAUGACUGACGAAAUGAAGCUGAACGCGAGAAAUUGAGCGACGAAUUGAAGCGAGAGUGACAGAUCGAGUAAGCCUGAGUAAAUGGCACUCUUUCGACUACAUCUUUGCUCUUUGCUGUGAUGGGUGGUGAAUAUUCUUGAAUACCAAGUUCAUUGAUCCAAAAUUCUGGAUGUAGGAGAAAACAAUAGCAGAGAGAAUACGAAGGCUGUUAUUUUGAGGAGGAGAGAGAGGCAUCACAAUCCAACGGUUGUGAUUUUUUAGAUAAGUCAAGUGAUGACAUAAUAACUUAAAAGCUUCAUCUUCCUCUAGCUUCCUUUCGUGAAACCCGAAGCAAUUCCUUCCAUCUCUACGAUAUUAACAAAAGCCAAAAUUUUCAACCAUAAUUACAAUUAAUUUGCUACUUAAACAACGUGAAGUUACAAAAUUUUGGUUUCUGAAUGCGGAGUUAAAAACCUCUAACAUCAAUAUAUUGGGAAUUGUGCCCUCAUCGUCUUAAGAUUAUUUGUUAAUUAUUAUGUAGAAAGGAAAAAAGAUGGAUGAUUUCAAUUUCCACCAAUCGAUAUGCAUGCACGAGUCUGAACUGAGACUGAGAAGACUAUUAGUACAGAGACGGAGGAAAAUAAUCUGCUGAAGCACCGAGUGGCCUAUUUGGAUUUUUCGGAGAAGGUUGAUCUUUAAAGUUCAUUGUUUAUUCAACCAAUCAUAAACAAUCUUUUGUAUUAAAAAAAAAAAAUUAAAAGUUCCAGAUGAAAUGGUAUUUUGAAUAUUAUCUGCAAUAUUCACGUGAUUGGUACCACGUUUUUUAUUUUCUUAUUAACAAAAUUAUUUAUUUCGUAGGGACCGUAUUCUCGCUUCCAAGUUUCUCAUACAUAUGCAAUUUAACCAUUGCGGUUAAUUAGCAUUUGAGUUUUGACUUGGGAAGCGGUAGGGAUGGGAAUAAAAUUCGGAUCCGCAUGUUAAAAAAUGCAGAUUCACAUGUAAGAAAUUAAAUCUGCACGGAUCCGAAUCCGGAUUCAAAUACAAGUGCAUUCAGAAAAUCAGAUAUCCGGAUCCGGCUAAUUUUUUUAUUAAAUUAAAAAAUAUAUAUUAACUUUAACUUAAAAACAAAUUUAACCCAACUCUCACAUUCACACGCGCUUACAACACUUUACCAGCAGCCACAUCCCACAAACCCCUAACACCCAAAUACCCCCAAUUCCGUAGGAUGUCGCCGUCUGCCUCACGGCCUGGCCUAAGCCUCGUGUCCAAGCCUCGAUCUAAGUCGGUCUAUGUCGUUGCGCGCUGAACGCCUCGAUCUGAGUCGGUCGCUGCCGCUGCACGCUGCACGCCUCGAUCUGAGUAAGUUGCUGCCGCUACACGCUCGAUCUGAGUCAGUUGCUGUCGAAUCCUCGCCAUCGAAGAAGCCUCUUGCUGUCGAAUCCUCGCCAUCGGAGAAGCCUCGUCUAAGCACUUUAAUUAAAAUGGUAUUGGCAAGCCUUGUUGAAUCCUUUGGCCUUUGUUGAUUCAAUUUAGUUUAAUUUUGAAUAAAUUUCUUUGCUGAUUCGUUUCAUCACUUUAAUUAAAUGCAUUAAUUUUCAAUAUAAUGUAAAUGUUUAAUAGGUUUUGGGAUUAAGUUUUAAUUUGGAAAAUUGUUGAAUUUUUAAAUUAAAAAUUUAAAUCAAAUCUUGGUGAAACCUGUUGUCAUAUGCUGAUACGUCACUGUACAGUAAAAUUUGUUUAUUCAAAAUUUAAAUUAUGAGUUCGAAUUUGAUGCAGAAUGGGCAACCAGCCUACUGCAAACAAAUCUUCUGGAACAGUUCAGAUGAAGGGACAGCCAAUCCAGCAAAACAGCAACUGUUGUGGUUAGCAGAUCAUGUUAUUUUACUACUACAUGUUAACUAUGUUGACUGCAUUAUCUUAUGAAUCUUUUAAUCUGUCAAAUAUUUAUUUCCUGCUUUAAGUUUUUUCCCGUUUAUAACAAAUUUAAUUUCUUGCUCCAUUGCAUUCCAAAUUCCUGUCAAUUUACGAGGGAAAAAGAAAAGAGAGACGAAAUGGGAGAAAAUGGUCAAAUUUGUUAGGGGGGAGAGAGCUGUUCAAGUAGUUUUUGUUCUCGUUUAUUGUCGUGACCCUCUUGUCGCUUCUCUAUGACCUGGAAGUCCGGUCAUAUCGGAUGGGUAAAGUUACCAAAACGGCAUAAUUUUGGGUGAAAUAUCAUAUUUAUGUAACACUUUUGAUAAUAUUUUUAUGCAACAAAAAAAUGUUCGCUGUACCCUUUUCACAUUGUGAAGCGCAUGAUCGGAUGAGAGCAGUCUGGAUUCUGGCAUCACAAGCGAAUGCUUUGAUUUGCUUAGUUUGUUUUUUGUUUCUGAUAUUUUCUUGGCAUUGGGUGGGAUAUUGUUUCUCUUUUGAGUUUCCCUUUUUUUUUUAUUAUUAUGGAAUUUGGAGAUAGUGUACAUGUAUGAAGAAGACGUAAUCAAGUUGUUUUGAUAAAUUCCCCUGGUCGGUUUACUUCACUAACCAUUAAUGCGCAAAACCUCCUAAUGACCCUAAAAAAUCCCGUACAUAAUUAAAGAAUUUCAAUUUAAUAUGUACAAAAAUAAAUAACUCUCAAAUAUAUUAUUUGAUAAUUCUAAAAACAACAAUUCGCUCUAAUAAAUCUCGUAGGAAAUAUAUAGUCUAUAUUGUAAGUCUUUUCGAGACUAAUUCAAAGAGAAAAUACGAAGGACAUAUAAUUGACCUUCAUCUGUCAUUAAGAACUCUAAAUAAAUUCAUAUACGCAUCGCAACUAAUUACAGUCCUGAUACUUCAUUUGGUUUUUGUUAAUUUUCUAUACAGUUGUGCUGUGCAUAAAAGUUUUGUUAAAUGAAAUCGGCAGGUGAGGAUUAAUUAAUCAGUUAAUUAAGAUCCAGUUAAUGUAAUUAAUUUUAUUUGAUUUUUUUAAUUCGAGUUCUAAAUUAAUCAAUUAAUUUAGAUUCAUGUGAAAUUGAAGUGAAUUAGUUUUGAUCUGUUUUUCGUCCUAUGUUUGUCUGUGUUUACUCUUACUUUUUUUUUGUUUAAAUUUUCGUUUUCUUAUUGUUUACUGAAUAAAUUUAUGAGUUUUAUUUGAGUAUGAUGAUUGAUUUGUGAUUAUAAUUUGUGACUUUUUUUUUUGGAAUUUAAAUCUGAAUGCUUUUUAAGUUGAAUCUAAAUGUGUUGGGCUGCGAUUUAAUUGAGUGAUGUGUGAGCGCCAAAUAUUCAAUAACUGAUAAAUUAUAUUUAUAAAUAUUAAUAGCGAUGGCACAUAAACAAUUAAUUCAAGAACUUGCCCAUAGUGAUUAAUUUAAAGAGUAUAAGUAACAUCGCAAUACAGUCUAGCCCUUACAUGUUUAAUUAGCAAUUGAAAACUACUGUUGCUGAUGAGUUAGAACAUUAUAACACUGUUGCUGAUGAGGCAGCUGGUAAUUCUUCUGGUGAAGAUAUUAAGACUAUUAAAGCUUAAAUGUAAUUAGAGAAAUAUAAUGCAUUCCCUUAGUUUGCUUUUUGUUUUUUAUAUUUGUUUUGCUAAUGCGUUGCUUAGAUUGCUUUUUGUUUUUUGAGAUUUUAUUGGCUUAGUCAUGGGGUAUUGUUUUCUCUUCUAAUUUCUAUUUUUGUUGUUAUGGGAUUUGAUUGUAGUGUACAUAUACGAAAAUUAUGUAAUCAAGUGCUUUCAAUAAAUCAUGAUCGAUUUACUAUUAAUUAAUCAAAUUUAAUUUACUCAAAUUACUCAUGUACACGAUCAAAAUAAAUUUAAUUACAUGACAUAUAUACACGCGCGCACACAUAAACAAAAUGUAAUUAACUUUGAAAUAUAAAAUAUUUAAAAUAAUCACCGUACUAACAAUUCACAAGUUAGAUUUUAUAUAAAUAGACGAAAUAAUGUUAAUCUAGCGAAUCCAGUCAUAAUAAAUUGAUUUUCAUUUAUAUUAAUUAUGUCGAACCAUGUUAUUUUAAUAAAGAGCACUUGAGAAUAUAUAUAUCCAACAGGUAAAAUUUCAAAACAAUAUUUGCCAAAGUCUGACUAAGAGAAUAUACAUGCACGCACGUAUAUAACCGUACAACAGAAGGAUAAAUAAAAGAAAAUGAAGUUUCAACAGCUAAAUAAUGCAAACUCAUUUUUUUAACAAGCAUUUUAUUGUUUAAUUAAAAAAUUUGAAAACCCAUUAAAUACAUGUAAGGACUCACCGACGCCGAACCAUAUUAAUUUAAAUUAGUUUUCAACUGAGAUUUGAAUUUUGAAAUUACAUACACAAACAAGCCCUUUUUUUAAAAUACUAAUAAUAAAAUAUUUCAUUUUUCAUCUAUUACUACAAGAGGUAUAAUCGCAAAAGUGAGGAAGGCAGUCAUCCUCUGUUCAAUUAUCAAAAACUCCUUUUACCAUCCAUUUGAACAUACACAAUCACGCCCAAUUUGAAAAAAAAAAGUAGUAAUUUUAAAAUAUUUCAAUCGUCCACUGUUCAGUCACCAAAAACCAAUUUACCAUCCAUUUCAACACCUAAUUUCAAAAAAGAAAAUACUAAUAAUAAUAAAAUAUUCUAGUCGUCCAUCCUUUUACAAAUAAAAAAUAUCACCAAAAACCAAUUUCCAAUCUAUUUCAAAACAAAUUUUGCCAAAGUCCUCCUCGGCUAAUUAAUUCAUACAUUAAUACAGUCCUCCUCUGCUGAAUAAUGCAAACCCGUUACGUUAUUCUACCAUUUCUUUUUAAAGCAUUCCCCCCAUUUAAUAAAAAAAUUCGAAAACCCAUUAUAUGCAAUACAAAAUGCCCACCGACACCAAACCAUAUUAAUUUAAAAUAGUUUUCAAUUGAGUUUUGAAUUUUAAAAUUACAUACACAAACACACCCGAUUUAAAAAUAAUAAUAAUAAUGCUAACAAUAAAAUAUUUCAGCCGUCCUAUGUGUUAUCGCCAAAAACGGAUUUCCAAUCUAUUACAACAUAAGGUAUAUGGGUUAACAAGUCCCAAUAUUGUCCUCCAUCCUUUCUGCACUUCUCUGCUAUCAACGGACAUUCGUCGAUGUAUAAUCGCAAAAGUGAGGAAGGCAGGCCCUUCUCCGGAAAGUAUUUGAGCUUGGGACAAUCCCCGAGAUACAAUUCAGUGAGGUUUUGAAGAUCAACAAUUGAAGAAGAUAGGCGUUCCAGAUUUGGAAAAUUGAAAAUCUCCAGAGACGUUAGAGAGGCAGGAAGAGGAAGCGCGGUCCCUAAUCUUUUGUCCUCUAGUGGAAAUGACACCAUGUCCUCAUCGCAUCUGCUGAUUGUAAGACGUCGCAGAGAGGAGAAUCUGUGAAAUCCCCGUCCCCGCUCAAUCAUUGACUUCCAAAUCUCCAUAUUACCCCAAAUAUCAAGUGACUGAAGGUUGGUGGGAAGGCCAUCUUCUUCUUCAAGGCUUGGAAGCGCACCUCCUUUUCCUAUUGUUAAUUCUUGAAGAGAGCUCAGAUUGUGCAAUCCCUUGGGUAAGGCCUCCAGUCUCUUACAAUUAGAUAUCGCCAGCCUCCUGAGUUUCGCACAAGGCAAUCCCCCUUCGGGAAAGGACACCAGAUUUCCACACCUCCCUAUACUGAUUGUUUCAAGAGAUGUGUUGUUGUCCAACCUUUCUGCUAUUGACUCCAGCUUUGAACAUCCCCAAACAACGAGGGACUUAAGAGACGAAGGUAGAUUGCCAACUUCAAGGGACUCAAGCGUGGCAGGUAACUCGUUUUUUGAAAAUAUACAUGUCAGAGAUCGACAGCUGCCAAUAUGCAAUUCCUCAGGAAGAGAUGAGGUGUACCUUCUGCUGCUGUUGCUGCUACACUGGAUACCCUCUUCCGCUGUCAAAGUCCUUAUAUUAUCGCAAUUGUAAAUCUCCAACUGCUUAAGGCUCGGUGGUAGCUGGACCGCAGCAAUAUAUGUCAACGAACGGCAACCAUGAAUACUCAAGAUCUCGAGAGACGAAUUGGUGUCGCACAUCCAUGCCUCUGGUAACGAUUUCAGUGCAUCACAUUCUCCAAUAUGAAUUUUCUUCAACUUGGAAGGCAGAGCAACCUCAGGAAAGGAAACAAGGGAACUGCACUUGCAGAUUUCUAUCUCUCUCAAGGAACUGAGGCUGAACGAUGAUUGUGGCAGCUUCACAAGGCCUUCGCAUUCGCUCAAUCUUAGAUAUUCAAGUCUGCAUGACAACUCGCAGAGCUGCUGUUGUUGGUCUUUCUCUUCCUCCGCCACCAAGGAUUGAAUUUUGGGACACCGUCUAAUCGUCAGUCUUUUGAGAGAGCAAAUGUCUUGCAGUAAUUCGUUAUGACUCUUCCAUAUAUGUGUUUCAUUUUUCAUAUUAUUUAUCUCCAAUUCUUCCAGUUUUGGUAUUUGCGGCUUCAAUGGCCCUGCGAGAAACACUUGAUUUGAUGUAUCUCUACAAACCACUGAAUUCUGUGAGCCGAGAUGAUCAGUUGCACUUCUCCACACAACCUUUUUACAUCCACCAAUUUCAAAUUUGCAAAGAGCUGGAAGACUCGUAACUGAAACUGACAAUUCUUCACAUCCUUCAAUUACAAGCAUCUCCAAUGCAGGAAGGUGUUCUGGAAAUGUUCCUUGCAGCUUAGAACAACUUAUAAUAUGAAGCUCUCUCAAUUUAGGAAACCCUUCAACCCCCUGACUAGAUCCAUGAGGAAUCCAGUCUUCCCAUUCUCGCAUGUUUUCAAAAUGAAGAGUCUCCAAGCAUGGAAAAGGAAUCGGGGAAUCAUUCCCAUAGAACUCUGAACCCAAACUCUUUACUCUACUCAUUCCACGCACUGCAAGAUGCUUUAGAGAGGGUAGUUGCCCGACUGACGGCAAGGUAGUACACACGCCGCAAUCUUCAAAAUUUAAGGACGCUAAAUUUGAGAAUGUGGAAUCUCCCAACCAAGUUGGAAAUUCUUUACCUCCAUAGCCACUGAUACAAAAUUGUUCCAAAUUUUCAUGAGGUUUUAGCAUGUCGAGCACAUCCUUUUCGGUUUCUGCCUCCGUUGAAGACAAACCAUUGGUACUCCGUGUCCAUCGGAACCUUAACACUUUAAGAUUCUUCUUUCCAUCCAAUUGAGCCUCCUUCGCAUCACCAAUGUCUUUUACGUUCUCCAAUUUUGAAAUGUUAAGUGUCCCACGAAGAUGCGUCAACAAUUUUAGCUCUCGUAUCCCGGAACCACUGUCUUUUCCCACAACAAAAUUACACAGCGUCUGAAGGCAAGUCAACUUACCAAUUCCUAGUGGCAUCUCCUCCAACGAACCUGUAUCUAAAUUAUCGAGAUGAUGCAAUUUGAUGAGGUUUCCCAUGUCUGCACACAACUUCUUCAGUCGCCGACAGCCCUCCAGCAGAAGAGUGUGCAAAUUGUAAAGCUUGUUGACUGAUUCAGGCAGAGUUCUAAUCUCAGUUAGAGAUAGGUUAAGGUACCUUAAAUACCUCAAAUCACCAAUUGAAUCCGGUAGCUCAGAGAUUUGAUAUCCAUGCAGUGAGAAGACCCUCAACCGUUGGAGUUUGAACAACAUAGGAAGAAUGCUACGAGCCAAGAAUCCAAGCGAACGAUUUGACAAUGUUACUGGUAAAAAAGUUCGCAAAUGGUGGAUAUCAUGCAAGUCCUCAAACCUUUGAACGCCAUCACAAAAUCCACGAAUGUAUGACAGGUGACGAAAAUUUUUGGAAAAACUUUGUUGCUUGUUAACCUCUGAGUUAGACUCCAUUGUGAAGUAUAUCUCCCCCGCAGCCCAUUGAGCAAGGUCGUUGACAAGGUCGUGCAUCACAAAUCGUGAUUUAUUGUUGCUUGAUUGCUGGAAAAAAGAUCUUGAACGUAGCUCUUGAAAGAACUUUCGACCUAGAUCUUCAUUAGGAUUCCCUCUCUCUUUGUGAUCCAAGAAACCCGAAGCACACCAUAAUAAAAUUAUCUCCUCCUCUUCAAAUUCAUAAUCCUUUGGAAACAAUGAGCAGUAUGCAAAGCAUUGUUUCAAAGGUGCCGAAAGAUAAUAGUAGCUCACUCUAAGCGCCGGUAUAAUGUCACAUCUCUCUUCUGGUAAAUCCCAUAUCUUGCAACUGAGCACCCCUUCCCAAUCACUCCGGUCAAGUUUGCCACGUAAGAGUCCACCAAGAGUUUUCGCAGCUAAGGGCAAGCCGUUGCAUUUGAUCACUAUCUUCUUGCCAAUUUCCUCCAAUGACUUGUUUGAACUGAAAUCUCUUGUCCCCAAAGAGUGUUGAGCGAACACAGACAGACAAUCAUCAUUUGACAGCUUUUUCAAAUGAUAAUCCCGAGCAGUCCCCAUGAUGGCUGCAACCUCUUGAUUACGAGCUGUGACAAUAAUCUUACUCCCCGGUGCGCCAGCUUCAAAUGGACGGCUCAUGUCAACCCAGUCAUUGUAAUUCUCAUUCCAAACGUCAUCUAAAACAAGCAAAAAUUUCUUUUGAGAUAACUUCUUCUUCAGCUCCUCUUGAAGCAAAUUUAAAUCACUGUCAUCAGUAGUCUGCUUAGUAAUGGAUCUUAGAAUUGUUUUUGUUAGCCUGAUAACAUCAAAAUCAUCAGAGACACAAGUCCAUGCUUUGAGAUCAAAAUGACCCUGCACUCGAGCAUCAUUAUAGACAAGCUGAGCGAGAGUGGUUUUACCCAGCCCGCCCAUGCCUAUGAUAGGAAUAACAGAGAAUUCACCAUCAUUUCUCAAAUCAUCCCUCAACAACAAUUCAACAAUUUCCUUCUUUUCUGCUUCCCUGCCAAAUACCUUGGCUUCAUUCACCAAAGAGGUUGUGGGUAGUCUUUGCCUGUCUUUUUUGGACCCCCCAGUUGAACUUUCUUUCAAAUCCAGCAAGUCUUUCUGUGUCACAAUUUCAUGAAAUCUGCCGUUGAUCUCUUUGAUUUUGGACAUCAAGGCAUAAUCGAACUGAAUCGAUUGUGGAGUAAAAGUGGUGCAGCAAGUAGGAAUGAGCUUCCGAAACUUACUUGUUCUUGUACGACUGCUACUGGGUUGAUCCUGAGCCGCAGCUGGAUCUCCAUUUCCAAGCAGCAACCUCCUCCGGAAAGCCUCAGUUUGAAACUCAUCCAACAAGUCUUCAACAUCAUAAGCGAAGUUCUGAAGCUUGCCAAGCCACUUCUUCACAAACUGAUUAGUCGUCUUCUUCUCCUCAGCAUCAUCAAGCACCGCCUUGAUCAUCUCCAACAUAUUCGCCCACUUCAUCAGAUCGGCCUGGAUUUGCUCUUGGCGUGCAAAAAACAGAAUCCCCUCUGAAGCUAACUUAUUGACCAGCAAAUCAACGGACGCUGUAAGGAUUGCCUCUCCGAUGAUUGACAUUUUUUUCUUUUUUUUUCUUGUUUUGCAAAGAAAGAAACAGAAUUUUGAGUUUUGAAAAGCAAAAUGAGAAAAUUGAACAAUAAGUGUGGAGGGUCAAGCAAAAUGCGCGUAACAAGUCUUCCGCUUCUUGUUUAUUCCAGGAAAGUGCAAAUAAAAACAGAGCCCACCACCCAUUAAUAAUUGAGCAAUGCACCAAUCACGAGUCACCACCACUCGUUACCAUGAAUAUAAUAAAUUGCACCUUGAUAUUUGCAGGGUCCAGCAACAUUGACCCAGUGUCCGGGUAAAUGCUGAAUAACGAGGAAAAUGGAAUGUAUCCACUACGAACCUUCGCUUUACAAGUCUUCAAACUCAUAAACCAAAAUAAAUCAAAACGUUUAUCUCUUCUCUCUCUUUUUGCCAUAUAAUUACUUUAUUUAUUGAAUUAAUUUCCAUGCUAAAAGGAAGACUUAAAAGUGCACUACAAUUUUUUAUAAUCACAAUGAUAAUUCCUACUAUCAUGUUAUUUUAAUAUCGUGUCAAAAUAAAUUAUAACAAAGUUUUUUUCUGUAUGAACACUCUUUUUAUUUAUGAAUUUUUUAAUUUUUAAUAUUUUUCUCACUCUUUUAGUCUUAAUAUUUGUAUAUCUCUCUUCAAACUUUCUUUAUUAUUUAAUUUUUAAAAAAAAUAUAAAAAAAAAAGAAAAGAAAAAUAUUAUACUUAAAAAAUAAUAAAUAUUUUAUGAGUCUAAUACAAGCCUGUAUUGUUUUUUACAAUGAAAGAGCACGCGAAAAAUCUCACUCAUAGAAAACUUUGUGAAAGGCAUUUGAAUGUGUGGCCACAUUUUCCGAACGAAACGAUAAGGCUUUAGCCUUAUAAUUGCAAUUAGUUUGUCUUGUAACUAAAUUAUUGCCGACAAACACCAUCGUGCUGACAAACCGGGCAUGCACGUCCUCAAAGACAUUGACAUUGUGGACAAAGUGGUUGCAAGGGAUGGGGAUUAACAUGUCUCCAAACGACAAGCAGCCAUGCAUGUAAUUAGUCACAAGUUGCUUUGAAAUAAAUAGGUACUUGACAUUUGGCUCACUGAUUAUGUGUGCAAUAUUCCCGUAUUUCCCAUUACUUCCCGUACUUUAUGCAUUAUUGUUUUGUAUGUCUUUUGGUGUUUGUCUAAAAAACCACAUAAAAUAUUUAAUUCUACAUUUUAUUAAUGUAAAUGAGAAAUGAAAAUAUCAACAUUAAAACAAAUAUACAAAAUAUAUCAAUUUAACACGAAUUCUUAAAUUCAAUUACCAAAUAAAUAAGUCUAUCACAACUCGAAGUGCUUUCAAUUUAAAAAGAAAAAAGAGAAAGAGUAAAAAAUAAAGAACUACAAAUCAAAGUAGCACCCAUAACCUAUUUCAUAGGCUCAUUCAACACCAAGAUCUUAGAAUUAAAAUCUUCAAUUCAUUCAUUACCACUAGCACCCAUUCAACGUGGUUUUUCUAAGCAAAAUAUAAAGUACAAAAUUACAAUAAGCAUAUGAUACUCCAUGCUUUAAGAUCCUUAUAUAAUUUUAUGAAUAAUUUUUUAGUGAAAUUUUAUGAUUAAAGUUAAAAAUACAAAUAUUAAAAUAAGAAUGUUGGACACCUGCACAACUAUUUGCCAAUUUUUUUCUCUAUAAAAAUUCACUUGCAACUUGCAGCAGGUUUAAAUUUAUAAUAUCAAACUUGAUUGUAGCUCGCAAAAUUUUUAGAUUUGCGAUAAUUUUUCCACCCUAAGUGUAGUUAGUAUUAUUUAUCGUGUGUUUCCAAUUGGCUCUUAUAAAAAGCCUAGGAAUUGUUUGAAUAAUAAUGGAGACAAAUUUUUCCCAAAGAUAUUCUCUUUUUCAAAUUCUUUUCUUUUCUCUAUUAUUGUAACUUCAAAUCCUUACAAAUUACACAUUACAGACAUGAACACAAUGUUUUGACUUUUGUCUUGUCCAGAGAAAUUUAGGAUAGAUUUUGAUGUACUAAGGUUCUGUUUACUAUUGAGAUUUUGGAACUUUUGAGCCACACUUGAAAUUUGUAUUAUUCUAAUAGAGUUGUAGCAUUCGAUAUGUGAUUGGUAUUAAUCACGUGUUAUGUUUACAGCAGUUAAAGGUAUAUUGAAUCAAAAUCCACUUUUGAUCGAGAUUUUAAAGUAGAUUUUUAAUUUGAUAGCCACUCAAGUUCAAAUAUUGGAACCACUGUUCUUUAUAACCAAGUGAGAGAACUUGUGUCCUAAAAGUUGAGGGUUGCAGAUCGAGUUUUACUACCAACAACAAAAGUUGGUGUUAAGACUUUAGUUCCCCUCCUACUGAUGGGUAAGGAUAAUUAGGACUUUACAUCCCCUCCUAUUAAUAGACAUGGGUUAUUAGGAAUAUUAAAAAAAGGUUCAAAUAUUGAAAAACUAAGUAUGAGUUAUAAAAUUCAUAAUACAAGAACACGAAAUCAAGAUAAAAUUUUAAAAAUUUAGAACCAUGAGAGCGUAACUUGUAAGUUUCAAAUAAGCAUGUGCAACAUAUGCGUAUCGAUACUCAUUAGGGGUGAGCGUUAAGAUCGGGUUAACCCAAACCAAACCUUAAAUUUAUUUUGGGUUCAAUUUGAUUUUAGUUGAAGCUUUCAACUGAGUACAAAACUUAAAAACAAUUACGUUGUAUUUCUAUUCGAAUUUAACAACAAACUAAGCAACCUAAUCAACUUAAGUAAGCAAAUUUUAAAAAAAAUUCCCAUAAAAUUAAAUCUAACCCUAAUUAAAAAAAUUCAACUGCGGCCUUCUCGUCGUCUUCUUUUCUUCUUCUUCCUCUUGCUCACCCCUAAUGCCCCAUUAAUGGAAAUCCAACAGCUCCAAACACGUUUCAGCCGCUUGCGCGUGUGAGAAAUUUUCCUUCCCAUAGGAUUGUUCGUUUCCUUGGCUUGCAUCCCAGCAGGAUAUUCAGGCCGGGCAUUUUUCCGGGCCUAUCCCACCUAUAAGUUUUACCAAAACCCAAUCAUAAGUUCAUAAUGUUUAGUGGUUACUAUAGAUAUAUAUAUAUAUAUUCACAAUUAUUAAUAUAGCCCAACAGAUUUUUCCAAAAAAUAAAAUUAAAUAAAAUUACAAGCCCACGAAAUUCCUUUUCCGAUUUUGGAAUCUACCUGCACCUUUCACUUGCUAGGCUUUAACCAAACAGACGACGUUAUACAAACUUCUAUACAAUAAGGCAAUGCAAACAAAAGCAAGUGAAUUAAAAAUAAAUAAUUUCUCAUUAAUUUGCAACAGUAUUAAUAAAGUGCAUCAGAAAAUAUGCAUUUUUUUUAAAAUGAAAAUAAAUGUGUUAAUUAGUCAAUUUAAAUGGUACGAUGUUUUGAAAUGAUAAAAGCGAUCUGAAGUUUAAAUCUUACUCUUGACGUAAUAUUUAAUAACGAAUUUGAAGAACAAUUAAUAAUUAACAGAAAAGAAAAAGUGCUUUCUUUGUUAACGAUGAUAAUUUAUUCAGACGAUGAAAAUUCUUGAGUGGAAUAAUAAGUAUUUUCGAGUGUUGCCAUCACGAAUAAUAUUUAAUUUCCUUUAUAUAGUUAUAUCUCAACUAACAUUUAAACAGAAGCAAGUUGGAAAUUAAAAAAAAAAAACCAUUGAGAGAAUGAAAAACUAACAAAAAAAAAGUUCAAAAAUUAUAUCUCAAUAAAUUUACUUGAGAGCUACUCUACUGAUCUGUGAAGAGAAAACACAAAGAAUAAUGAUAUAUCCCAAUUAAUAGGACAAUUUUUGUAUUUUUUGUUUAUUCAAGAAUCACGAAACUUCAUUUAAACUUGUUAUUUCAUUGAUAAUAUAUUAACAUUGAACAAUGUAGGGGACAUUCCUGUCCAAUUAUGCCCAUAAAUUAAUUAAAGACCACCAAAAAGUUCAGGGAUACUAUAGUAAUUUAAGUCAACAAUUUCUGUGCUUGAAAUCAGUCGAUCAAACUCACUUUAGAGUAAAUUGAGAAAUCAAAAUCACAUUCCCCAAUUCUACGAUUUCAAUUCAUCUUUUUUCAUCAACUGAAGAAUUGGUUGUAUCUCGUUUAGAUAAAUAUAAAAUAUAAAUGACGAGGAGACUGGAAAAAUAAAAUCAAAAGAAGAGCACGAGUUUUGUUGAAAAUGACUCUUUUUUAUCAUUUUGCUGGAGUGCAUGUAUCUACAUAUAAACUAAAGAAGCACGUUUAUUUGUAUUAGCUUUUUAUUGUAUUUUUAAUAAUAAGUCAUUUUUCAAUGAACUUAUAUCAAUUUUUACGAAAAUGAUAGGUGUUAGUUAGUUGAUUCAAAGGGCAAAACCUCUUGGGAUAGAGCUUGUAAUUUAUUGGCUCAUGAAUUGUCUAAAUUGACACUACCGAAGCCAAAUUAUUAUAUUUGGUUCAAAAAGCUCCUGUUGAGCUUCAACUUUAUUAUUCUAUGAUGUUUAUUAACAAAUAACAAUUUUAUUAAAAAAAAGACCUCUUGAAAUGAUAUAAAAGAUUUGGGACCUGAAUCUCACUGGAAUUUAGCUUGAGGUUGGCAUUGUUAGCAUAAUAUUUGAAGAUAGAUUUUUAAAAAUUAAAAAUCAAAAGAGUUUUUUUUUUUUUUUGGUUCACACUAGUUAGUUUUACUCAUAGUGAGAUUUAAACAAAAGCGGAAUAAUAAAUCUUGAUAUCCUGACUUAUGGAUAACAUCUACAUAAGAUUGUAAAAUCUAUUGUACCGAAAAUAAGAGGUCUGAAAUUUAAAUUUCGCUCACAUAGUAGUAAGAGAAUUAAAUUAUUGUUAGAUUGAAUUAAUUAAAAAGAUUAUCUGAUAUCCAAAACAACAUAUCAACAAAAUUGAAAUUAAAAAAAUUGAAGAGAAAAACCAUUGAGAGAACGAAAAAUUAACACAAGAAAAUUUCGAUAACUAAUUGUAUCAGUGUGCGCCAACUUCACUUAUUAAAACUUGGUUAUUUCAUUUUCAUUGAUAAUCAUUUUGACAACGAUUUUUCUUUCCAGCUAUGCCCAUUAACUAAUAAAAGAACCGCCGAAAGGGUUCGGGGAUAAUAUAGUAAUUUAAAUUAACAGUUUCUGUGCUUCAAAUCAUCAAAUCAAACUCACACUUCACAACAACAGAGAAAUUAUCUCAUUUUUUUAUUUAUUAUAUCCAACUCUAAAAAUAAUAAUAUUAAAUAAAACACCUGUAACUUUAAGACAUACAUAUUCCCAAAGUACAAGUGGAGCCGAGAGGCUGGGAGUCGUAAUGAAAAGAAGAAUACAAUAAAAUUGGGGACCAUAAUGAAAACUGGUAGAACCUACAAGGGCUAAAAUCAGAACAACGAUAUCUCAAGGUCGCCGAAACAUAAAUAAUUAAUCUUAUCUUUCAAUUGAUUUUUGUGGAGACAGAGACAAUUAAACCCGAACAGCAAAUAGCCAUAAAUGAUAGGACAAUUAAAUUGGAACUCUCCGCAGACCCACGAUUUAAUAUCUUUAGAUUGUAACGGUUUAACCCAAAAAAAAAAAAAAUAGUAAAAGAUUUCUUAAAAAAAUGAAAAAAAAUUGUUGAAAAGAAGAACAAAAUUGUGGCCCACGUGUCAUUUCAAAAUAGGUUGCUGGCAUAAACAACCGGCUCCAUCCCGGACAGAUGUUAUGUGAGUGGUUGGUACGCGUUUCCACUUUUUUGUUUUAGAUGCAACAACUCAUGCACUAAAAAUAUAUAUUAGAUAUUUAAAGCAUAAAAAAUAUAUGUUGAUUUGAUGAAAUUUGAUUUAGGAAAGACGACUAAAAAAAGAGCAGUGUAACGUCAUUUUAUUUAUAUCUAAAUAGCUUAAACACGAUCUCUAUUUAUACAUAUAUUUAUACCAUAUUAUUUGGGUUGUUAUUUUUUUAUAAUACUCCUUCAUUCAUGACAAUUAGAUCAAAUAAUCGAAUCCCUACUAUAGCUAAUUAGCUUAUUGACCAGCAACUUAAAAAAGGAUGCCAUAAGGACUGCCUCUUUGAUGAUUGACAUUUCUCUUCUUUUUUUUUUUGGUUUUUUUUUGGGGGGGAGAAAGAAACCGAAUUAUGAGUUUAUGGAAAUUAAAGCAAAUAAGAAAGUGAAUUACAGCAGAAUGAGUUUGUGAUUGUGAUAGGUCGAGCAAGUCUAGAAAUCAAUUAGGCAAAACCCACCACGAAAGUUAAAAGCCAAAAAUAGCGUCCACCACAAAUAUAAAAUUGGAGGAGGUCAGGAUCAUGCCUUUGCUUUACAUAUUAAAUUAAGUAAAAGCCACCAAGAAUCUUGCUUUUGCUUAACAUGAUUAAUUAGGCACUAAUUCAGAAAGAACACGAAAAUAAUAAACCCUUUUAUUAAUCUUAAAUGUCAGGAAUAAAGCUACAUUUUCUCCUCUUACCGUCUCUUCAGGUUCAUUUCAAAAGUUUGAAGAGAGUUAUCCAUUCUUCCAAAUUAAGAAAAUCAACAUUCUUGCUCUCUUCAAAUGUUGAAUAAAGAAAAAUAGAUUGUUGAAUAAGAAGGAAAUUAGAAUGUAUCUACCUUCGCUAACUAAAAAUAAAAAAAAAAUAAUCUCUCUUUUAUUACUAAAAUACACUAUUUUUUUAAUAAUUGUAUUGACAGUGACAAUAUAUAUCAUCGAUUAUAUUCUUGUUGUGUUGAAAUAAGAUAUAAAAAUUUUUUGAUCAAGAGGAAUUCGACUCAUUUGUUAAAGGUACAUAUUUAAUAUACUAAAAACAAAAAUUAACAUAACACGAUUAUUACACUAAAGUGAAAUGAAAGCCAGUACCCACCAGUUCACCAACAGUUAUUUAGCAAACUUUGCAUUCUCGUAUUUGAGGAAAUGGACAUUGGUGAAUUAACCAAAGGACGAAUGAAAGAAUUUUAAAUAACAAAAUAGAGACUACACAUGUUUUUUCUUUUUUUUUUUUCCAUAUAAUUGUUCAGGAAAUGGAACUAAUUUUGAGACAUUUUCAAAUAAACUUAUUUUCAAAAGCAAUACAAAAUGAUUUCGUUUUAUUUUGAAACAUUUCAUGGAAUCAAGUAGCAGUAAAAUAAAUAGAAAAGUAGUAAUUCUCUCAUUCUAUCAUUUUCUUUUUUAAAAGGAGAUGAUGGGGUUGGGUUGUUCACAAAAUUAUUGGUGCGGGGGUCUAUUUGUUUUUGUUUUAAUUUUAUUAAUUAAUUACCGAAGCAAACAUGUAAUGAUUUGUAAAAGGAUCACUAGCAUCAGAUUAUUGGGAGGUAUUAUGGAGAAGUCACACUUAGUAUUUACAAUUCAUGUAAGAUGAAUUUGUAAGACUUAUUAAUUUUGAUGAAAAUGCAGAUUUAUUAAGUUACUAAUUCAUUAAGUUAACUUGAGAUAUUAAUAUUCACUAAUUGUGGAGAUUAAUUUAUUUAACUUGUCAUGAUUUUCAAUUAAGAAUGAAGGUCAGUCAAUUUAUGGAAAGAAGGAUAAUUUUUUUUUCAGAUUUUUAAUUCUUAGGAUUUGAUUUCACUUUGUUUCGAUUGUCGAUGUUGCUGAAGAGGCAGUGAAAGUUUGUUGAAUGCCAUCAAAUGCUUGUAUCUUAUCUCACAAAAUGUCAAUAUCAGUUUGUUUCCUAUAGGCGCAGCCAUCGCGAAUUGAAAGUAACAACGUGAUGAGCAUAUAACAUAUACAUAUUUUACCAUUAAUUAUAUAAUUGUUAGUUAUUUUUAUUUGUUAUUUUUAAUUAAUUAAAUUAUUUUGUUGAAUAGGAAAUUAAUUGGAGAUUAUGGAUAAAAAGGGCAUGAAGAAGUUUAAUUUGGGAAGCAAUAAAAAUUAAAUUGAGAGAUAAAAAUACAGACAAGGAUUAAUGGAAUCCAAACCGAAAAAAAAAUCAAAGCACAAGGAUUUUCUUAAUGUCAUUAUUUAGGCAAGUGUUUUGAUGCAACGGAAGUUUACAGUUCCAAUAUUCCGUUGAUUUUUAGAAAAAACCAAAAUAAAUGAACAAACUAAAUUCACGUUGAUUCAAAAGAAUUAUGCGAAUUUAAGAGUUUUGAAUCAACGUGAAUUUAGGAGUUAAGACUCAUUGAUUCCGCAGAAUACCAAUAAUUAACUAAUUCAAAUACUCCCACAGAGUUUUGAAAACUGGAAUGUUAUUGAACUUAAAAUCUUUGCUUGUAAAACCUUUAAUAAGUUACAUAAUUAUAUAAAGUGUGUAUAAACUAAUGUGAUAUAAAGAGAUUGGUUGUAUUAAACUAUCAUGAACCCAUAUAAUUGAAAAAAAUAACUGUUAUUACUUUUUAGUUAAUUUUUUUAUGUCACACCAGUUUGUACAUAUUAGUUUGUACAAAACUGUUUGUAUCUCUAUUAUUAUUGUUAUAUAAAUCGUUCAAUUUUCUCAAAAAUAUGAAUAUGGGCAGGGUAUUCAUUCCUAUUUCAUCAUAAAUAAAUAAAUAAAAUUGCAUUGUUUAUCUUAUCAACCACUUGAGAGUACGGAGGUUGGUUAAUUCCAUUCGUAUGAAUUAUCUACGUGUAUAUCGACUGAAUUAAAGGCACUUAUUGCCAGAAGUUAUUUUUUAUUUUUUAUUUUUUUGGUUUCCCUUAUUAACAUAUAACCUCAAAUGCACUAUGCAAUAAAAAUAUAAAUAUAGAUAGAGCAAUCUGCUACUAAGGCUUUAGGUUGUUAGCCAGAUGCUAAGGCCUUGUCUUGAAUAAGCCCAGCAAUUCAAGCUUAAGAUCACACUAUAAAAAGGGGGCGCAAAGGCAAAGAAAGUGGCACGUCAAGUGGAGCAAAUGAAGCGAAGGAGAGCAUGUCACGCUGAGAUAACGUGUCUGAUAAUUGGCUCCGCUUCUACCCUUUAAACACCUCGAAAGAAGCAUCAAGGAAGUGGUCUUGUCAUCAUCUUCUUCCAGUACAUCAAUGGAGAAGCAACAUUCGAACACAUGGAAAUAAGAAAAAUCAUUCAAAAUGACAGAAACUUGCCCCAAAGAUAAAAAUACACAACAAUAAAAGCUAUACAAACUUUCCAAAAUCAGGACAUUAGAUUCAUUUGGAAAGAACAAAAAUUUUCCCCCAACAAAUAAAUACCGUUGAUACGCAGAAUAGAAGCCUGUCAUGCAGACAAACACCGCAUAGAAUUGUAGAGCCACCAAAGUUGUAGCUCCACAGUGAAGGGUUACUUUGUUUUCUUUAAAUAACACAUGCUUUGAACUUCAAUUCUUCUCAUAUCAAUUUCUGCUUCCUAUGGUGAAUAAAUACAUGGGCAGGCAAACUCUACAUUUGAUAAUGCUAAAGGGAAUUGCACUACUUAAGCGACCAAACUGGAUCUAUUCUAAUUGAAUUCUUCAACUUCUCUGCGAAGGCUUCAACUCUUUGCGAAGGCUACAAGAAAGAAGUUGAAGAAAUGAGAUAAUUUUAGUAAUGCUUAGACCCAGUUACUUAACUGAACAAACUAAAGAUUAACUACCUUCAAGCAAGUAAAUGGAUUCAAGACGGCAAAUAAUGUAAUUAAAAAAGAAGCAAAUAAUAAGAAAAAAACCAAAAAAAUUUAAAACUAGAUGCAAUUCAGUGUCAGAACUGAAUUCUGAAGUUGAAAGAACAGAAUAAGAAGCAAAUAUAAGCGGGUGAUUACUUUGUUUUCUUCAAAAAUUUCUCGAUUUUAUUUAUUUAUUUUUAUUUUACUCUAUAAUACAAUGCGGCAUAAAUCCAACCCUCCUGGUGAGCUUGGUUUAUGCAUAUUUCACCGUAUUAAUUUGUAAGUUAAUGAAAUACCGUGUGAGUGAGUUGACUUUGGAGCCAAACACAUGAAUUAUCAUUAAGUUAAUGUGAAAUAGUAUUUUUAUUGCAUAUUAAAGAACUCAAGCGAUUACAAGCAUACUCCAAAUUAAUUUUAAAGCAUACCUCAAAGUAAUUAAUCUCCAAAUAGUCAUGUGACAAAAUCAAAAGGAUCAGUUGGCAUUAAUUAAUGCAAAUCACAAAAGAAAAUAAGCCAAAGAAACUGCUAGACGACCAAAUAAGGUGGCAUCAAAUCAUUUAUCAUGCAGACAAACCUUGUACAUUUGAUGACCCAAAAGGGGAAGAUUAUUAAUCGUAGAAUGACCCAAGAUAUUGCAAAUAAUCCAAAGAUCACAGUUGCUCCAAGUUCAUUCUCAAAAUACUUAAAAACUUUGGCAACUUCCAUAAAAACAUCACUUGCAUCAUGCAAAGCAAGAAUAAUAGAGCCAAUCUGGAAAAACCUCCCCAAAAAAAAAAAAAAAUUGUUUACUCUCACUAUAUAUCUUUUGAGAAAAAUAUCAAUCAUUUUUACUCAUCAGGUUAUCCUGCUCUAAAACACAAAUUGUUAAGGGUUGAGAACUCUGAAACUCUCAAGGGCCCAAUAUUGCAUAACGAAAGUUCUAAGUUCUAUGUUAUGUUAAUGACUUAAUGUUCAUAUGCUAAUAUAAGGAGUAGAAAUAAAAUCCAACUAAUAGUGGAGCUCUUUAUAAGAAUGUUUCAUUUAACAUGUCACCUUGAAUUAUUUUGCAGUUUGAAAUGAGAAUAAGGGGUCAUGAAUAUGAUACACCCAAUGAAGAAUUAAGGUAAACAUCUUUACAAUAACAGUGAAGCGAUAAUAAUUAAAAUAUUCCAAAUAGCUUAAGAAACCACACUUGUAUUCUAUGACACAUAACAUAACUCAUAAACUACUAAAUUUAAAUGAUUAAGUGAACCCAGAAUAUUUAAUGCCACAAGUUAGAAAAGAGUUUCCCAGAGGCACAGUGAAGACUAGGGAGUUACAGAAAAUAGUUUACACUUGUCUGAAAACUGAGAUGCAGGAACAAGACAGAAAGCUUCCAAGCAUGAGUUGAUAUUUUUAUUAAAGAGAAACUCCCAAAUUUAUAACUCGUAUGCCAGAAAAGAAGGCAAUCCAUAUCAAAACAUAAGUUUGAAUGAGAUGCCACUAAAAGCUAGAGAGCAUUUUUAUCUCUGAUUCUCUAUAUUUUCAUGCUGCAAGCAGCAGUAAAGUAAUGAGAGUAACAAGAUUGGAAUCUAUUGAUUUAAGAAUAAUCAUCACUAGUGCUCUCUGGUGAUUAUAUGAAAGUAGAUUCCAAAAGCAUAUUAGGAAAGUAAGCUUUUGUAAAUAUGCUCUAGAAAAUAUCAACCACAGAAAUAAUGUUUUUCCUCUUUCUUCCAAAGCACUGAUUAUUCUUUUGGCUAAAUAAAACACUAUCAACAACUUUGCUUAAAAAAGCUAUUCAAUUUUUAAUUUCUAGUACAAUUAUGAUUCUUGAGAUAAAAUUUCAAAUACUUAAAUAAGAUCAAUUAUUUUUGGGUAUCACUGAAUAGAAAAGAGUGUCAAAAGUAUAUGCAAAAGGAAGAGAGAGGUGUUUAAAGAAGAGAAAUAAAGAGGAAAAAAAGUUGGAAAUUAGGAUAGCAUGCACAUUGAUUAUCAAUAGAGUAGCAUCACCAUUCAGCAUCUCAUUUCUUAAACAAACACUGUCCCACAUUGAAGAAACUAACAGAAUUAUAGAGGCAUCAAAAACAGAAAGCCAAAGAGUAAAAAAUAAAAAUUUAUUCCAUAUAAAAAUCCAAAGCCAAAUCCAAGUUAAUAAGUGCCUACAAUAACUAUAUAUAUCGAAUAUAGAAUACAAGAAUAAUAAGACACAAAACAAAUCAACUGGCUUACUUAUAAUAUGAGUUCCAGGUAUAAACAGAGACAUUACAUUACCUUACAAAUGUUGGUUGCCAUAUUCUAAUCCCUUGUAGUUUUGGGGCCAAAUAACAAAGGUAAUAUCCGGAAAUGUUGCAUAGAUAACAUGACAAUUACAAUCCACUUCUGAAAGUGUUAAUUAAAAACCUUUUCAUGUAGUCACUUUAUCAAAGAUGUAGGUUCAACCUACAAAAAUUACAAAUUAAAAUGAAAGAUUCAACAGAAUAUGCCACAAAAUAAAAAUUAAGGCAAUUCUUUUUCUUUAAUGCAUUCCAUCAAACACCUAGUGGGCUUCUUUAGAAACUAUUAUUUCGUCUAAUUUUUCUUUUCAGUCCAGAAAAUACCAAUAUUAGCCUCAAAAAAGAAAAAAAAACUGCUGAAUAAUAUCAUCAAAAUGCAAAGUUCAUACGUUCAAGAUGCAUUCAGCAUAGACAUAAGCACAUGAAUGUACAUGAACAUUUAAUAGCUUAAGCUUUAGCAUGUCAGUAGAGAUAAUUUGAGAAACAACCAUGAAUCCAACCCAAAAAUCAGAAAAAGGAAAAAAAUUGACAAAAUUUAGAAGACCUAACAACUUAAUCAAUUUAAAAUCUAUUUACAAUCUCACAUAUUUCUCUGAGAAUCUAAAUUCAAAUCCACCAAAAAAAAAAAGAAGGAAAUCGCUAGCACAAUCUCAAAACAAAAAUCAACAUAUAUGAAAAUGAAUUUGCUCGAUCUCCUAUUAUGAAAAGCAAUGCAAGUCCUAUGAACAGAAAGUUUACCUCAGAGCAGUGGCGGCUUGGCCUGGCUUUGAGCGACAGUGAUGCGGAGUUGUGGUGACAUGGAAGCGUAACUUGGUGAGACUUGUAGCCUGGUUUUGCGCGUGCAUCAUCGUCGUAGUCGUCGUCAGUGUUCUAACGGCAGAACACUAUUUGAACAGCGGCAAAGAUGCGGGAUUGAUUUCUAGGGUUUGGCAAGCGUGUUGUUUCGCAGUGUUAGUUGAUGAGUGGUAUGCGUUAUAAGUGACCAAGUGAGUUCGGAGACGAGAAAAUUUUAUGUCUUAGUCUAAACGCCCCGUUUUGAUUUUAUCAUUUAUAUGUAUUUUUUUUAUAAAUUAUUUGUCAAUUUGAAAUGGGCAAUUUUUCUUUUCUUUUAAUAAAAUAUUAAUUUAAAAUUUGGUCAAACACGGUCAAUGUUAAAAUUCUAUCACAAAAUUUUUGAUAGAGUAUAUUCCUAUCACUAUCCUAUUAAAAAUUCUCAAUAGACACAAAUUAUAUCAUAAGUAAAUCAUUAAUCAUUUGAUGGAUAAUAAUUUUAUCACAAUCAUGUCAUACUUUUAUGAUAUAGUAAUUUCUAUCAUAAAGUAUCAGUCAUUUAUUAUCAUUUUUCUUACAGCUUCAAAAAACCCAAAGUAGAAAGCAGAAGCAUUAAUUAACGGGUAAAUUUCUUUUUGGUCCUUAAGAGUGUUAAUCAUCAAUUCUCAGUUUGUUCAUGUGUUUCAAGGAAAAAAAAAAUUAAAACACGCAUUUACUAAAUGUUAAAUGUUACUUUUUGAUUAAUCUCAUAAGCAACAACAGUUUGAAAUAAAUAUCUUAAAUAAAUAUUUUAAUAAACGUUUUAGACAAUGGUAUUGGAGAUUAUUAUUUUUUAAAAUCUGAGAAUCAAAUACGAAUCGAUGGGUAAAACUCUAAAAAGACUAAUGGUAAAUUUACCCGCCACCAAAAAUUCGUAACAAAUCCUAAGUACUUAUCAAUAAAAGCAAGCGGAAAGAAGAAGAGGCCUGGCUGGCCAUCCUAAGUACUUAUCCGGGUCAUGGGUCAUGAGUCAUUGCCGUAUACAAAAUUUUGAAAAUUCCAAAUGAAAAGAUAUUUUGAAAUUGGGCAGCUCUGGCCUUUUUUCCUUGCUAUUAUCUACAAUAUUUAUUUUUGCAAUCCGCAUGCAUGCUCGGUUAUGAUCACCCACGUGAUCGGUAUUACGUUUUUUUAUCUUCUUAUUAACAAAUUAUUUAGUGUGCGGACUCCAUUCAUGCUCCCACGUUAAUCUUCUUAUUAACAAAUGCUCCCGCUAUUCACUUUGCCACAGUCGGCUACUUCAUUCUAUUUGUUUACUGCAUAUGAAUCAUUAAUCAUAUCAAACCAGAAGCGAGACCUCACAAAAGCAACUUAAUUACUUCGUGAGUUUUAAUUUGGGAAGUGGAGGUUUCUUCUGAUUUGAACAAUAUGGAAACUACCUGUCCAAGUUUUUUUUUUUUUUUGGCGAAUUUCAGUUGAAUAUCAUUUAUAAUUCUUAUUUCAAUAUAUUUGUAAAUAAGUUUAAUAAUAUUAAAUUUUCACUUAAGAAUGACCGGUGGGAGGGUUAAGCAGAUAUGCCUGAUUUGGGUGUUGGAAUAUUUAUAGUGGCCCAUGUGCCACAUUAUUGAAUUAGUAAUAAUUUAAAAUUUAAAUGAUAAAAUAAAUAAUGGGCCAAAAUCCUAUUGGUCAAUUGGGAAAAUCUAAUUGUCCACUUUGAUGGAAAGUGGAAAUAAGAGAUUUAUUGAAAUUGAUUUUUUCUCUCUCUCUCUAUAUAUAUAUCACAUUAAUUUUCGCUCCAUCAAAAAAGCGAAUCACUCUAAAGGGGUCAAGAGAUAAAAAUUAAUUUUACAAAUCUUUAAUUAUUUACCGUGAGAUUUGAUCAAGAAGAUUGCUAUGAAUCAAGAUAUGUUUUCUCUCAAUUAUGAUGAUGUGAAAAUCUUGAUAUUCUAUUGUUAAGUAAAUACAAGCACCAGGUCGGUCAUGCUAUUAUUUCCACCCCGGCGUGGAUCACCUUAGCCUAUGGUACGAGCCGAACACAGGGACAAGCAUAAACCGACCAGAGGGGAACCCCUGACAAGCAUAAACCGACCAGAGGGGAACCCCUGCUAGGGGAAUGUACCGACUAGAGGUAUACACCGAGCCGAUACCUGUCCCCCAGAAAGCGGGAACACGAUCCCACAGAACCGCGGCCGUUACGCUGUUCCCAGAACACAGAAUCGCGGCCGUUACGCUUUUCCCAGAACACAGAAUCGCGGCCGUUACGCUUUUCCCAGAACACAGAAUCGCGGCCGUUAUGCUUUUCACAGAACACAGAAUUGCAACCGUUACGCUUUUCCCAGAACCGUUGAAGGACACGUAAGUCCCCACGUUUGCGACAAUGCAACGGUUAGAGUCCCGUGAGGGGCUGCCACUACCCGGAAAAGGGGGGGAUAAAGGGCAAAUGGAAAGGUGGGGACAGCGGAUAUAAAAGGGGAGGAACUCAACGGAGAAAGGGACAGAAAAACUGAGAGAGGGAAAACGCUGCCAAAUUGCAACCAGAUCAUUGUCCUACGAAUUUCAGAUAAACUUCUUGAACCCAAAUCACAUUGUUUUCCCGUAAACACCUUGAGCUAACUUAGGCAUCGGAGGGUUUACGCCGGCAAAACCACCGGCGUCUCUGAUCCGUUUUUAGUGAGCGCAGGUCUAUUGAGAGGAAGGGGGACGAUUCCAGUUCCAGUGAACGAGCAACAACAGAUAACACAAACGUUGGUGAAAGAAUCUGGUCGGUCAAAGGGCGAGCAGAUUUCAGCAUCAACAUUUUGGCGCCGUCUGUGAGGACCUGGAUAAAAAGCUACCACCGAAUUAGCACUUACCGGAGAGACAGAGAACAAGUAGACAUGGAUUUGUCAAGGAAGGACGCUUUGAGGGAGGAUAACGAAUCGGGGGAAACAAUCACCCUUCGGAAAAUUGCAAAUGAAGCCUGAGAGAGGGUGACGCAAGAUCGAUUGGAACGGAUGGAGAGGCAAAUGGAGACUCUUGCCACCAUACUGAAUGAGCUAAGAGAUGAGCGGAGAAGGGAUCGCGAAAUCCCCGUGGGGAGAGAUGAUGUGGGAGCAGAGCCCAACAUCCGGAGCCAUAGAGUCGAGGAGAUCCCUCCGCCAGCGGACCAACCUUAUGGGGUUCAUCCCCACGGAAGCAUUGGUUGGAUUCCUGGAGAACAAGUAGACGAAGGGAGGAACCAACCUCGCCCCAGGCAAGUACCGGGAGCUGAUGGCCGAGGAGUCAACGCUGAUGAAGGAGAGCUCAGACAGCGGUUGCAAAAUGCCGAGCAGGAGCGAGAUCAGAUAGCUGCACGUGAUCCUGACCGUGCUGUAGAAUUGGAGGGAGAGGUGCGCAGACUAGCGCAAGUGAUAGAGGAGAUACAGGGUAAGAGGAAACCCCCGAGCUGGAGGAUAAUGCUAGAUGAAGAAUCUCCGCUAUCAGCUGAGAUCAUGGGUACCAUAAUCCCAAGAGAUUUCCGCUUCCCCGACCUCAAAUACUCCGGGCGAAGUGAUCCACUGGUGCACAUUGAGCGUUUCAACGACAUGACAGGUGUGCAGGGGCUGACACCAGCUCAGAGGUGCAGGGCGUUCCCGUUGACGCUAGAGGGACGAGCUCGAGAAUGGUACCGCAGGCUGCCCCGAGGAAGUAUAAAGGGGUAUGAGCAGAUGUGUCAGGAGUUGGCCGAGCAGUUCCGAGGGGCAGUAGCCCCAGAGGACGACAUGAUGGAACUGAUGGGGAUGAAACAGGAGGAGCACGAGUCCCUACGGGAUUUUGUAAAGUGAUACCACCGAGCCGUACUUGAUUUGAGAGCUUUCAAUCACCCGCAGGCGUUGAGGGGUUUAAAGGAGGGUGUGAGGAUAGGCCGGCUAUGGUAUAACCUGAGAAGCCCCCUGGUGCAGAAUUAUUCAGCAGGGUAUGAGCAGGCGAGAUGAGAUAUUGAAAUUGAAGAGGAGAAAUCAGCAAGACUAAAAAGUGAACAGCUAGAAGAGCUAAGGCGGAAGGAGCGGAGAGCCCCGAAAGGGAGCGGGUUGAGAAAGCGAACUGGAGAAUCUUCAGGGAUGGGUGGAACAUCAACUCGGUCCCGCCCUUACCCCAUAACUCCGAGAGCACAACAGUUCUAACACAGCCGGGCUUAACCUCCACGCCCCCCAAUCCCAGAGCGGCAGCGAGAAUUCCGGCAGAUGGCUGCCCACCCCUAUCACAACACUCCCAGAACAUUACAUGCAACCGAUUCCAGGACUAGUCGACUAGAUCAAUUAGCAACUGGGACAGCCCGAGGUGACAUUCAUGAUAGCCGAUCAGUUCAGCUAAUAGAUCAGAGCUCGGCCUAUAGACAAUACACUCCAUUAAAGAUCUCCAUGGAGGAACUAUAUGAGAGGAUCGAGGGAAGAGGCCUGCUAUACCCUCCAGCCCCAAUAACAAAACCGGCUCAUCGACGGGAUAAGAACAGAUUCUGCAAAUUCCACGAUACUCACGGUCACACAAUCAGCCAAUGUCGUGACCUGAAGAUUCAGGUGGAAGAUUUAGUAAGGAACCGAUACUUGGAUGAGUAUGUAGACGGAGUGUCCCCUGUCAUUGAGUCAGAGUACAUACGAGAUGAAGGAGUUGAGAGGAGUCUAGAACGAGAACAGCCGACCAUCCGUGUGAUAGCAGGAGGGCCAACAUUGGCCGGGGAUUCAAACAGAGCACGGAAGAACUAUGGGAGAUACGCCAUGGCUGGCAAAGAGGUGCUUCUGAAUUUACCGGCAGCCAAAAGAGCAAAAGUGCGGCAAGUUCCUAUUAUGUGGACGGAAGAUGACGAAGAGGGUAUUUUGUAUCCUCAUGAGGAUGCCUUGGUGAUUAAGGCAAAGGUGGCCGGUACAGAAUUGCAGCGAAUACUGGUAGACACGGGCAGCUCAGUAGACAUCCUGUUUAAGCCGGCCCUAGAUGAUAUGGGGAUUUCAGAUUUGAAGCUGGAGCGGAAAAAUACUUCCUUGAAAGGAUUUGGAGGGGGACGGUUAACUCCCUUGGGGAUCAUUGAACUCCCGAUUACUGUGGGGACAAAGCCGUUUGAACGAACGAUGAUGCUGGACUUCGUCGUGGUAGAGGAAAGAAGCCCUUACCAGAUGAUAUUGGGGAGACCGUUCAUGAGGAUAAGCCAAUGUGUAAUGUCCACGCAUUAUCUAGCGCUGAAGUACAGAGUAAAUGGAGUUGUGGGUGUAGUAAAGGGCGACUAGAGGAUGGCCAGGAGCUGCUAUGCUACAGCGGCCAAGGAAACGUUGCAGGUCACCUCUCUAAAUAACCGGGGGGAGUCAAAAAACGGUCGCCAGGAACCUGUUGAGAAGCUGGAGGAAGUUAUUGUUAGCAGGAGUGACCCGAGCAGAGUGGUUAAAGUCGGAUCGGAAUUGGGUGAAGAAAUAAAAGGCGAGCUGGUGAAGUGUCUACAGUCCCAUGCGGACAUAUUUGCCUGGUCUCAUGAGGAUAUGCCAGGUAUUGAUCGAGGGGUAGCUUGUCAUAAGCUGGCAGUUAGGAAAGGGGCAAGGCCGGUGAGGCAGAAAAGGAGGUGCUUCAAUCAGGAACGGUACGAGGCCAUAAAUGCGGAAGUAGAAAAACUGCUGAAAGCGGGAUUUAUAAGGGAAGCCAAGUACCCGGAGUGGAUUUCCAAUGUAGUACUGGUAAAGAAGGCCAAUGGGAAGUGGAGAAUGUGUGUAGACUUCACGGACCUCAACAAGGCAUGCCCGAAAGACAGCUUCCCCCUACCAAAAAUAGAUCAGUUGGUGGACUCAACCGCGGGUCAUAGUCUGCUCAGUUUCAUGGAUGCCUUCUCCGGAUACAACCAGAUACCCAUGAACGAGCAGGAUGAGGAAAGCACGACCUUUAUAACUAACAUGGGUUUGUUUUGCUACAGGGUGAUGCCUUUCGGCCUGAAAAAUGCAGGAGCUACCUAUCAAAGGUUGGUGAACAAGAUCUUCAAGCCAUUAAUCGGACAUACAAUGGAGGUAUAUGUGGACGAUAUGAUCACAAAGUCCAAAGAACCAAGGGAUCACGUGAAGCAUCUUGAGGAAACCUUUGAAUUAUUGAGGAAGUACGAGAUGAAGCUAAACCCGGAGAAAUGUGCAUUUGGGGUCAGCUCGGGCAAAUUUCUGGGAUUCCUGGUGAGCCAUCGAGGGAUUGAGGCCAACCCGGAAAAGAUACGAGCAGUGAUAGAAAUGAGGUCGCCACGAACAGUAAAGGAGGUGCAGAGCCUUACGGGGAGGUUGGCAGCAUUGAACCGAUUUAUUUCGCGAGCCACUGAUAAGUGUCACCCUUUCUUCCAAGUCAUAAAGAAAGGGAGGAAGAUGGACUGGACACCGGAAUGCGAGGAGGCAUUUGGACAGUUGAAGGAAUAUCUAGCCCGCGCCCCGUUACUAUCAAUUCCGAGAGAGGGUGACCAGCUGUUUUUGUACUUAGCAAUCUCUAAGUGGGCUACCAGCUCGGUUUUAGUCAGGGAAGAAGAAGGGAAGCAACGCCCGGUAUAUUACACAAGCAAGGCCCUAGUGGACGCAGAAACCAGAUAUCCGCUAAUGGAGAAAUGGGCGCUAGCUCUGAUAACGGCGGCACGCAAACUCCGACCAUAUUUCCAAGCCCACCAGAUUGUUGUGAUGACCGACCAACCCCUUCGGCAAGUACUUCAAAAACCGGACGCGUCAGGUCGGUUAGUAAAAUGGUCGGUGGAGUUGAGCGAAUUUGACCUGUCGUACAGGCCCCGAGGGGCAAUCAAGGCCCAAGCCGUGGUAGAUUUUAUGGUGGACCGCAUUGAACCAGGGGAAGGGGUCCAGGAGGGACAACCAGCAGAACAGGAGGAUUCGAAGGGGAUAUGGUUGGUGAUGGUUGAUGGUUCACGUAGUGAACAGGGAUCCGGGGCAGGAGUUAUAAUACGAAGCCCAGAAGGUGUUGAGGUAUCCUACGCUGUAAAGUUCGAAUUCCAGCUUACGAACAACCAAGCUGAAUAUGAGGCCUUCAUUAUUGGUCUCGGUCUUGCUCAUACGCUACGAGCAGAAAGGAUUGAAAUCCGAGCAGACUCCCAUCUAGUAUGCAACCAGCUCAGCGAUCAAUUCCAGGUAAGGGAAGAGAAAUUGGGAUUUUAUGUAAAGAAGGUGAGGCAGAUGGUCGAACUAUUCAAAGAAGUAGAGGUGAAGCAGAUAUCCCGGAACGAAAAUUACCGAGCUGACAUGUUAGCUAGGAUGGCCGCAACUGUAGAUCCCAAAUUACCUAAAUCAGUUCCACUAGAGGUGAGGACCUCGCCGAGUAUAGGAGAAGAAGUAGAGGUAAUGAGAGUAAGCACUGAAGAAUCCUGGAUGGACCCGAUCCUUGCAUACAUCCGCGAUGGAGUUUUACCAGAGGACAAAAGGCAAGCGAGAAAGCUAAAAUGCCGAGCAGCGAGGUACACAUUACUCGAUGGAGUACUCUAUCGCCGAUGAUUCACUUUGCCCCUGUUGAGAUGUGUGGAUGAUGAGGAGGCAGAUUAUGUAUUAAGGGAAAUUCAUGAAGGAAUUUGCGGCAAUCACUCGGGAGCGAGAACUUUAGCCUUCAAGGCACUCCGACAAUGAUACUUCUGGCCAACCAUGCAUCAGGAUGCGAAAAGGAUGGCAAAAAACUGUAAAACCUGCCAAAGCUUCUCCGAGGUUCCUGCACAACCCCCAGAGAAGUUGACCACCAUGACAUCCCCGUGGCCUUUCGCUCAAUGGGGAAUCGACUUGAUCGGACCGUUACCUAAGGGCCGAGGAGCGGCGACACAUGCAAUUGUGGCGAUAGACUAUUUCACCAAGUGGGUGGAAGUGGGAGUCCUCAGCCAAAUCACGGAGAAGAAGACAACAGAUUUUAUUUGGAGAAAUAUCAUCUGUAGAUACGGGAUCCCCUAUGCCAUCGUUACAGACAAUGGGAGACAGUUUGACAACGGCAACUUCAGGGAAUUUUGCCGAAAUUUGGGGGUGGACCUGAAAUUCUGCACCCCCGCACACCCCCAGGCAAACGGACAAGUGGAAGCGGCCAACAAAGUGAUAAAGAAGCUCCUGAAAACUAGACUGGGAGAGAAGAAGGGGGCCUGGGUUGACGAGUUACCAGGAGUGUUAUGGGCUUAUCGGACAACUCACAAGACCGCCACAGGGGAAACUCCGUUCGCCUUAGCAUUUGGUCAUGAGGCAGUAGUCCCAGCAGAAAUUGGAGUGGGGACACAUCGAACGGAAUAUUUCAACGAGGAGCAAAAUGACGAGCAGAUAUGCUUAAACCUAGACUUGCUUGAGGAGAAGAGGGUAGGGGCAUCGCAGAAAGUGGCCCAGUGUCAGCAAAGGAUGAUGCGUUAUUACAACAAGAACGUACGCGUGAGGCAAUUCCGAGCAGGAGAUUGGGUACUUAGGAAGGUGAACCAAAACACCAGGGAACCUAACCAUGGCGCCCUUGGCCCGAAGUGGGAAGGCCCGUACAGGGUGAUACGCGCCACUGGACCAGGAGCUUAUAAGUUAGCAUACCAGGAUGGGCGAGACGUGAAAAGGUCGUGGAACGCCGAGCACUUGAAGAAAUAUUUCCAGUAAGCAAAAUGCUCUACUGAAUUCUCGUUCUGACAAGUUAUUUCUGUUAAAUGCAUGAUAGCCUGUUGUACAUGCAUAUGUUCUAUGUUUUUUGUAAGGCAUUCGAAUUUCAAUAAAGAUGAAUGUUGAUGCUGAAAUCUGCUCGCCCUUUGACCGACCAGAUUCUUUCACCAACGUUUGUGUUAUCUGUUGUUGCUCGUUCACUGGAACUGGAAUCGUCCCCCUUCCUCUCAAUAGACCUGCGCUCACUAAAAACGGAUCAGAGACGCCGGUGGUUUUGCCGGCGUAAAUCCUCCGAUGCCUAAGUUAGCUCAAGGUGUUUACGGGAAAACAAUGUGAUUUGGGUUCAAGAAGUUUAUCUGAAAUUCGUAGGACAAUGAUCUGGUUGCAAUUUGGUAGCGUUUUCCCUCUCUUAGUUUUUCUGUCCCUUUCUCCGUUGAGUUCCUCCCCUUUUAUAUCCGCUGUCCCCACCUUUCCGUUUGCCCUUUAUCCCCCCCUUUUCCGGGUAGUGGCAGCCCCUCACGGGACUCUAACCGUUGCAUUGUCGCAAACGUGGGGACUUACGUGUCCUUCAACGGUUCUGGGAAAAGCGUAACGGUUGCAAUUCUGUGUUCUGUGAAAAGCGUAACGGCCGCGAUUCUGUGUUCUGGGAAAAGCGUAACGGCCGCGAUUCUGUGUUCUGGGAACAGCGUAACGGCCGCGGUUCUGUGGGAUCGUGUUCCCGCUUUCUGGGGGACAGGUAUCGGCUCGGUGUAUACCUCUGGUCGGUACAUUCCCCUAGCAGGGGUUCCCCUAUGGUCGGUUUAUGCUUGUCAGGGGUUCCCCUCUGGUCGGUUUAUGCUUGUCCCUGUGUUCGGCUCGUACCAUAGGCUGAGGUGAUCCACGCCGGGGUGGAAAUAAUAGCAUGACCGACCUGGUGCUUGUAUUUACUUAACACCAGUCCCCCAGUUUCUGGUCUUGCGAGUGAAAUGAGUCAAGAGUAGAAAUUGAUAGUCGGAUCUUAUCCAUUCUGGGGUUUUUCCUCUGGUCUUCUGUCUAAUGGGACGGAUCUGAGAUAUCAUUUUUCUUCUGAGGAGAUUCCGACCUGAGCAUGGGCCUAAAUGAACACACGCCCAUUGCAUAUCUGGGCUUACAUCUACCCUAGCCUUUUGUAACGGUUAGUGACGUGGCAUCUCCAGACUCUUCGUAUUUGAAAUUUGAAACGACGGGUUAUCUGUCCUCGAUGUACGGUGAGUGAGCUGGCGUCUCCACCACUUUAAAUGCCUUCGUUUCCCCCUUUUCGUUUCAAAUCCCUAGACUCACAUCGUCAUCGUUUUGUUACUCGUCUCUCCGUCGUUACUUAACCCCCUCUCUGAACUUUACUUACACUUCUUGUGUCUGGAGUAUCCACUUGCUGGAUUUUUUCUCUAUCACGGCCGCGCCAUCAGUGACAGUUCAAUCCAGGUAUUGCUUUUAACUUCUCCUCUGGUUGUUGUUGAUUGGGUUCUGUGUUGCCCUCUUUGUGUCCAUAUACUCGAGUUUUCUCUAUUUUCUUUUGGGAUUCCGAUAUGUCAAACCGGAGAGGAAAGUUGAUUGCUGAUGAGAGUGAUGAAGAAUCGGAGAGUUCAGGCCUCAACGUGCCAAUACCCACCGACUUCUUAGGUCCCUCCAGUAGUGUAGGUCCUUCCCAUGGGAGGGAUACCCUUGAGUAUCCACGCCCCUUAGUUGUCUUUCCCUCCCCCGAAAUAGAGCUUGUAGGUAAUAGAGGCGGACCUGCUUCGGGCUCUGGUGAGAACCACAGCUAUGGUGGGGUUAGGGUUCCUGAAGGAGUCAGUGAUGGUGAGGGGAGCAGCUCCGGACCGAGCAGACCUCCUCAAAGAAGGCAUCUUGGUCAUAGGGCAGAGGCGGAUUCUUACCCUAUUGACUACACAGCUUGUGCUACCACCGAAACCGAUAUGUUUAAGCUGAGGAACCUUUACGACAUUCCUUCAGAGGUUCUCCUGGUAGUUCCAGGAAAAGGUGACGUCCCCAGUCGGCCUCCGCGGGGGUAUGUGACGAUGCACCUGGAGAGUUUCAAAUUAGGAGCUCGGCUGCCCCUUCAACGUUAUUUUGCUAAGAUAUUGGGUGGUAUGCACCUGGCCCCAGGUCAGCUACAUCCCAAUGGAUGGAGGGUUCUCUCAGCUAUGUAUGUGUUGUGGAAGAGGUGUGAAUCAGAGGAGCCCUCCCUUGUUGAAGUGAAGCAUCUAUAUCAGCUGAGGAGUAGCCCGAGGGAAGCAGGCUGGUAUUAUUUCAUGUCGAGCUCUGCGAAGAGGAAACCAAUCACCGGCUUCCCCUCCUCGUGCAAAAAUUGGAAGAACAAAUUCUUCUUUGCUGGGGGGAAUUGGUGUCCAACAGCUCACUCGCUGGGUGGUGAUAUUUACCUUCCAACGAAUUUUGUCACCCCAGGUCGUUCAUUUUUGCCUAUAUUAUUGAUAAAAUUGCUACUUAUUGGGUUCUUUAACCUUUUGUGCUAUUUCAGAAUCGUGGGGUCUGAUUGGGGGGCUUGAAGAUCGGCCUUUGCUUCAGGUGGAAACGGCUCUAUUGAACGCGUCUACCUGCCAAGACCUUCUGUCACCAACAAGUCUGGUCGGCUCGGGCUUAGUGGAUAUAGCUGCCGGGAUGGAUAACAAGAUUCUCAGUGCUAUGACCAGAAAGCGUGGUCGAGCUUCAGGCAGCUCCAGCAACCCACCUCCUCCUCCGAAGAAAACCAGCGUAGGCCCAUCCAAGGCUCCUGUUCCUGCUCUGCCCCCUCCCCCGCCCCGUAAGAGUGGUGGGGAGAGAACUUCUGACAAGAGUCCCGAGGUCAGCCUCCAGUCUGGGGACCGAUCCUCCCCUCUGCCAUCUCGGGAACAAGGCGACUACCUGAGCUUGUAUCAGAAGGAUUACAAAAGAUCGGUGGGGCCCAAGAUGGUGAAGGACAUUGAGAGUAUGGACCUCUCAGAGUUGGCUGCUUCUGUUCAGAGAGUAUCCUUCAGGCUGGCCACCAUGGUUUCGUGUUACAAGGCCAGGGCCGCGCGCCAUGAGAGGAAGCUUCAAGCUGACAAUCAGGAGCUGAAGAAGAAAGCUGACUCUGCUGAUCGUUCCAAGGAGAAGCUGGCCGAACUAAAUCAGCAGAUGUUGGAGCUGGCGGAGAAGGUUGCGGUUGCUGAGUCCACCUCCUCCAAUCUUGAGGACGAGUUGGGUGGCCUAAAGUCUGACCUUCAAGUUGCUCAAAGUGAAAGGGAUACUUUGAGGACCGCCCUUGAGGGAGAGAUCAAAUCCCUGAGUGACCGGCUGGCUGAAGAGAAAGGCAAAUCCGCUGAUGUGGAUGAUCGGUUGGAUGCUGAGUACAACUCCGGGGUUGCUUUCAGCUACAAGUGUAUCAUGUCUGUACUCAAGGAAGAAUACCCCGAGCUCGACAUGAGCAAGCUGGAAUCUGGGGUGGAGAGGUAUAUGGCUGGGGCCAGCCAGGGAGAUAAGGAGCAGGGUGAGCAGGAUCAGGUGGAGGCUCCUUUGGAUAGGGCGCAGGAGGAGGAAAUUGGGGGACGUGCUUUCGAAGUAGGUCAAGGGUCCGUGCCUGGACCUCCCGGUAAUACUGAUCUCUCACCUUCUGAGAUUGCUGACCCUUUACCUCCCGAGGUCGCUGAUCUUUCAGCUGCUGGAGCCGCUGACUCUCAUAAUCUUUAGGCCCCCUUUUUUUUUGUAUGAACUCUUGAGUUGUAUUCGUUUGAUAAAGAAUUGAACAUUUAUGAGAUUUCCAGAUACUUUCUAUUGGAUCUCUUGUCUGGUGUUUACUUGCAUUUAGAAAAAUUUUUCGAAAAAUUAGCAGCUGGUCUUUCGUUGACCGAGCAGAAGCAGACACUCAUUUGCCUUAAUAAAAUUUACGAAAAAUUAGUUGCUGGUCCUUUGUUGACCGAGCAGAAGCAGGCACUUAUUUGCCUUAAUAAAAUUUACGAAAAAUUAGCUGCUGGUCCUUUGUUGACCGAGCAGAAGCAGGCACUUAUUUGCCUUAAUAAAAUUUACGAAAAAUUAGCUGCUGGUCAUUUGUUGACCGAGCAGAAGCAGGCACUUUGUUGCCUUCGUAGAAUUUUCGUAGCUUUAGCUGCUGGUCUUUUGUUGACCGAGCAGAAACAGGCAUUUUCAUGCCUUAGCGAAACUUUCGAGAAUUUAGCUGCUGGUCUUCGUUGACCGAGCAGAAGCAGGCAUUUUGUUGCCUUAGUAACAUCUUCAUAAAUUUAGCUGCUGGACCUCGUUGACCAAGCAGAAGCAGACACUUACUUGCCUUAGUGACACUUUCGAGAAAUUAGCUGCUGGUCUUCGUUGACCGAGCAGAAGCAGGCAUUUCGUUGCCUUAGUAACAUCUUCAUAAAUUUAGCUGCUGGACCUCGUUGACCGAGCAGAAGCAGGCACUUACUUGCCUUAGUAAAAUUUUUGAGAAAUUAGCUGCUGGUCUUUCGUUGACCGAGCAGAGGCAGGCACUUACUUGCUUUCGUAGAUUAGCUGCUGGUCUUUCGUUGACCGAGCAGAAGCAAGCACUCACUUGCCUUCGUAGAUUAGCUGCUGGUCUUUCGUUGACCGAGCAGAAGCAAGCACUCACUUGCCUUCGUAGGAUUUUCGUAGGAUUAGCUGCUGGUCUUUCGUUUGACCGAGCAGAGGCAGGCACUCACUUGCCUUCGUAGAUUAGCUGCUGGUCUUUCAUUGACCGAACAGAGGCAGGCACUCACUUGCCUUCGUAGAUUAGCUGCUGGUCUUUCGUUAACCGAGCAGAGGCAGGCACUUUCUUGCCUUAGUAGAUUAGCUGCUGGUCUUUCGUUUGACCGAGCAGAGGCAGGCCUUUACUUGCCUUAGUAGAUUAGCUGCUGGUCUUUCGUUUGACCGAGCAGAGGCAGGCCUUUACUUGCCUUAGUAGAAUCUUCGUAAAUUUAGCUGCUGGUCUUUCGUGGACCGAGCAGAAGGAGGCACUUGCCUUAGUAGAUUAGCUGCUGGUCUUUCGUUUGACCGAGCAGAGGCAGACCUUUACUUAGUAGAUUAGCUGCUGGUCUUUCGUUUGACCGAGCAGAGGCAGGCCUUUACUUAGUAGAUUAGCUGCUGGUCUUUCGUGGACCGAGCAGAAGGAGGCACUUGCCUUAGUAGAUUAGCUGCUAGUCUUUCGUUUGACCGAGCAGAGGCAGGCCUUUACUUGCCUUAGUAGAUUAGCUGCUGGUCUUUCGUUUGACCGAGCAGAGGCAGGCCUUCACUUGCCUUGGUAAAAUCUUCGUAAAUUUAGCUGCUCCAUGAUCAUUAAAAAAUCACUGCACUCAUAAAUAUGACUUUAUAAUAUUAUUCCCAUGUAAAAUUUGGGAUUGAAUACUUACAAAAGCAUGUCCAAUUCUUAAAUUGAUAAAAUAUCUAUGUAUCUAUUUUAUACAUGAUUGGUUAUGUUAUCAUGUUGUGAAAUCAAGUACUAAUUCUUCACAUUCCCAUAUGACUGCAGAAUUUACUCCUGAUAUUCCAGGAUCGUUGUGGAAUGAAUUCCUUACAUUUUGAGAUCAUCAAUUCCAUAAUGCACUAUCAAUUUAAAGUUACAUGUCUCGACAAGAGAUUUGGGCUCAUGCAUGCAUCAUUGAUGUUAAAUAUAUGUGAUGAUAAAAAGAAUAUUCAGCUAAGAAUAAUUUUUUAACUAAAAAGGGGACGCAUUUGCAAACUGAUCUGAUUAGUUUUAAUGUGCAUAAGAUAGGCAAGUUGCGACAAUAGCCGUAUUACAAUUUGCAAAAAUUGAAUGAUAUAAAAUAAUCAAGGAAGUGGUUCGAGUGCACCUGUAUUUGACCAUUUGAAAUAUGGCUUCUGACCUUUGGUAAAAUUUUUUUUUUUGUGAACUUCGUUCUGCUCUAUUGUUGUGACUGUACUUCCCCUACAGCUUCUGAACUUCCUUGUCAUGAUUAAAUGAGCAAAUUCCUUUAAUACCCGAAUUUUGUCAUUGGGCUCUGGGCAGUGCUUAAUCAAGAAUCAUUCCCAACAAUUUAAUUUGCAGAUUACUUCUGCUUCGGCCAAAUCUAAAUUGGUAGAGACAAUAUGACUUUUUGUAAUGAUCCCCACAGACGGCGCCAAAAUGUUGAUGCUGAAAUCUGCUCGCCCUUUGACCGACCAGAUUCUUUCACCAACGUUUGUGUUAUCUGUUGUUGCUCGUUCACUGGAACUGGAAUCGUCCCCCUUCCUCUCAAUAGACCUGCGCUCACUAAAAACGGAUCAGAGACGCCGGUGGUUUUGCCGACGUAAACCCUCCGAUGCCUAAGUUAGCUCAAGGUGUUUACGGGAAAAUAAUGUGAUUUGGGUUCAAGAAGUUUAUCUGAAAUUCGUAGGACAAUGAUCUGGUUGCAAUUUGGCAGCGUUUUCCCUCUCUCAGUUUUUCUGUCCGUUUCUCCGUUGAGUUCCUUUUCUUUUAUAUCCGCUGUCCCCACCUUUCCGUUUGCCCUUUAUCCCCCCCUUUUUUGGGUAGUGGCAGCCCCUCACGGGACUCUAACCGUUGCAUUGUCGCAAACGUGGGGACUUACGUGUCCUUCAACGGUUCUGGAAAAAGCGUAACGGUUGCAAUUCUGUGUUCUGUGAAAAGCAUAACGACCGCGAUUCUGUGUUCUGGGAAAAGCGUAACGGCCGCGAUUCUGUGUUCUGGGAACAACGUAACGGCCGCGGUUCUGUGGGAUCGUGUUCCCGCUUUCUGGGGGACAGGUAUCGGCUCGGUGUAUACCUCUGGUCGGUACAUUCCCCUAGCAGGGGUUCCCCUCUGGUCGGUUUAUGCUUGUCCCUGUGUUCGGCUCGUACCAUAGGCUGAGGUGAUCCACGCCGGGGUGGAAAUAAUAGCAUGACCGACCUGGUGCUUGUAUUUACUUAACAAUGAAUUCAGCAUGAAGUCCCCUGGUAGCAAGACCAGUAAAAAUGUUACUAAGGCAACAAAAUGCCUGUUUCUGCUCGGUCAACGAGGUCCAACAGCUAAAUUUAUGAAGAUGUUACUAAGGCAACAAAAUGCCUGCUUCAGCUCGGUCAACGAAGACCAGCAGCUAAUUUCUCGAAAGUGUCACUAAGGCAAGUAAGUGCCUGCUUCUGCUUGGUCAACGAGGUCCAGCAGCUAAAUUUAUGAAGAUGUUACUAAGGCAACAAAAUGCCUGCUUCUGCUCGGUCAACGAAGACCAGCAGCUAAAUUCUCGAAAGUUUCGCUAAGGCAUGAAAAUGCCUGUUUCUGCUCGGUCAACAAAAGACCAGCAGCUAAAGUUACGAAAAUUCUACGAAGGCAACAAAGUGCCUGCUUCUGCUCGGUCAACAAAGGACCAGCAGCUAAUUUUUCGUAAAUUUUAUUAAGGCAAAUAAGUGCCUGCUUCUGCUCGGUCAACAAAGGACCAGCAGCUAAUUUUUCGUAAAUUUUAUUAAGGUAAAUAAGUGCCUGCUUCUGCUCGGUCAACAAAGGACCAGCAGCUAAUUUUUCGUAAAUUUUAUUAAGGCAAAUGAGUGUCUGCUUCUGCUCGGUCAACAAAGGACCAGCAGCUAAUUUUUCAUAAAUUUUAUUAAGGCAAAUGAGUGUCUGCUUCUGCUCGGUCAACGAAAGACCAGCAGCUAAUUUUUCGAAAAAUUUUGCUAAAUGCAAGUAAACACCAGACAAGAGAUCCAAUAGAAAGUAUCUGGAAAUCUCAUAAAUGUUCAAUUCUUUAUCAAAGGAAUACAACUCAAGAGUUCAUACAAAAAAAAAAGGGGCCUAAAGAUUAUGAGAGUCAGCGGCUCCAGCAGCUGAAAGAUCAGCGACCUCGGGAGGUAAAGGGUCAGCAAUCUCAGAAGGUGGGAGAUCAGUAUUACCGGGAGGUCCAGGCACGGACCCUUGACCUACUUCGAAAGCACGUCCCCCAAUUUCCUCCUCCUGCACCCUAUCCAAAGGAGCCUCCACCUGAUCCUGCUCACCCUGCUCCUUAUCUCCCUGGCUGGCCCCAGCCAUAUACCUCUCCACCCCAGAUUCCAGCUUGCUCAUGUCGAGCUCGGGGUAUUCUUCCUUGAGUACAGACAUGAUACACUUAUAGCUGAAAGCAACCCCGGAGUUGUACUCAGCAUCCAACCGAUCAUCCACAUCAGCGGAUUUGCCUUUCUCUUCAGUCAGCUGGUCACUCAGGGAUUUGAUCUCUCCCUCAAGGGCGGUCCUCAAAGUAUCCCUUUCACUUUGAGCAACUUGAAGGUCAGACUUUAGGCCACCCAACUCGUCCUCAAGAUUGGAGGAGGUGGACUCAGCAACCGCAACCUUCUCCGCCAGCUCCAACAUCUGCUGAUUCAGUUCGGCCAGCUUCUCCUUGGAACGAUCAGCAGAGUCAGCUUUCUUCUUCAGCUCCUGAUUGUCAGCUUGAAGCUUCCUCUCAUGGCGCGCGGCCCUGGCCUUGUAACACGAAACCAUGGUGGCCAGCCUGAAGGAUACUCUCUGAACAGAAGCAGCCAACUCUGAGAGGUCCAUACUCUCAAUGUCCUUCACCAUCUUGGGCCCCACCGAUCUUUUGUAAUCCUUCUGAUACAAGCUCAGGUAGUCGCCUUGUUCCCGAGAUGGCAGAGGGGAGGAUCGGUCCCCAGACUGGAGGCUGACCUCGGGACUCUUGUCAGAAGUUCUCUCCCCACCACUCUUACGGGGCGGGGGAGGGGGCAGAGCAGGAACAGGAGCCUUGGAUGGGCCUACGCUGGUUUUCUUCGGAGGAGGAGGUGGGUUGCUGGAGCUGCCUGAAGCUCGACCACGCUUUCUGGUCAUAGCACUGAGAAUCUUGUUAUCCAUCCCGGCAGCUAUAUCCACUAAGCCCGAGCCAACCAGACUUGUUGGUGACAGGAGGUCUUGGCAGGUAGACGCGUUCAAUAGAGCCGUUUCCACCUGAAGCAAAGGCCGAUCUUCAAGCCCCCCAAUCAGACCCCACGAUUCUGAAAUAGCACAAAAGGUUAAAGAACCCAAUAAGUAGCAAUUUUAUCAAUAAUAUAGGCAAAAAUGAACGACCUGGGGUGACAAAAUUCGUUGGAAGGUAAAUAUCACCACCCAGCGAGUGAGCUGCUGGACACCAAUUCCCCCCAGCAAAGAAGAAUUUAUUCUUCCAAUUUUUGCACGAGGAGGGGAAGCCGGUGAUUGGUUUCCUCUUCGCAGAGCUCGACAUGAAAUAAUACCAGCCUGCUUCCCUCGGGCUACUCCUCAGCUGAUAUAGAUGCUUCACUUCAACAAGGGAGGGCUCCUCUGAUUCACACCUCUUCCACAACACAUACAUAGCCGAGAGAACCCUCCAUCCAUUGGGAUGUAGCUGACCUGGGGCCAGGUGCAUACCACCCAAUAUCUUAGCAAAAUAACGUUGAAGGGGCAGCCGAGCUCCUAAUUUGAAGCUCUCCAGGUGCAUCGUCACAUACCCCCGCGGAGGCCGACUGGGGACGUCACCUUUUCCUGGAACUACCAGGAGAACCUCUGAAGGAAUGUCGUAAAGGUUCCUCAGCUUGAACAUAUCGGUUUCGGUGGUAGCACAAGCUGUGUAGUCAAUAGGGUAAGAAUCUGCCUCUGCCCUAUGACCAAGAUGCCUUCUUUGAGGAGGUCUGCUCGGUCCGGAGCUGCUCCCCUCACCAUCACCGACUCCUUCAGGAACCCUAACCCCACCAUAGCUGUGGUUCUCACCAGAGCCCGAAGCAGGUCCGCCUCUAUUACCUACAAGCUCUAUUUCGGGGGAGGGAAAGACAACUAAGGGGCGUGGAUACUCAAGGGUAUCCCUCCCAUGGGAAGGACCUACACUACUGGAGGGACCUAAGAAGUCGGUGGGUAUUGGCACGUUGAGGCCUGAACUCUCCGAUUCUUCAUCACUCUCAUCAGCAAUCAACUUUCCUCUCCGGUUUGACAUAUCGGAAUCCCAAAAGAAAAUAGAGAAAACUCGAGUAUAUGGACACAAAGAGGGCAACACAGAACCCAAUCAACAACAACCAGAGGAGAAGUUAAAAGCAAUACCUGGAUUGAACUGUCACUGAUGGCGCGGCCGUGAUAGAGAAAAAAUCCAGCAAGUGGAUACUCCAGACACGAGAAGUGUAAGCAAAGUUCAGAGAGGGGGUUAAGUAACGACGGAGAGACGAGUAACAAAACGAUGACGAUGUGAGUCUGGGGAUUUGAAACGAAAAGGGGGAAACGAAGGCAUUUAAAGUGAUGGAGACGCCAGCUCACUCACCGUACAUCGAGGACAGAUAACCCGUCGUUUCAAAUUUCAAAUACGAAGAGUCUGAAGAUGCCACGUCACUAACCGUUACAAAAGGCUAGGGUAGAUGUAAGCCCAGAUAUGCAAUGGGCGCGUGUUCAUUUAGGCCCAUGCUCAGGUCGGAAUCUCCUCAGAAGAAAAAUGAUAUCUCGGAUCCGUCCCAUUAGACAGAAGACCAGAGGAAAAACCCCAGAAUGGAUAAGAUCCGACUAUCAGUUUCUACUCUUGACUCAUUUCACUCGCAAGACCAGAAACUGGGGGACUGGUGUUAAGUAAAUACAAGCACCAGGUCGGUCAUGCUAUUAUUUCCACCCCGGCGUGGAUCACCUCAGCCUAUGGUACGAGCCGAACACAGGGACAAGCAUAAACCGACCAGAGGGGAACCCCUGCUAGGGGAAUGUACCGACCAGAGGUAUACACCGAGCCGAUACCUGUCCCCCAGAAAGCGGGAACACGAUCCCACAGAACCGCGGCCGUUACGCUGUUCCCAGAACACAGAAUCGCGGCCGUUACGCUUUUCCCAGAACACAGAAUCGCGGCCGUUACGCUUUUCACAGAACACAGAAUUGCAACCGUUACGCUUUUCCCAGAACCGUUGAAGGACACGUAAGUCCCCACGUUUACGACAAUGCAACGGUUAGAGUCCCGUGAGGGGCUGCCACUACCCGGAAAAGGGGGGGAUAAAGGGCAAACGGAAAGGUGGGGACAGCGGAUAUAAAAGGGGAGGAACUCAACGGAGAAAGGGACAGAAAAACUAAGAGAGGGAAAACGCUGCCAAAUUGCAACCAGAUCAUUGUCCUACGAAUUUCAGAUAAACUUCUUGAACCCAAAUCACAUUGUUUUCCCGUAAACACCUUGAGCUAACUUAGGCAUCGGAGGGUUUACGCCGGCGAAACCACCGGCGUCUCUGAUCCGUUUUUAGUGAGCGCAGGUCUAUUGAGAGGAAGGGGGACGAUUCCAGUUCCAGUGAACGAGCAACAACAGAUAACACAAACGUUGGUGAAAGAAUCUGGUCGGUCAAAGGGCGAGCAGAUUUCAGCAUCAACAUCUAUGAUCUUAGGGAUUGAAGUUUAUGUAAAUUAGGGUUUAUUUGCUUUAUAAGAGGUGUAAAAAUUCUCAACAACUGAUAGGAGUGCAUGGUUUAAGAAUUUAUGAUUUUCUAUUAAGAUAUGUAAUAACCCUUUCUUAAUUUUCAAUUGUCCUUUUCGAGUAUAUGUCAAUUUGGAUUAUUAGUCCACAUAUACAUAAUGUAUAAAGAAAGUUACUGGCAUAGAAAUUUUUUGCACCAAAAAAAAAAAAAAAAAUUCCAAGAUGUUUUUGACUGUUGGCGGCACAAUACAUAAAGGUGAAAUUGGGUUAUCGUUUGGAGUUUUUUCAUGAGACACCCUAUGGUUUGUUUAGUGUAUGUUUUUGGCCAAAGUUUAGAAUUUUGUUUCAUUUAAGUCCAAUUGAAUUUGCAACGGCCAUCACAUGCUGUCUUAAAGCCGAAAUUUAGGAGCAAUUGCAUGUGAAAUUUCAGUGUAGUCCCUGAUAUUCUAUUUUAUUAAAUUAAAGAUAUGAUUAAUUGGAUUUAGUAUGAUAAAGCCGCCGACUUUAUGUGCAUCAAGCCUUAUAAGUUUUGUUCUCAUAAUUUUGAAUGCUUCCGCUCAUUAAUUAAUGAUCUCCGAAAUUUCUUAAUGUUCCAAUUUUAAUGUUUGAUAUUUGAGUUGAUGUUUGUGGUUUUAUUUACUUUAUUAAAGAAAUUACUUUGUUAUAAAUGUUCAAUUUGACAUUCAUAUUAUGAUAAUUUGUUAGUUACUAAAGUAGCCAAAUUAGAAAGUUUUCAUAGAUGUCAAAUUAAAUUCAAUUUCAAGUUCUCAUAAUUAUUGUGAUGCGUAUUAUUUAAUGACAUGAUGAUCUUGUUGUAUGAAUAUAUUGAAAUUCACAGAUUAUAAAAUAUUUAGGAAUUGCUCAAAAGUUGAUUAAUUAAAUUUAUAAUAUAUGAUCAUGAUUGGGGUAAUUAGUAUGCUUGUUUAGAUAUGUUUAGUAUAUCCAAAGAUAGCAAGCAUGUCUAGUUUAUGUAUAGUUGAUUACUAAUUAUGUGAAAUUACAGUUAAGCAUCAAUUAUGUUUAUUGAAGUGUAUUGUUGUAUCACCAAAUAAAUUAAGCUUCAUAAUUUUAUGUUAGUAAAUAUUAAUAAAUUAACAUAGGUAACAUUUAAUAAUUUAAAUUAGCUGUAGAAAAUUUUAAAAUAUUUUAUUGAUAAUAAAAAAAUUAGCGAUUAUUAUAUCAUGAAUUAAUUGAUAUGUAAAUUAUUUAUUUAUCAAAAUUAUUUUUCAUUUAAUUAAAUAUUAAUUGAGGUUUAAUUAUUAGUUAUCGAUAAAAAUUAACACGGUAUUGUCUUUUAUGGUCCUGACCCCCAUCUCUAAAUUAGAAGCAAUUCUCAAACCCGUCCCCAUCUCUAAGGAAAGUUUCGUCUUCAGCAUAAUAACUAUAUAAUAUCAUAAUGCAUUGGUGUGCAUUAACCAUGCUCCAGGUUGAUUUGGAAAGUCAUGAUUCUGCUUCCAUUUCAAUUUAGACUCCUUGGUUAUAAGCCAAAUGAUUUAUAAGUAAUAGCCAGUAGAAGUUCUUUUCAAAAUGGAAAUAAAUUGUCCUACUGGGAGAGUCCACAUAUGGUAUCUAAUUUGUGGUGUUAUUAUUUCAAUUGUAAGUUUCCCUAAUUCUGCCCAAUGUACAGAUUCAGAAAGUUAUAUUUGGCGAGUUCUUUUUUUUUUUUCUUUUUCAUUUUUAAAGGCUUUGGAUACAACGGCAAGAGAUAGGGAAAAAUAACAAAGAAAGAGUCCAAACUCCACAUUAUGCUAACAUUUAAAUUUCCAUUUAUACUUUGCUCCACUCAUUCUAAUGUUUACUGGCUAAUUGUAGUUUAUGGUGUAGCAUCCAGAAAAGAUGACUCACAAAAUUUAUUCUUUUGGACCACUAAGUAGCUUAAACACACACACACACAAACACAUGGACGUAUGAAUGUGUGUGUACGUAUAUGUAUAUAUAUAUAUAUGUAUGUGUGUAUAUAUAGUCCUUUUUUAAUAUGGACACCUCUUUUUUUUUUUUUUUUACAUAGACACACUAUGUAUUAAGACAUAUGGUUUAAUAAAAUUAAAUUUUAAUAGUAUUAAACUAUACAAUUUUAUCGUGUAUUAAAAAUUAAAUUUAUUAAGGUGCACGGUUAAACUGCGUGUCAAGACAAUCCCGCGCUAAUCCAAGUGAGAAAAUAGAGAGAGCUUUUGGUGCUCUAUUUCAUAACUUUUAUUUAAUCAAAAUAUCUUGGUUCGGGUACGAGGCCCAUACCCGAUCCCAAUUCAUCCCAAUUCUGUUUUUGAGGUUUUUUGGGGCCCAUACCCGAUCCCAAUUCAUCGCGAGCCAGCACAUGAGUCCUGCUCGCGGAUUACAAAAGUAAAUAUUGUGGAUAAUGGCAAGAUAAAAAUUGUGGUGGGUACGUAACGCGAAACAAAUAAGAUUAUAAUUAAAUUAAACGUGAGAAGUUACUUUUCUAGCAAAAGCUUAAUCCAACGCCUCCAUUACUUCUUUUUAUGGAUAUAUUCUUAAUUAUUUUUCGUUAUUUUAUUUCCUGUUCAUCAAGUUUGCGAUGUUUACAACAAUUAUUCAUUUGAAAAGUUAUCCAAUGAUGUCAAUACGUGAAAAUUGAGAAUAUGUAUAGCGAAAAAGGUUUUCUUCCUCCUCCUGUAUUGAUUCAAAUUAAAAAAAUUUUAUAACGGAUUUAAUGUGGUUUAAAAGUUCAAUUUUAUAUAACAUUUUAAUGACAUAAAUGGAACAAAUCAAUCACAUAAUCGAACAAAAUGAUAAGAAUCUUCUUGAUAUAUGUGCAAGAUGAAUUAUAUAAUCUUGAUUUUGGAAAAUGUGGCCAGCACUGCAAAAAUGAAGAUUAAUUAACCUUGGAUGACAAUGAUUAAUACCCGUCCAUUUCUCCUAAGCUCUGUUUCUAACUUUGAUGCGCACGGGACUUGAAAGCUUCAUCUUCCUCUAGCUUCCUUUCGUGAAACGUACUAACAAAUUAAGAAAUCAUCCAAUAUCUUUAGUACAAAUCCAAAUAGUCUCAUUUUGACUUUGAGCAAGCUUUUUAAUUCCACACUCAGAGAUAAAAUUUUGUGAAUUCACAUUAUUUAACAAAAUAAUUAACAAAUUAAUUGUGAUUAUGGUUGACGAUCAUGUUGAUAAGCAUCAUAAACAAAAUGAUUGUUGUAGAGGCCGAAAUUCCAAAAGUUUCGUUGCAUAUUUAGUGAAAUGAUGCAAGGACGAAGUAUCACUUGGCUGUAAGAAUUAGUUACCCAACAAUUUGUGGAGUUUGUUUUAGGUAAAAUAAAUAAAUAAAUAAAAAAUAGAGAGCAUAAUUAAGCCAACAUGGAUAGAGUAACUUAAGCAAUAUAUUGCACACAAUGAUUAUUUUUAUUAACUUCCUUUUUCAAGAAGACACGGUACACAAAAGUAAAUAAAUAAAAAAAUCUCUUAUACAACUCAAGAGAUUUUAUAAGUUGAACUAAGCCAAACAAAGACACUCACACAAUUGAUAGAUAAUGAUAACCCAUCAUUUUAUUUAAUUAAUAUAAUACGGAAAGAGUAACUUGCACUUAACCAGUGUAGUAAGGAUUUCUUCCGUAUUGAGGGACAAUAAAGAGAUCCAGAUUGUCGUUCAUCCUCUCAUCAUUAACAAUACUUAUCAGAGAUAUUGGAUAACCCUCAGACCACUCGACCUUCCCUAAAAAUUCACAACAACAAUUGUAUUCAUUAAUACAUAUAUUAAAAUAAAAAUUAUAAAUGACAUUCAACUGAACAUGGCCUAAGAACCUAGAUAAGGAGCUUCCAUAUUCUUCAAAUUAGAAAAGAUAUAUUCUAACUUAUGGUGAACCGUAAUCGAAAUUGAAGUUACUUUUGUUUCUGGUUUGAUAAUAUGUUGCUGGUGAUUCUGAGUCUUCGUAUAGUACAGUGAUGUAUGCAAUGCAGCCCCUUCAAUAGUAAAGAGGAAGCUUGAACAACUGGUAUUUUACUGGUUGUACAUUUAAUAAAUUUAAAAAAAUUAUUUUUAAUGCAGAAAAAAUAAAAUAAAACGGAAAAAAUUAAGGAAAUUUUGUAAAUAUUUAACACAAACAAUAUUUGAGAGAAAAAAAUAUUUUUAAUUCAACAAAGGUUAAAAAAAUUAAAAUAAGCAUGUCUCGACUCUUUUGUUUUAAUGUCAAUAUAUUAGGUGACAUUCCAAGUUAAUUUCACAUAUACCUAAUUUUGAUUAAACUUUCUCACUAAUUGGUUUGCUUAUCUCCACUUUCCGAUCCACUAGUUUUAUGUUUAAUAUUCCCACUAAACUCGUUAAAUACUAAUAUUUUGGGUCAAAUUCGAAUUAAAUUUAUUUCUCGUUAGACAAGUAUCAAAAUUCCGUUAAACUUUCUCCACAUUUGGUUCACGUGUUUCAACGAUUAUUCUACUAGUUUUUCAUUUAAUAUUUCAACUAGUUUAUCAAGAUUCCAAUUAUAUGGGUGAGAUAUUGAUAUCACUUUUUUUGGUUUGAUUAGUUCUAAAUUUUGGUAAUGUUUUUCCAUCUAUAGGUUCACAUGUUUCAACUUAUUGGUCCACUAAUUUUAUGUUUGAUAUUUCUACUAAAUUUGUCAAGUACCAAUAUUUAUUGUUAGCUUCCAAGUAAUUAACAUUCUUCGUUGGAUAAGUUCCAAGUUUUGGUUGUUCUUUCUCUCUUAAUGGUUCACGUGUUUCCUCUAAUUUUUCCCUAAUUUUGCGUUGAAAAUUGCCAUUAAUUGGUUGAGAUUCCAAUUACUAAGGUUAGGUACUAGGUUUGUUUUCUAUAACUUUAUUUUUGGUUUUGUAGGUCUCUAAUUUUGGUUGUGCUUUCCCCAUUUUUGGUUGACGUAUUUCAAUUGUAUUCAAUUGUAAUUCCACAGGUUUUGUGUUCGUUAUUCCAACUAACUUGGUAAAAUUCUAAUUAUAUGGGUUAAAUAUCAAUAUUAAUUUUGCUUGGUUUGAUUAGUCUCAAGUUUUGGUUAUAUUUUUAUCUUUUGGUUCACAUGUUUCAACUUAUUGGUCCACUGGUUUUGCGUUUCAUAUUCCUAUAAAGUUCAUUAGGUACCAGUAUCAUGGGUUAGAUUCCAAGUAAAUAUCAUUUUUUGUUAAAUGAGUUUCUAAUUUUCGUCAAACUUUCUCUCUUAAUGGUUCACGUGUUUCAUCUAAUUUUUUCCCUAAUGUUGUGUUAAAUAUUCCCAUUAACUGGUUGAGAUUCCCAUUACUGAGGUUAGGUACCAAGUUUGUUUUCUAUAACUUUAUUUUUGGUUUUGUAGUUAUCUAAUUUUGGUUGUGCUUUCUCUAUUUUUUGUUGACGUAUUUCAAUUAUAAUUCCACAAGUUUUGCGUUCGUUAUUCCAACUUAUUCCACAUGUUUUGCGUUCGUUAUUAGAAUAAAAGCAACAGAUUUCAUCAAAAUUUAAGAAUGAUUACUAGUGCUUUCAUGCUCGUGGAGGUGAGAAUGGGAGACGCUUGUUGUCUUAAGUGACUAUUCUUACCCCACUAAAUUUAAUGAAUUUAAUCAUUCCUUCUCUAUAUGGUGUUUCCACCUCUAACAAUAAUUUUCUUAAUAUUAAAAUUGUCAAUAAUAAUAAUUACAAUUAUUAUAACAAAUAGUAAUAAUGAUAAUAAUUGAUUGAGGAUAAAUUAAUAAUUUAUAAUAACUCAUUCUAAUUUAUGUUCACAAAGUAAACAUAUUAAUAGCGAUAUAGAAUAUUCCAAUUGUGUUUCAUUCAUCCAACAAAUAUCAUAUUUUGUUUGUUAUUCUUCAUUUUUAUUGUAACCCAUUCUAAUUCUAUUUUUUUUUAAUUUUUUUAAAUUUCAAUUAUUUAUUAGUGAACACAUAAAAAAUUUAAUAAAAAUCAAAUUUCAGAUUAGAAAGAGCAUGCAAGGUAGACUUUUGUAGGGCUUGCAAAUCAUAUUGUAGGUAUUUGGAAAUUCACAAAAAGUAAAUAAUGUUAUGUACAGACAUAAGUUCUCGUUUAUAACGUUUUGCUGUAUUUCACUGACACUUUGUUAUAUAAGGUGAUAAUGCCAUGUUUGGAUGCUAGGAUUAAGUAUGGGAUUGGACUAAUUUUGGGAUUAAAUAUUUAUCCAAUGUUUGUCAAGCUUAGUUGGAUUGGAUUAAGGGGGUAGUAAUUUAAAUUUAAUCCUAAAAUCAUGGGAUUAAUAAUCCUAAUUUACGCAUGGGUUUAGUUGGGAUAAAAUUAAUGAAAAAAGUUGUCCAUUUAUGAGAUUUUUAUUUAUAUCAUUUUUUUAUUUGCACCUAAUAUUAAUUAAUUAAUUAAUUUUUAUUAUGAUUUACUUAAAACUUAUUUUUAUUUAUUAUCUAUGAUCUAAUUAAAUUAAUAUCUUUACUUGUAUUAACUCUAGAGAUUAAAUUUUCACCACUUAUAUAUUUAGUAAUUUAUCAAUAAAAUUAAAUGUUUAAUUAUUUAUUUCGCAAACACACCAAUAUUACAUAAUUUCCCUAUUAUUGCCAUCGGUUCCCAAACAUCCAAGAGCUGGUUGGCAACAAGAGAAAAAAUAGGGGUGACAUAACGACGACUAUGUAAUCGUGGCCAAUAAAUUGUUUCACAGUACCUAAUUAUAGCAACGAUUAAAUGCAACCUGAAAUCUGCUGUUGAAGUCAUAGUUAUGGAAAAUUUUACAAGCUUGAAAUAAGACCAAAAAAUUAUAAAGAGUAAUGUUAAAUAUCCCAAUUAAAAUUAUGCCACUAUUCAAUCACAAAUAUAGGAUAGGUGACUAUAAUUUUUCUAUAAGUAAUGCUUUGGUUCUUUUAAUAGUGUGAUGAGUAAACGUUAAUUUUUUAUUUUAACUCAUGAUCGUUAAGAGAAAUUAAAUUUGGGGUGUGUUUUUCAAAUAAUCUGACCCUUUAAAAAUAUAUAUCUCAUCCUUCUCCCCGUUCCACAUCAAAAACCACUUUUUCCAAUUUUCUCCCACAGGAUGCAGGAAUGAAGAAUGCAUUGAAGGAGAAAUUACCUAUCCAAACAUCCAUACAUGGAAAUCAUCAACACAAACCACAAAAUUAAGCUAUCUUAUGAAAAAUGUCCAUAAUGCAUAAUCAAAACAUAACAAGUAUUGACAAAUUUGAAAACAAAAUACAUAAUAAUCAUAAUUUCUGGGCAUAAAACCAUGGGAUAAUCACUGAGGAGGUGGCGGAGAUGAAGAUGAGGAUGGCGGCGAAAUCCCGAGAGUGCGGCUGAUGAGCUGCUGGUCAUCUAGAAUCUGGUGCUGCUGUGAAAAAAGACGCUGCUGCUCAGAAUAGAAGUGAUAGUGGAACGCUGCAAACCGUGUCUGAAGCUCGUUCUGUUGUAUAGAUAUGGAACAGAUUAAAACUAUCCAUUUAUAUGGGUAAUGAGUAACUACCUUAUCUUUUUAAUAAUUAAAAGAAAAUUAUUCCUUUAAUUAUUGGUAGAAUAUAUUUUCCAAUUCACUAUAAAAAAUAAAUACUCCUAGAGUGAAGAAUAUAAGUAUAAAUUGAAAUACAAAUUUGUUUUCACUUAAAGUGUUUUCUCAAAUUUUUUCCCAUAAGAAACUCAAAAAUGUAUUAAUGAAUAAGUUGUAAAACAGAAAGUGGACAAGCCGUCCGCUUAAAAACAAAGCCUAGCACUAUUUGUGCCAUACGAAAGUGUACCCAAUCACCCUAAAGUGUUUUCCAACUUUUUCUCGUAUUUUUUUUAAGAAUACUUAAUAGAUUAAAUAUUGUAAUAUAAAAACUGAAGACGAAAACAAACAUGCAUGAAAGUUCCAAUAAGGUUGCUGAUGCCUUAUCUCAAGUACAUGCGGAUCAAUUUUCCGACUCCAUAAAUUCUCAAGCUGAGUUCUACUCUAUAAUGCAAAUAAUAUUUUGUUUUUAAUUCAAUUUAGCACCCUACAAGAAGAGAUUACCUUAUCGCUUCCAAUCCCUCCUUUAGAUCUAAGCCACUUCAUGAACUUCUUGAUCCUUGAUUCGUUCCAGAAUGUGAUAGGAAGUAUAUUCCUAUCAAGCUGAAUGUUGUCAUAUGCAACAUUAUGGAGAUAAAAGAUCUGCAUGAGCAACUUAUAAUUAAGAAGAAUAAUAUUAUUCAUGGUAAGCAUAUGCUCAGCUUUAGUUGCAGAAACUAUGUCACCUGUAGGAAGUGCAAACAACCUCCAAUGUAUGCUGCUUGUUGUUUCCACUAUUUCAUUGUCACCAGAAUGUGAGUUUGAAUUACCCAUCCUUGUAUCUCUCUUUUUGUACCUUGCCUUUUGUUCGGGAGGAAUUUCUGUGUAGGUUUCCCCAAUAUGUUUCCGUAACUGUCAAAAAGGUAAUGAAUAUGUCUUAAAACAUAAAAAAACCCGCAAAAUAAUAUCUGUACAUGCUACAUUUAUUUAAUAUACUAAUCCCAAUUGUAAUGGAAAAAUAUGAAUUUUCACUUCUCAAACGCUUAACUUCUUCAUUGCUGUAAAAGCAUAACAUCUAAUUACUGUUAUCUGAUAUGGGCGUGUUUAUUUUCCGAUAGGUAAAUCACAACGACUACUUCCAAGUAAGAGACAAAUCCAUAAGUUGAAGACGUUGGAACUGCAACCUAACCAUCUGCUUUUAGAAUAGGAGCACUUUUUUCUGUAAGCCCCCUGGUAGUUGUUUACGCUUUCGUUGGUGACUGUCCAAGAAAAAAUUUAAAUAAUUAAGUGAAGGAUAAUUAUUCCAUCAAUAUGUAUUAAAUUAAAAAAAAAGAGUUCCCCAACAUUCUUAUCCGGCUAAUUUUUAUAUUAAAUUAAAAAAUAUUUAUUAACUUUAACUUAAAAACAAAUUUAACCUAACUCUCACAUUCACACGCACUCACAACACUUUACCAGCAGCCACAACCCACAAAUCCCUAACACCCAAAUCCCCCCAAUUCCGUAGGAUGUCGCCGUCUGGCUCACGGCCUCGCCUAAGCCUCGUGUCCAAGCCUCGAUCAGAGUCGGUUGCUGUCGUUGCGCGCUGCACGCCUCGAUCUGAGUCGGUCGCUGCCGCUGCACGCUCGAUCUAAGUGAGUUGCUGCCGCUACACGCUCGAUCUGAGUCAGUUGCUGUCGAAUCCUCGCCAUCGAAGAAGCCUCUUGCCGUCGAAUCCUCACCAUCUGAGAAGCCUCGUCUAAGCACUUUAAUUAAAAUGGUCCUGGCAAGCCUUGUUGAAUCCUUUGGCCUUUGUUGAUUCAAUUUAGUUUAAUUUUGAAUAAAUUUCUUUGCUGUUUCGUUUCAUGAUACGACCUCAAAUGAAUAUUUGUCAGUAUCACGAGGUUUCCACCUUUCGAGCAGGUGUGAGCUCCACAAGAACAGAGAGAAAAUAAUAGAGAUAAGAAAGAAAGAAACUUUUGUGUAUUAUCCUCAUGUCCAGCUCACGCCUUUCCACUUUACAUAUAUCCUUUCCAUUCUACCACUUUUUGUGUAACUAACCAAUUGCAAUAAUAAAACAAAAUAAUAGAAAUCACAGUUGUCCUCAUGGAAUAAUUCUCCCGAAUAUUCCCCUAGGUGAUAUAGUCCUUGAGAUAUUUUGGAGUUUUGCGAACAUGAGCUGGCCGUUGCAAUGUUUGCUCCACUUCCUGCAUUUCAACUACAGGGCCAUCUUCAAGCUCCCUUACUUUAAUGGGCCAGGAUGUAUCAUUUCAUCACUUUAAUUAAAUGCAUUAAUUUUCAAUAUAAUGUAAAUGUUUAAUAGGUUUUGGGAUUAGGUUUUAAUUUGGAAAAUUGUUGAAUUUUUAAAUUAAAAAUUUAAAUCAAGUCUUGGUGAAACCUGUUGUCAUAUGCUGAUUAACAUCGCUAGUCUCUGAAAUAAUUUGUUGAUUCAAAAUUUAAAUUGUGAGUUCAAAUUUGAUGCAGAAUGGGCAACCAGCCUACUGCAAACAAAUCUUCUGGAACAGUUCAGAUGAAGGGACAACCAAUCCAGCAAAACAGCAACUGUUGUUGUUAGCCGAGCAUGUUAUUUUACUACUACAUGUAAUCCCCCAUAGAGUGCUUGAAAAUGUGUUAUCUUCAACCCACUGUAAUAGCUUGUGUUGUAACAAAAUUCAGCCCAGCCUAACAAGCUUGACCAUGAUUGUGGUUUGUCCUGAGUAAAGGCUCUUAAGUACUGUUCGAGGCCACGAUUCACUACCUCUAUUUGGCCAUCAGUUUGAGGGUGAUAAGCAGUACUGUGCCGCAAUGUAGUGCCACUUAACUCAAAUAGUUUCUGCCAAAAAUUACUCAUGAAUAUAGGAUCUCGAUAUGAUAUUAUUGAGCUUGGAAACCCAUGUAACUUGACUACCAAAUCAGCAAAAAGAUUGGCUGUUUUGCUGGCUGUGAACGGAGAUGGCAAUGCACCAAAGUGGGCUGAUUUCGUUAAGCGAUCCACUACCACCAAGAUUACCUCGAAGCCUUUAGAAGUUGGCAAGCCUGUAAUAAAAUCCAUAGUCAAAUCAUCCCAAACAAGUGAAGGAACAGGUAAAGGCUGAAGUAAUCCAGCAAGUGCUUGAGUAGAAUUUUUAAUUUGCUGACAUGUAAGACAAGCAGCAAUGUAGUUCUCAACAUCAAAGCGCAUUUUCGGCCAGAAAAAAGUAAAAGAAAGCCGAACUAGGGUGCGUUUCACGCCUGCAUGCCCUGCCAUGGGGGAGUCAUGGAAUUCUUUAAGAAGCGCGCUCUUUAAUUUGGAGUGAGGACUGACGUAGUAUCGAUGGUAGUAAAGUAAUAGUCCCUCACGAAUCGAGAAGGCUGAAGAAAGUUCUCCCGCUGCAAACUUGUUAUGAAGUAACAACAGAUCAGGUAAGGAUGAAUUGUCCUCAUGCAAAGUGGUUAGGAUAUCCACGGUUGGCUCGGAGAUUAUAGAGAAGAACUCAGCUUGAGAAUUUAUGGAGUCGGAAAAUUGAUCCGCAUGUACUUGAGAUAAGGCAUCAGCAACCUUAUUGGAACUUCCCGGCUUAUACUCAAUUCAAAAAUGAAAACUCAACAAUUUCCUGACGUAAGCUUGUUGUUCAGGAGUUUGAAUUACCUGCUGAAACAACUCUUUAAUGCUUUUAUGAUCGGUUCUGAUGAUGAAAAAUCGACCGAGUAAGUAUUGGCGCCAUUUUUGUAGAGCAGCAACAAUAACGUGCAGUUCUUUGAUAUAAGCCGAGGCAACCCGCAAUCGAGGACCCAACUUUUGACUAAAAUAAGAAAUGGGAUGACCUUGUUGCAUCAAUACUGCUCCAAUUCCAAUAUUGGAAGCAUCCAUCUCUAGAACAAAUUCAAGCUCAAAAUCGGGUAAAUGCAAUACCAGGGCAGCCACCAUUGCAUUUUUUAAAGUCAUAAAGGCAUCCGAAGCUGCUGGAGACCAAUGCAAUGCCUCUUUACACAACAAAUCUGUCAAUGGGGCUGCAAUUGAAGCAUAACCUCGGAUAAAUCGGCGAUAAUAGCCUGUGAGCCCUAGAAAGCCCCGUAGUUGCUUAACAGUCUGCGGCAAUGGCCAUUCCACCAUGGCUGUAAUUCUUUUAGGGUCUGCCUUUACUCCUCCAGUAGUCACUAUAUGGCCCAAGUAAUCAAUAGCUUCUUGGCAAAACAGACACUUCGACAAUUUGACAUAAAACUGAUGUUCUUGCAAACGAAACAAAACAUGUUCCAAGUGAUUGACAUGAGCAGUCAAUGAAGAACUAUAAACCAAAAUGUCAUCGAAAAAAAUAAUAAAAAAUUUGCGUAAGUAAGAUGCAAAUAGUUGAUUCAUAGUUGCUUGAAAUGUCGAGGGGGCAUUAGUUAAACCGAAUGGCAUGACCAGAAAUUCGUAAUGCCCCUUAUGAGUACGAAAUGUUGUUUUAUAAGUAUCUCGCUUAUGAACUCGGAUCUGGUGCUAACCAGCUCUCAAAUCCAGCUUGCUGAAAAUCCAUGCUCUUCCUAGCUCAUCAAAUAAUUCAUCAAUUGUGGGAAUAGGAAAUUUAUCCGGCACUGUGACUGCAUUCAAGGCUCGGUAAUUGACACAAAACCUGUAUGUGCCAUCCUUUUUCUUGACCAACAAAACGGGAGAGGAGAAAGGGUUGUGGCUUGGCUUUAUUAUCCCCUGUUCUAAAUUUUCCUUGACUAGUUUUUCCAUUUCUGUUUUUUGAAAAUGAGGAUAUCUAUAGGGCCUCACAUUCACUGGCUUUGAAGUAGGCAGGAGGUGGAUUUUAUGGUCAAUGAGUCUAUGAGGAGGUAGACCCGUAGGUGGUGAAAAUAAAGUUUUAUAUUGUUGAAGGAGAAUGGUGAUUUGUUCGGGUAACUGGGUGGGAAGGUGAAGUCCCGAUAGUGAGAAAUUUGUAUCGGAAUCAAGUGUGUCAUUGAUAAUGGGAUGCAGCUCAAAUAAUGAAUGCACGACAUCUGUAGAUAACAAGGCAUGAAAUUGAUGGAAGGAAAUCAUAUUAGGGGUUUGGAUGGGGUCACCUCGUAAAAUGACUGGAUUGCUCUCCUAACAAAAUUCCAUAGUCAUUGCACGGUAGUCUGUAGAUAUUUUACCAAGAUGUUGAAGCCACUAGAUUCCCAGGACAGCAUCGGGACCUUCAAUUGGCAAUAUAUAGAAAUACAACUUGAAAGUGUAACCCUGUAUCACUAGUGGCACUUGAAGACAUUGAAAACGGCAAAUUAAGAAGUCGCCAUUACCAAUAUAAACCCGAAAAGCAGGGAUAGAUUGAAUUUUCAGGCCAAGUCAUUCUGCCCAUUGUGGUUUGAUGAAGUUGUGUGUACUGCCACUAUCUAUUAAAACAUGUAAGUGUUGGCGGCCAAUUUCUCCUAUUACUCUCAAGGAACGUAGGUUAGAUUGCCCAGCUAGGGCAUUUAAGCUGGAUAUAUCAACUGUCACAACUUUCUCUGUUUGUUCAAGCAAAGGAAACUCCUCCGAUGGUUCACUGUCAUCAUCAUCUGUGCCUAACAACAAGAGAAAUUUACUACGGCAAUGAUGGUUUGCACUAUAUUUCUGGUCGCAAUUGUAACACAACCCCUUUUCUCUUUUUUCUUUCAAUUCCACCGGGAAGAGACGACGGAUGAGGAGGGCUGGAGUGGGUAAAAGUGGUGGUAGUGGUAUUGGUUUUGGGGUAGGUAAAAGUGGCGGUUGGGAUGAUGGUUUUGGAGUAGCAAAACUGGCAUGUGGAUAAGUGGAAGGAAAUUUGUUGUGGACAUGGUGAGUGAGAGCAUGGGUGGUUUGUUGUGGUUGAGGAGUAACAGCGUAGAGCAGGGGUGGUUUGUUGUGGUUGAGGAGUAACAGCGUUCCAUUUUGUCCAAGGACGGCCUGAAAUUUUUGACUCCUCAGAUUUAGCUUCAUAUGCUCGUGCUAGAGCAAAGGCUUCCAUGAGGGACGUGGGUCUGCCAAACAACAACUCUUGCCGAAUGUCAGGUUUUAAGCCAGUGAUAAAGAAACUUAUCAGUAACGGCUCGAAAAUGCCCGUGACUUUAUUCAUAAACUCUUCAAAGGCAGAUUGAAACUCUGCGACUGUAGAUGUUUGUGUGAGCUUGGACAAAUUGCCCUGAUGAUCUUCAUACAUAGAAGCACCAAACGUUGUUUGAGAUUGAUUAAAAAACUUUGCCAAGUGCUCAAUAGAUUGUUGGCUUUCAUCGACUGAAACCAUACAGCAGCUUUUCCUUCCAUGUGAAAAGAAACAAUACGUAACCGUAGAUGAUCCGGGGUGCCAUGAAAAUCAAAAAAUUCAUUGAUUUGAAAAUCCCAUCCAUUUGGAUCAAUGCCAUCAAACUUUGGAACCUCCAUUUUCAUGGAGCGUAACAGAGGUGAAUUAUCUGUACUACUAACAAGAGUAGUGGACGGUGUUGGGAAAGCCGUCGACGAUGUCGGAACCGUAGUCGAAGAUGACGGUGUUGACGCCAGAGGAUGUGAUGAACCUCCUGAAACUCCGAUAGAACUACUGAUUUGAGACCGUAGCUCCUCAAAACGAGAAUCAACUGUGGACAUAUAUUUUUGGAGGUUUUGAUGAACAACCAGCGUGUGGCUUUCAAGAAGUGUUUGCAUCUUAGAAAUAAUCUCAGGAUCCGUUGUGGUCUCUUGGUUGGUCAUUGUUGCAGAGAAAUAGGGCGUAGAUGACAGAGAAUGACAAGGAGAAGAAAAAGACAAUGAAAGCACCAGUUGAUAUGACCUCAAAUGAAUAUUUGUCGGUAUCACGAGGUUUCCACCUUUCGAGCAGGUGUGAGCUCCACAAGAGCAGAGAGAAAAUAAUAGAGAUAAGAAAGAAAGAAACUUUUGUGUAUUAUCCUCAUGUCCAGCUCACGCCUUUCCACUUUACAUAUAUCCUUUCCAUUCUACCACUUUUUGUGUAACUAACCAAUUGCAAUAAUAAACAAAAUAACAGAAAUCACAACUGUCCUCAUGGAAUAAUUCUCCUGAAUAUUCCCCUAGGUGAUAUAGUCCUUGAGAUAUUUUGGAGUUUUGCGAACACGAGCUGGCUGUUGCAAUGUUUGCUCCACUUCCUGCAUUUCAACUACAGGGCCAUCUUCAAGCUCCCUUACUUUAAUGGGUCAGGAUGUAUCAUUUCAUCACUUUAAUUAAAUGCAUUAAUUUUCAAUAUAAUGUAAAUGUUUAAUAGGUUUUGGGAUUAGGUUUUAAUUUGGAAAAUUGUUGAAUUUUUAAAUUAAAAAUUUAAAUCAAAUCUUGGUGAAACCUAUUGUCAUAUGCUGAUUAACAUAGCUAGUCUCUGAAAUAAUUUGUUGAUUCAAAAUUUAAAUUAUGAGUUCAAAUUUAAUGCAGAAUGGGCAACCAGCCUACUGCAAACAAAUCUUUUGGAACAGUUCAGAUGAAGGGACAGCCAAUCCAGCAAAUUUGUUCUCGUUUAUUGAAAUGACCCUCUUGUCGCUUAUCUAUGACUUGGAAGUCCGGUCAUAUCAGAUGGGUAAAGUUGCCGAAACGGCAUCAUUUUGGGUGAAAUAUCAUAUUUAUGCAACACUUGAUGAUAUUUUUAUGCAACAAAAAAAUGUUUGUGGUAUCCUUUUCGCAUUGUGAAGCGCAUGGUCGGAUGAGAGCAGUCUGGAUUCUGGCAUCACAAGCGAAUGCUUUGAUUUGCUUAGUUUGUUUUUUGUUUCUGAUAUUUUCUUGACAUUGGGUGGGAUAUUGUUUCUCUUUUGGGUUUCCCUUUUUUUGUUUUUUUUUUGUUACGGAAUUUGGAGAUAGUGUACAUGUAUGAAGAUGACGUAAUAAAGUUGUUUUGGUAAAUUUCCUUGGUCGGUUUACUUCACUAACCAUUAAUGCGCAAAACUCCUAAUGACCCUAAAAAAUCCCGUUCAUAAUUAAAGAAUUUCAAUUUUAUAUGUACAAAAAUAAAUAACUCUCAAAUAAAUUAUUUGAUAAUCCCAAAAACAGCAAUUCACUCUAAUAAAUCUGGUAGCAAAUAUAUGGUUUAUAUUGCAAGUCUUUUCGAGACUAAUUCAAAGAGAAAAUACAAAGGUCAUAUAAUUGACCUUUGCCUGUCAUAAAGAAUUCUAAAUAAAUUCAUAUACGCAUCAUAGCUAAUUACAACCUUAAUACUUUAUUUGGUUUUUGUUAAUUUUCUGUAGAGUUGUGUUGUGCGUAAAAGUUUUGUUAAAUGUAAUCGGUAGGUGAAGAGAAUUUUUAGAAGCAUACAUCAAAGUAAUGAUCAAUAUAAAUAUUGAUUGUCUCAAGUUAGAUUCCACAAAGAUGAAAUAAUACUAGGCUAGUAAAUUCAAUCAUAAUAAUUUGACUUCCAUUAUAUUAAUUAUGUCCAAUCAUGCUACUUUAAUAAAGAACGCUCGACCAUUUAUAUGUAUACAACAUACGAAAUUAAUUACAAAACGAUCUUUGACAAAGUCUGACCGGUCAACUAUCCGUCAAAUUCUGUAUUGUGUUACCGUUGAACUCUCAUGUCAAAUAUGGAUAGACAGUGCUUUGGCUAACAGUGAGAUAUAUGCGAGCAUAAGAGCUUCGUUCUCUAUUUUAAUGGCGUUUCUCUUUGUGGUUGUUGGACAAACUGUAAUGUGAAUUUCUAUCUAAUGGGUAUCCUAAUGCUUUUAGUUAGUUUGGGAUUGUUGAUUUAUAUAUGACGUUCAGUAUCCAAAAUUCAGAUGAUGAUAACCUUCAGUACUUUUUUUGUCAUAUUUCCUUUCGUGUUGGUGUUAGUAUCUUAAUUUUGUACCCAAUGUUAAGGACAAUAUAUACCUAAUUUGAAACUUCUAUAAUUUUACAUAUAUAGAUGCAAAUUCAUUUUUAAGAGUGCAUUUAGGACCCGUUUGGGGCAGCUGUACUGCCACCGCGCAGCUGCUCCCCAGGCCAAUUUUAGGGAAAUAUUCCUCCAGAAUUGGCCUGGGGAGCAGCUGCGCGGUGGCAGCGUAGCUGCCCUAAACGGGUCUUUAAUCAAGCAAUCCAGGCAUUUAUACUGAGUAAUUGGUUCAAUAUUAAUACAAAAUUAUUUAAAGUAACAUGUGGCAUAUUCUAAUUCCAGUGAGCUUCCAACUCAAAUUCCCAAUUUACAAGAAACGUUUUCAAUUUUCUCCAGAACAUUCUACAAAACGUUUCUUUUAGUCUCUACGCUGUGCUAGAGUUUUCUCUAAGUUUUUUUUCCAAAGACUUCUAAAGAACUAUCAAGAUACCGAGCUAUAAUCCAAUCUAAGCGUAUAUAUCUCUCUCUAUUUCACAUCCCUCCAUUUCACCAGAAGAUCAACAAACACUUAGCUUCGAAACAAACACUCUAAAAAAGCUAGCUUAGCUACGCAGAUGGCGAAAUCAGGAAUUCUUGCAAUGACAAUCUCGUUUCUUGAUAUGGCAGCAACAUUGAUAAUCAUGGCAUCACAAGCAAACGCUCUGAUGCCGUACACAUGAUCACCUUUCUUUGACGUGAUGUUUGCAAUAACAGAAGAUCCUUUCAAGGUUCUUGAACAGACCCCUCUAACAAUCCCAAAAGGAGUUGAUCAUCAUAAAACUCUAGCCCUGGCGAGAGGAGACUAGAUGGAGCACCAACAGCACACGUGAUCACGAUCGACAUUCUAGGGAUGAAGAAAAAUGAAGUGAAGAUUGAAGUUGAAGAGAACAGGGUACUGAGAGUGAGUGGGGAGAGGAAGAGUGAUGAUUAUUAUAAGGAGGGAGUUGAAGGAGAGAAAUGGCACAGAGCUGAGAGAACAUUUGGCAAGUUUUGGAGGCAGUUUAGGAUGCCUAUGAGUGCUGACUUGGAACAUGUUAAGGUUCAUUUGAAAAAUGGUGUUCUGAGGAUCACAGUGCCAAAGCUUGCUGAGGAGAAGAGGAGCCGAGGAGGCAACCUAAGGUUAUUAGCAUUAAUGAAGAGCCUGUAGGUAAUUUUUCAGGUGAAGAUAUUAAGGCCACCAAGGCUCAAAGGUGAUUGAUUAAAGAAAGAAGUGAUUGCUUCGCUUGAUGUGCUAUUUGUUUAUGAUCUUUUCUUAGUUUUGUUGUGGGAUAUUUCUCUCUGGACAUUCUGUUUAUUGUAUUUUGAUGGGUUUUUGAAGAUGGCUUGUAUGUAUUAACAACAAGAAAGUGUUUUUUUUUUUAUAAAUCCGGGUCCUAAAUUUGUAAAAGAAAUUAAUACGCUUGGUUUAUUGUUAAUAAAAAAAAAAAGAAAAAGCCUUUUUCUUUGGCAUAUAUUAUGCAUUUUAAGAAAAAAAAUUCACACUCCAAUUCAUAAAGAUAUUCUUUUUCUGUCAUAUUAAUGUGUCAGUUUUGAUGAAUCUAAAUAUUCAAUAACUAAUAAAUUAUAUUUAUAAGUAUUAAAUAUUAAUAGCGAUGGCACAUAAAUAAUUAAUUCAAGAACUUGCCCAUAGUGCAUUAAUUUAAAGAGUAUAAGUAACAUUGCAAUACAGUCCAGCCCUUACGUGUUUAAUUAGCAAUUGAAAAUUACUUUAUAUUGUACAACACCAUUAAAAGAACAUUAUAACACUGUUGCUGAUGGGCAGCUGGUAAUUCUUUUGGUGAAGAUAUUAAGGCUGUUAAAGCUGAAAUGUAAUCAUAGAAAUAUAAUGUAUUCCCUUAGUUUACUUUUUGUUUUUUAUGCUUAGAUUGCUUUUUGUUUUUGAGAUUUUAUUGGCUUAGUCGUGGGAUAUUGUUUUCUCUUCUAAUUUUCUGUUUUUUGUCGUUAUGAGAUUUAAUGAUGGUGUGUAUGUACGAAAAUUAUGUAAUUUCAAUAAAUCAUGGUCGGUUUACUAUUAAUUGAUCAAAUUAAAUUUAUUCAAAUUACUCUGAUCAAAAUAAUUUCAAUUCCAUGAUAUAUAUGCACGUGUGCGCACACAAACAAAAUGUAAUUAACUUUUAAAUAUAAAAUAUUUAAAAUAAUCACCGUACUAACAAUUCACAAGUUAGAUUAUACAUAAAUAGACGAAAUAAUACUAAUCUAGCGAUUCCAAUCAUAAUAAUUUGAUUUUCAUUUAUAUUAAUUAUGUCGAACCAUGCUAUUUUAAUAAAGAACAUUUGAGAAUAUAUAUAUCCAACAGGUAAAAUUUCAGAACAAUAUUUGCCAAAUUCUGAUGAAGAGAAUAUACACGCACACACAUAUAACCGUACAACAGAAGGAUAAAUAAAAGAAAAUGAAGUUUCAACGGCUGAAUAAUUUUAUUGUUUAAUUUAAAAAAUUCAAAAACCCAUUAUAUACAUGAUAAAGACUCACCGACGCCGAACCAUAUUAAUUUAAAUUAGUUUUCAACUGAGAUUUGAAUUUUGAAAUUACAUACACAAACACGCCCAAUUUAAAAAAAGAAAGUCCUAAUUAUAAACAAUUCAAAUCUAUAGCAACAUAAGGUAUAUGGGUUAACAAGUCCCAAUAUUCUCCUCCAUCCUUUCUGCACUUCUCUGCUAUCAACGGACAUUCCUCGAUCUCUAAUUGCAAAAGGGAGGAAGGCAGGCCCUUCUCCGGAAAGUAUUUGAGCUUGUGACAAUUAUAGAGUUCCAAUGAAGUGAGGUUUUGAAGAUCAACAAUUGAAGAAGAUAGGCGUUCCAGAUUUGGAAAAUCUUCAAUCCUCAGUGAUGUUAGAGAGGCAGGAAGAGGAAGCGCGGUCCCUAAUCUUUUGUCCUCUAGUGGAAAUGACACCAUGUCGUCAUCGCAUCCGCUGAUUUUAAGAUGUCGCAGAGAGGAGAAUCUGUGAAAUCCCCGGCCCCGCUCAAUCAUUGACUUCCAAAUCUCCAUAUUACCCCAAAUACGAAGUGACUGAAGGUUGGUGGGAAGGUCAUCUUCUUCAAGGCUUGGAAGCUCACCUCCUAUUGUUAAUCCUUGAAGAGAGGUCAGAUUGUGCAAUCCCUUGGGUAAGGCCUCUAGUCUCUUACAAUCGUAUAUCUUCAGCCUCUUGAGUUUUGCACAAGGCAAUCCCCCACAACUCCUAAUACUAAUCUCUCGAAGCUGGCGGAGAUUACGUAAACCACUCGGUAAAAUUUUCAGAUUUCCACAAUUAGCAAUCCCGAUUUCUUCAAGAGAUGAGUUGUUGUCCAACCUUUCUGCUAUUGACUCCAGCUUUGAACAUUUAUAAACAUAAAGGGACUUAAGAGACGGAGGUAGAUUGCCAACUUCAAGGGACUCAAGCAUGGCAGGUAACUCGUUUUUUGAAUAUAUACAUGUCAAAGAUGGACAACGGCUAAUUUCUAACUUCUCAAUAAGAGAUGAGUUGUACCUUCCGCUGCUGCUGCUACUCUGGAUGACCUCUUCCACUGUCAAAGUCCUUAUAUUAUCGCAACGCCAGAUCGUCAACUUCUUAAGGCUCGAUGGUAGCUGGACAGCAGCAAUAUAUGUCAACGAACGGCAACCCUCAAUAUACAAGAUCUCGAGAGACGAAUUGGUGUCGCACAUCCAUGCCUCUGGUAACGAUUUCAGUGCAUCACAUUCUCUAAUCUGAAUUUUCUUCAACUUGGAAGGCAGAGCAACCUCAGGAAAGGAAACAAGGGAACUGCAGCCGUAGAAUUCUAUCUCUCUCAAGGAACUGAGGCUGAACGAUGAUUGUGGCAGCUUCACAAGGCCUUCGCAAUAAGUCAAUCUUAGAUAUUCAAGUCUGCAUGACAACUCGCACAGCUGCUGUUGUUGGUCUUUCUCUUCCUCCGCCACCAAGGAUUGAAGUUUGGGACAGCUUGUAAUCGUCAGUCUUUUGAGAGAGCAAAUGUCUUGCAGUAAUUCGUUAUGACUCUUCCAUAUAUAUGUUUCAUUUUUAAUAUUUUUUAUCCACAAUUCUUCCAGUUUUGGUAUUCGCGGCCUCAAUGGCCCUGCGAGAAACACUUGAUUUGAUGUAUCUCUACAAACCACUGAAUUCUGUGACCCGAGAUGAUCAGUUGCACUUCUCCACACAACCUUUUUACAUCCACCAAUAUGCAAGUUGCAAACAGCUGGAAGACUCGUAACUGAAACUGACAAUUCUUCACAUCCUUCAAUUACAAGCAUCUCCAAUGCAGGAAGGUGUUCUGGAAAUGUUCCUUGCAGCUUAGAACAACUUACAAUAUGAAGCUCUCUCAAUUUAGGAAACCCUUUAACUCCCUGACCAGAGCUAAGAGGAAUCCAAUCUUCCCAUUCUUGCAUGUCUUCAAAAUAAAGAGUUUCCAAGCAUGGAAAAGGAAUCGGAGAAUCAUUCCCAUAGAACUCUGAACCCAAACUCUUUACUCUACUCAUUCCACGCACUGCAAGAUGCUUUAGAGAAGGUAGUUGCCCGACUGACGGCAGGGUAGUACACACGUCACAAUCUUUAAAUUUUAAGGUCGCUAAAUUUGAGAAUGAGGAAUCUCCCAACCAAGUUGGAAAUUCUUUACCUCCAUAGCCACCGAUAUAAAAUUGUUCCAGAUUUUCAUGAGGUUUUAGCAUGUCGAGCACAUCCUUUUCAGUUUCUGCCUCCCUUGAAGACAAACCAUUGGUACUCCGUGUCCAUCGAAACUUUAACACUUUAAGAUUCUUCUUUCCAUCCAAUUGAGCCUCCUUCGCAUCACCAAUGUCUUUUACGUUCUCCAAUUUUGAAAUGUUAAGCGUCCCACGAAGAUGCGUCAACAAUUUUAGCUCUCGUAUCCCGGAACUACUGUCUUUUCCCACAACAAAAUUACACAGCGUCUGAAGGCAAGUCAACUUAACAAUUCCUAGUGGCAUCUCCUCCAAUGAAUCUGUCUUUGAAUUAUUGAGAUGAUGCAAUUUGAUGAGAUUUCCCAUGUCUGCACACAACUUCUUCAGUCGCCGACAGCCCUCCAACAGAAGGGUGUGCAAAUUGUAAAGCGUGUUGACUGAUUCAGGCAGAGUUCUAAUCUCAGUUUCAGAUAGGUUGAGGUACCUUAAAUACCUCAAAUCACCAAUUGAAUCCGGUAGCUCAGAGAUUUGAUAUCCAUGCAGUGAGAAGACCCUCAACCGUUGGAGUUUGAACAACUUAGGAAGAAUGCUACGAGCCAAGUAUCCACGCGAACUAUUUAUCAACAUUACUGGUAAAAAGGUUCGCAAAUGUUGGAUAUCGUACAAAUCCUCAAACCUUUUACCUCCAUCAAAAUAUUCAGGAAUGUAUGACAGAUGACGAAGAUUUUUGGAAAAACUUUGUUGCUUGUUAACCUCUGAGGUAUACUCCAUUGUGAAGUAUAUUUCCCCCGCAGCCCAUUGAGCAAGGUCGCUGAUAAGAUCGUGCAUCACAAAUCGUGAUGCAUCGUUGCUUGAUUGCUGGAAAAAAGAUCUUGAGUGCAGCUCCUUAAAGAUCUUACGACUGAAAUCGUCACAAGAAUUCCCACUCCCUUUGUGAUCCAAGAAAUCCGAAGCACACCAUAAUAAAAUUAUCUCCUCCUCUUCAAAUUCAUAAUCCUUUGGAAACAAUGAGCAGUAUGCAAAGCAUUGCCUCAAAGUUGGAGGAAGAUAAUAAUAGCUCACUGCAAGGGCUGGUAUAAUGCCACAUCUCUCUUCUGGUAAUUCCCAUAUCUUGCUACUGAGCACAUCUUCCCACUCACUUCUGUCAUGAUUCCCACGUAAAAGUCCUCCAAGUGUUUGUGCUGCCAAGGGCAAGCCAUCGCAUUUGGUCACUAUCUUCUUGCCGAUUUCCUCCAGUGACUUAUGUGAACUGAUAUCUCUUGUCCCCAAUGAAUGUUCAACGAAUACAGCUAGACAAUCAUUAUCUGACAACUUCUUUAGUUGAUAAGUCGGAACAGUACCCAUAAUUUUAGCAACCUCUUGAUUGCGAGUAGUGACAAUAAUUUUACUUCCUGGUGCGCCAACUUCAAAUGGACGUCUGAGUUGAUCCCAAUCAUCGUAAUUCCGGUUCCACACGUCAUCUAAAACAAGCAAAAAUUUCUUUCCAGAUAGUUGCUUAUUCAGUUUCCCUUGAAGUGAAUUCAAGUUGAGAUUAUCUACGUUCUGGUCAGUAACAAUGGAUGUUAAGAUUGUUUUUGUUAGCCUGAUAACGUCGAAAUCAUCAGAGACACAAGUCCAUGCCUUGAGAUCAAAAUGAUCCAGCACUUGCUUAUCAUUGUAGACAAGUUGAGCAAGAGUGGUUUUGCCCAGCCCGCCCAUACCUACAAUAGGUAUAACAGAGAAUCCACCAUCGUUGCUUAAAUCAUCCCUCAACAGCAGUUCAAUAACAUCCUUCUUUUCGAUUUCCCUGCCAUAUACUUUGGCUUCCUUCACCAAAGAGGUUGUCUCUCGCCUUUUCCUGUCUUUUGUGGUCCUCCCACCCGAACUUACAUUCAAACCCAGCGAGUCCUUCUGUGUUACAAUAUCUUGAAAUCUGCCAUUGAUCUCUUUGAUUUUGGACAUCAUGGCGUAAUCGAACUGAAUCGAUUGUGGAGUAAAAGUGGUGCAGCAAGUAGGAAUGAGCUUCCGAAACUUACUUGUUCUUGUACGACUGCUACUGGGUUGAUCGUGAGCCGCAGCUGGAUCUCCAUUUCCAAGCAGCAACUUCCUCCGGAAAGCCUCAGUUUGAAACUCAUCCAGCAAGUCUUCAACAUCAAAAGCCAAGUUCUGAAGCUCGCCAAGCCAGAACUUUACAGACUGAUCAGUCUUCUUCUCCUCAGCAUCAGCAAGCACCGCCUUGAUUAUCACCAACAUAUUCUUCCACUUCUUUAGGUCGGCUUGGAUUUGCUCUUGGCUUGCAAACAGCCGAAUCCCCUCUGAAGCUAACUUAUUGACCAGCAAAUCAACGGACGCCGUUAGGAUUGCCUCUCCGAUGAAUGACAUAUUUUUUUUCUUUUUCUUUUUCUUUUUUUUUUGGUUUUGCAAAGAAAGAAAGGAGCAGAAUUAUGGGUUAUGGAAAGCAGAAUGAGAAAAUGGAACAGGUGAGAAAAUGGAUAAUUAAGCAGAAUGAGUUUGUGAUUGUGAAGGGUCUGGCCCAGCAAGCUUAGUAGAAAUCACGCGUUGAUACUUUAUUGACCAAUGACUAAUAAUUUGGCAAUUCACUCAUCACCACCACUUGGUAAGCAAAAUGAAAAUGCUUAGUAAUUAAGUGUCAAGGGUCAAGCAAAAUACGACGUAAAAUGUGUCAAGGGUCUCCCCACUUGUUGUUCCUUGCAGCUUAGAAAAGAAGAACAGAGCCCACCACCCAUUAAUAUUUAGCAAUUCACCAAUCAUCACCACUUGUUACGAAACCAUCUCAUAAACCAAGUUCAAUCAAAACUCCUAAAACGUUUCUUUUUAGAAAUAUUUUACUUUAUUCAUCUAAUAUGUUAUCUAACAAAUAGACACAAUUGAAAUCACUCUAAAGUGAAGAUGAAAGGGGAAAAAAAUAACCUUCCAACCACCAGUAAUUUAGCAAGCUUCACUUUAUUCCACCAAAGUGUAAAUAAAGCCAGCCCCCACCACCAUCAAUAAUUUUGCAAGCUUCACAGGCUUGUUGUCUUCUCCUUGACGAACUGGACAUGAGUGGACCAAGAAUCAAUGACAGAAUUUUAAAAAUAAUAAUAUGAGAAAAACCUAAACAUUUUCGACUUAGAGUAGAACCGUAAUUAAUGCUAAAAUCUACUCAGCUAACAUUUUCAAAAUAUUGUUCUUUAUGAUUUUCAAAACCGUGAUUAAGUUUUAUCUCAAAUGUUUGAAGAGAGUCUAUCAGUUCUUCUACGCUAAGAAUCUCAAAAUUCUUACUUUUUCUUCAAACGUUGAAUAUUGAAAAAAAAAAGUUGAAUAUGAAAGAAAAUAGAAUGCAUCCAUCUUCGCUGUAGAAGUCUUCUACUUAUAAAAGUAAGUUAGAAUAAACGAUUUUAAUCUCUCUUUUUAUUCCUGUAAGUGCACUACAUUUUUUUUUUAAUCUCAAUGCGAAAAUUUUAGAUAAAACAAAUUCGACUCAUUUUUUAAAGGUAUAUAUUUAGUAGGUUACUAACAUAACUAACAAAACGUGAUUAUUACACUAAAUAAAAUAAAAGACAGUACUAUCACCAAUAAUUUAGCAAGUUUCGCAUGCACGUGUUUCUAGAAAUACUAUAUGGAAUCAAACAACGGUGAUACAAAGAGAAAAGUGGAAAUCCUCUGAUUGUAUUUUUUUUUUCUUUUUCAAAAGAAAUGGUGGGGUUGGUUUGUUUGCAAAGUUAUUAGCGUGGGUCUAUUUGUUUUUGUUUUAACUUUAUUAAUCAAUAAGCAAACAUGUAAUGAUUUGUAUAUAUCACUAGCAUCACAUUAUUGGGAGGUAUUGCGCUUAGUAUUCAUAAUGUUUGUAAGAUGAAUUUGUAAGACUUAUUAAUUUUGAUGAAAAUGUAUCGGUAUUAAGAUAUUAUUUAAUUCAUUAAGUUAACUUGAGGUAUUAAUAUUCACUGAUUGUGGUGCUGAUUAAUUUACUUAACUUGUCACUAUUUACAAUUAAGAAUGAGGUUCAAUCAAUUUAUUGGGAAAAAAAAUAAAGAUUUGAUUUUAAUUCUUAGGAUUUGAUUUCGCUCUCUUUCGCUUUUUUACGUUGCUAAAGAGGCAGUAAAAAGCUUGCUGAAUGUCAUCAAAUGCUUGUAUCUCAUCUCACAAAUUGACAAUAUUUGUUUGGUAUUUCAUCUCAACGGAUGCAGUAAGAAUUGCCUCUCCGAUGACUGACAUUUUUUUUUCUUUUUUCCGGCAAAGAACGAAACAGAAUUUUGAGUUUCGAAAAGCAAAAUGAGAAAAUUGAGCAAUUCACCAAUCGGUCAAGCAAAAUGUGCGUAACAAAUCUUCCGCUUGUUGUUUAGUCCAGUAAAGUGAGAAUAAAAACAGAGCCCACCACCCAUUAAUAAUUGAGCAAUUCACCAAUCACCAGUCGCCACCACUCGUUACCAUGAAUAUAAUAAAUUGCAUCUUGAUAUUUGCAGCGUCCAGCAACAUUGACCCAGUGUCCGGGUAAAUGCUGAAUAACGAGGAAAAUGGAAUGUAUCCGCUACGAACCUUCGCUUUAAAGUCUUCAAACUCAUAAACCAAGUUAAAUCAAAACGUUUAUCUCUCUCUCUCUUUUUGCCAUAUAAUUACUUUAUUUAUUGAAUUAAUUUCCAUGCUAAAAGGAAGACUUAAAACUGCACUACAAUUUUUUAUAAUCACAAUGGUAAUUUCUACUAUCAUGUUAUUUUAAUGUCGUGCUAAAAUAAAUUAUUAUAAAGUUUUUUUUAUGAACACUCUUUUCAUUUAUAAAUUUAUAAAUUUUUAAUAUUUUUCUCACUCUUUUAGUCUUAAUAUUUGUAUUUCUCUCUUCAAACUUUCUUUAUUAUUUAAUUUUUAAAGAAAAAUAUAAAAAAAAAGUAAGAAAAAUAUUAUACUUAAAAAAUAGUGAAUAUUUUAUGGGUCUAAUACAAGCCAGUAUUGUUUUUGACAAUGAAAGAGCACGCGAAAAAUCUCACUCAUAGAAAACUUUGUGAAAGGCAUUUGAAUGUGUGGCCACAUUUUCCGAACGAAACGAUAAGGUUUUAGCCUUCUAAUUGCAAUUAGUUUGUCUUGUAACUAAAUUAUUGCCGACAAACACCAUCAUGCUGACAAACCGUGCAUGCACGUCCUCUACUUGUGUAAAAUUCCCAUAUUUCCCAUUACUUCCCGUACUUUAUGCAUUAUUGUUUUGUAUGUCUUUUUGGUGUUUACGGUGUAGUUAGGGAUGGUAGCGGGUAGGGUCUGGUACGGGUUUGACAUCACCAAACCCGCAUCUACAAAAAAUUUUAAUUACGUAAUUCAAAUUAUAAAUUUAUAACUGUUGCCUAAAAAAAACCACAUAAAAUACUUAAUUCUAGAUUUUAUCAAUGUAAAUGAGAAAUGAAAAUAUCAACAUUAAAACAAAUACACAAAAUAUAUCAAUUUAACACGAAUUCUCAAAUUCAAUUAGCAAAUAAAUAAGUCAAUCACAGCUCGAAGUGCUUUCAAUUUAAAAAAAAAAAAAAGAAAGAGAAAAAAACAAAGAACUACAAAUCAAAGUAGCACCCAGACCUAUUUCAUAGGCUCAUUCGACACUAAGAUCUUAGAAUUAAGAUCUUCAAUUCAUUCAUUACCACUAGCACCCAUUCAAAGUGGUUUUUCUAAGCAAAAUAUAAAGUACAAAAUUACAAUAAGCAUAUGAUACUCCAUGCUUUAAGUUAAAGGUCCUUAUAUAAUUUUAUGAAUAAUGUUUUAGUGAAAUUUUAUGAUUAAAGUUAAAAAUACACAAAUAUUAAAAUAAGAAUGUUGGACACCUACGCAAUUAUUUGCCAAAUUUUUUCUCUAUAAAAAUUCACUUGCAACUUGCAGCAGGUUUAAAUUUAUAAUAUCAAACUUGAUUGUAGCUCGCAAAAUUUUUAGAUUUGCAAUCAUUUUACCACCCUAAGUGUAGUUAGUAUUGUAUAUCGUGUGUUUCCAAUUGGCUCUUAUAAAAAGCCUAGAAGUUGUUUGAAUAAUGAGGGAGACAAAUAUUUCCCAAACAUAUUCUCUUUUUCAAAUUUUUUUCUUUUCUCUAUUAUUGUAACUUCAAAUCCUUAAAAAUUACAUAUUACAGACAUGAACACAAUGUUUUGACAUAGUGGCUUUUGGCUUGUCCAGAGAAAUUUAGGAUAGAUUUUGAUGUACUAAGGCUCUGUUUACUAUUGAGAUUUUGGAACUUUUGAGCCACACUUGAAAUUUGUUUAAUUCUAAUAGAGUUGUAGCCUUCGAUAUGUGCUUGGUAUUAAUCAAGUGUUAUGUUUACAGCAGUUAAAGGCAUAUUGAAUCAAAGUCCACUUUUGAUUGAGAUUUUAAAGUAGGUUUUUAAUUUGAUAGCCACUCAAGUUCAAAUAUUGGAACCACAGUGCACCUUUCACUUGCUAGGCUUUAACCAAACAGACGACGUUAUACAAACUUCUAUCCAAUAAGGCAAUGCAAACAAAAGCAAGUGAAUUAAAAAUAAAUAAUUUCUCAUUAAUUUGCAACAAGUAUUAAUAAAGUGCAUGAGAAAAUAUGUCUUUUCUUAAAUGAAAAUAAAUGUGUUAAUUAGUCAAUUUAAAUGGUACGAUGUUUUGAAAUGAUAGAGCGAUAUGGAGUUUAAAUCUUACUCUUGACGUAAUAUUUAAUAACGAAUUUGAAGAACAAUUAAAAAUUAAAAGAAAAGAAAAAAAUGCUUUCUUUUUUAACAAUGGUAAUUUGUUCAGAUGAUGAAAAUUCUUAGAGUGGUAUAAUAAGUAUUUUUGAGUGUUGCCAUCGCCAAUAAUAUUUAAUUUCCUUUAUAUAGUUAUAUCUCAAGUAACAUUUAAACAAAAGCAAGUUGGAAAUUAAAAAAAAAAAUGAACCAUUGAGAGAAUGAAAAACAAACAAAAAAAAAGUUAAAAAAUUGUAUCUCAAUAAAUUUACUUGAGAGCUACUAUACUGAUAUGUGAAGAGAAAACACAAAGAAUAAUGAUGUAUCUCAAUUAAUAGGACAAUUUUUGUAUUUUUCGUUUAUUCAAGAAUCACGAAACUUCAUUUAAACUUGUUAUUUCAUUGAUAAUAUAUUAACAUUGAACAAUGUAGGGGACAUUCCUUUCCAAUUAUGCCCAUAUAUUAACUAAAGGCCACCAAAAAGUUCAGGGAUACUAUAGUAAUUUAAGUCAACAAUUACUAUGCUUGAAAUCAGCCAAUCAAACUCACUUUAGAAUAAAUUGAGAAAUCAAAAUCACAUUCUCCAAUUCUACGAUUUCAAUUCAUCUUCUUUCUUCAACUGAAGAAUUGGUUGUAUCUCGUUUAGAUAAAUAUAAAAUAUAAAUGACAAGGAGACUAGAAAAGUAAAAUCAAAAGAAGAGCAAGAGUUUUGUUGAAAAUGACUCUUUUUCAUCAUUGUGCCGGAGUGAAUGUAUCUACAUAUAAACUAAAGAAGCACGUUUGUUUGUAUUAGCUUUUUUAUUGUAUUUUUAAUAAUAAGUCAUUUUUCAAUGAACUUAUAUCAAUUUUUAUGAAAAUAAUAGGUGUUAGUUAGUUGAUUCAAAUGGCAAAACCUCUUGGGAUAGAGCUUGUAAUUUAUUGGCUCAUGAAUUGUCUAAAUUGACACUAACGAAGCCAAAUUACUGUGAUUGGUUAAAAAAGCUCCUGCUCAGCUUCAACUUUAUUAUUCUAUGAUGUUUGUUAAUAAAUAACAAUUUUAUUGAAAAAAAAAAGACCCCUUGAACUUAUACAAAAGAUUUGGGAUCUGAAUCUCACUCGAAUUUAGCUUGAGGUUGGCAUUGUUAGCAUAAUAUUUGAAGAAUUGAAGAUAGAUUUUUUUAAAUUAAAAAUCAAAAGAUAUAUAUAUAUAUAUAUUGGUUCACACUAGUUAGUUUUAACUCAUAGUGAGAUUUAAACAAAAGUGGAAUAAUAAAUCUUAACAUCCUGACUCAUGGAUAACAUCUAGAUAAGAUAGUAAAAUCUAUUAUGUCCAAAAUAAAAGGUAUGCAGUUUGAAUUUCGCUCACAUAGGUAGUAAGAGAAUCAAAUUAUUGUUAGAUUAAAUUAAUUAAAAAAAUUAUCUGAUAUCCAAAACAGCGUAUCAACAAAAUUGAAAUAAAAGAAAAUUGAAGAGAAAAACCAUUGAGAGAACGAAAAAUUAACACAAGAUAAAUUGGAUAACUAAUUGUAUCAGUGUGCGCUAACUUCACUUAUUAAAACUUGGUUAUUUCAUUUUCAUUGAUAAUCAUUUUGACAACGAUUUUUCUUUCCAGCUAUGCCCAUGAACUAAUAAGAGAACUGCCGAAAGGGUUCGGGGAUAAUAUGGUAAUUUAAAUUAACAUUUCCUGUGCUUCAAAUCACACUUCACAACAACAGAGAAAUCAAACUCACGGUUUCUCUCAUUUUUAAUUUAUUAUAUAAAGAUAAAUAUAUAAAAUUAAAUGGCGAGAAGACCGGACGAGGAAUACGAUUACUUGUUCAAAGUGGUAUUAAUCUAAAAACAAUAAUAUUAAAUAAAACACCUGGGAGUCGUAAUGGAAAGAAGAAUACAAUAUAUGAAACUUAUAAUGUUAUUUUUACUAUAUUAUAUUGAUACUUUAUUUUGUUAAUCAUAUAAGUCAAUCAGUAAUUAUUUAAUCAUUGGAAUUAAAACUAAUAUAUUAAUUAAAAUUCAAAAUCUAUUAUAAAAAUAGUAAAUAUUAAUAUAAAGAGAUGGACCUAUUACAAAAUACAUUCACCAAAAGUUCUAUUAUAUUUAAAAUUCUCAUUCACAAAAAAAAAAAAUAAUAGUUGAAUACAUGUACAAAAAAAGGGGAUAAAUAAAAAAUAAUAAUAAUAAAUAAUAAAAGAAUAGUUUAUAUAAUAAAAAAUAAAUUUAUUGAAUAGGGAUGUUAAUAAUAAAGAAUAAUAGCCUAUCAAACUCACAUUCUCCGAUUCUACAAUUGAAUCUUUUUCAUCAUUUUGUUGGAGUGAAUGUAUCUACAUAUAUUGGGGACCAUAAUGGAAACCGGUAGAACCUACAAGGGUUAAAAUCAAAACAACGAACGAUAUCUCAAGGUCGCCGAAACGUAAAUAAUUAAUCUUAUCUUUCAAUUGAUUUUUGUGGAGCCAGAGACAAUUAAACCCGAACAGCAAAUAGCCAUAAAUGAUAGGACAAUUAAAUUGGAACUCUUCACAGACCCACGAUUUAAUAUCUUUAGAUUGUAACGGUUUAACCCAAAAAAAAAAAAUAGUAAAAUAUUUCUUAAAAAAAUGAAAAAAAAAAUGUUGAAAAGAAGAACAAAAUUCUGGUCCACGUGUCAUUUCAAAAUAGGUUGCUGGCAUAAACAACCGGCCCCAUCCCGGACAGAUGUUAUUUGAGUGGUUGGUGCGCGUUUCCACUUUUUUGUUUUAGAUGCAACGACUUAUGUACUAUAUAUACAUCUCUCUCGUAUGAAUAAUGUAUAUAUAAAAUUUGCAUACAUUAUUCAUAUGAGAGAGAUGUAUCUUAUAUACAUAUAAGAUAGGAGGAUUCAUGAAUAUAAUGUUAUAUAUAUAUAUAUGGAUUCGGCUAUGGUACCACAGUGGUACCGUGCCACUUCUUUUGUUUUUUAUGGCUGUGUUAUUGUAAAUUUUCAUAUAACCCCUUUCAUUCAUUUUUAUUUACACUUUGUUUCACAAGUAUUAAGUUAAUUUCUCCCAAAUCCGUGAAUCCUUCAACGGUCGAUCAACGGCAAAUCAGCUCCUCCAGUAGCUGUCGCUGGUCGUAAAAGACAGAGGGAAUUGUGGGGAACAAAACUCAGGUGGUGGCGUCACCGGAAACCAACAAAAUCGUGGUGAAUUGAUCUGGCUUUUCACGGCUUCGAUCUGCAGCUUUUCGAACACUUUCCGGCGACAAGGAUGGCAUGGAGAUGACCGGCAUUGCAUGAGCUUCCGAUCUGUACCAACCUUGGCUGGUGGAGUGGCCGGAAACGGAAACGGCAUGCGGGUCGGGUUUGCGGGUUUGGUUUGACAUGGAGAUGACCGGCGUCGCACGAUCUUUCGAUCGGUACCAACCUUGGUUGGUGGAGUGGCCGGAAAUGAAAACAGAAUCCGGAUUGGGUUUACGAGUUCGGGUUGAUCCAAUUCUUUUCCUUGUUAAUUAUUUAAUCUAAAAAUUAUAAAGAGUGGGGUAUUGUGAUAUAGGUAUAAUAUAGAAUAAAAAUUUAUAAAUAAUAAAUAAUACAAGGUGCUAAUUAAAAUAUUUAUAUGGAUGUAGUAGAUAUUAACUUAAUAUUUGUAAAGUAAAGCUUAAAUAAAAAUGAGUGAAGGGGUUAUAACACAAAAUUUACAAUAACACAGCCAUAAAAAACAAAAUAAGUGGCACGGUACCACAAUGGUACCGUAGCCGGAUCCUAUAUAUAUAUAUAUAUAUAGAGGUAAAUGUAAUCCCUAUCUUACAUGCAUGUAAAAUAUAUUUCCCUCAUAUGAACAAUAUAUGUGUGGAAUUCACGUACUGUUUAUGUAAGAGAGAUAUAUCUUACAUACAUGUAAGAUAUGAGGAUCCAUGAAUCUAAUGUUAUUAGUUUAAAUAAUGGGUGCAACUCAUGUUUUUGAAACAUUAAGAUCUUUAGCCAUUCUCUUAUUAUCCCGUGGUUAUUUAAGUUAAAAGAGACAGUAAAAAAACAACGUCAUAUUUUAAUUACUUACACUAAAUAAAUUACUCACACUGAUGCCGCGACUGCCGCUUGCUUUUUUUCUUUUUUUUGCCCUUUUGAUUUUGACUUUUGCUUUUACUUUUUGACUUUUGCUUUUCGUUUAUAAUAAUAAUAAUAAUAACUACUUUUUAAUUUAAUAUAAUAUUAAAUAAUAUUUUUAUUUUUAAUUUUACAUUAUAAUUAUUAAUAUAUAAUUUAUUAUUUAAUAUUAUUAUAUUAUGUUUUUUAUUUUUACAUUAUAAUUUAUAAAUAAAUUUAUAAUUUAUUAUAACUAAUAAUAAAUAUUUAAAUUUGAAUAAAUUUAAAUAAUAUUAAUUUAAAAUUAAUAAUAAUAUAAAAUAUUAAUACAAUUUAAAUAUAAUAUAAUAUUUAAUUUGAAUUAAUCACAAAAAAUUAAUACAAUACAGUGUAGCACCAAACAUUGUACAUUAUUAUUAUAAUACAGUACUAAUACAAUGCAACAUAAUAUAAUACACCAACAUUAAAAUAAUACAAUCUAAUAUAAUAUAAUACAGUGUGCGAAAUGCACCGACAUGGUAUUACUUUGUUUGUCUUGUUAUUUACAAUUAUUUAAUCUGUAGACCCACUCAUGCUCCUUCUAUGUAACAUAGAUACAAUUUGAGGAAGAUUAUCAAUUUUUUUCUGAUUAAAAAUAAUAUAUACUACUUAUUUUUUAUUGUUUUUAUAAUGUUCAACAAUCCGCUUGAGAUAAAAAAAAUUAAAUGAAAAGGAGGAGUAAAUAGAUGAUUUACUUGAUGUUGUAUCUUAGAAAUAUAAAAUAUAUUUAUUUAUUAUUAAAAAUAUUUAAAAAUAAUAAAGAGUACAUAAAAAGUAUCUUAUCCUCAACAACAAGAUCAGACGACGUCAAUUCAGCAAAAUGACUUGAAUAACUUGAAAGUCUAGCAGCCGUCACCUCUAGGCGCACACAUGGCAACGUGCGUGGCUUUGGCAAGAGGUCUCCCAAAAGGACGAUUAAGAAAAGAUUGCAGGACAAAUCAUGAAAAUAGUAGUACAGAUAUGCAAUGGCUAAAUUUCCUCUAUUAAGUCCAUCGCAAUCAAGUCUUAGAAAUCACACCCCUGUAUUAAUUUCCAGAAAUAUGUUUGUUCCAUAUUCAUCGUGCACGUAUAUAUUGUAUGUAUUGGGAAUAGAAAGAGUAUGUAAAAAUUCUUCAUUCAUGGAUUAAAACUUAAUUUAUGUACGAGGGUUAAGUGUAGUGUUUUUAAAUUUAAAAAGGACAAGUGUCAAUCCACUGAGGCUUGCUUCAAUGGCUAGAGCCACACUCCCUCACAAAGUGGUUCGAUCUCCCACAAAUACAUUAUAGAGGUUUAAUUUAAAUUUUUUUCUUAAAUUUUGAGUGAAGACAGUCUUUCUUCCAGAAAUAGAAUUUUUCUGAGAGUUUGACGCCCCUCGAAUAUUUGAGAUGAUUAAAAUUUGAGCGGUGCUAUAUAAAAUAUAAAGUAAACUAAUCUAAAUAAUUGUAUAAUUAUAAAUAUAAUGAACAAUAGUCUCAUACAAAAAAAUGACAAGUGUAGUAAGUCCAUUUAAAUUAACUUAUAUUUGAGGGGAAAAUCUCUGUAUAUCAUAGUAUAUAUUAUAUAUCCAGUCGUGGGACCCAUACAUGGUUCCAUGUAAUUCGCACAGUUGAACUGGAGACACUGAUUAGUUCGUUGUCUAUUUACCAACUUAUGUACAACUAAGUAAUUUCAUGCACCAUUUGCGCCUUAUCUAUCCAGCCUGCUUGCAUUGCAUUAACUAAACAUACAAUGAAAUUAACCCUUGUAAUUUCGGCCUUUGCCAUAGUCGUUUUGUUUAUUAGGUUUAUGUUUAUCAACAUGAUAUAUUGUCAACCAUAAUCACAAUCAGGUUGUUAAUUAUUUUUAAAUAAUGUGAAGGAACAAGAUUUUGGUCUUUGAGUGUGGAGUUAAAAAUAUCUCACCUCAAUAUACGGUGUUGUGCUCUCAUCAUCGUAAUAUUAUUUGUUAAAAGUAUGUCAAAGAGGAAAGCAGAUUCAAACAUUACUUCAAUUUUCUUUAAGAGCAUAAAAAAAUCGUUAAUAGGCUACUGUUAUUUGUUAGUACGAUUUCACAAAAGGAAGCUAGAGGAAGAUGAAGCUUUCAAGUCAUGUAUGCAUCAAAGGAAGAAACAGAGCUAACGAGAUAUGGACAAUUUUAAAUUUGUCAGCAUUUUGUCAGUUCUGGCCAUAUUUUGAAAGAUUAGCACCCUAAUUUUCUUUUAAAGCUCCUUUUCUGUCGAAAUCUAUUUCAAUUUCCAAAAUAUCUUUUUUCAUUUUUUUAGUUUCUUUCUGAUUCCAAAAAAAAAAAAAAUCAGUUUCUUAAACAACUCCAACUACAAAUAUUUUUUUUUACAAAUUUUUGAAUUAUUAAAUCAUAUGUGUGUGUAUAAAUUGAAUAGAAUUAAAAGUGGACUCAAAUAGCUAUUAUGUAAUUUUUUUAUAAUUAAAGAAAAGUUUAGAAUGCAAAAGUGUGUGUGGGAAAACAAAAAAUAUAAAUUGCCUUUGAUAUAAUUAUAUAAAACGGGUAGGUUUUAUAAGAAUUUUUUAGAGGAGUGCCAAUAUUUCAACUCUUUUUCAAAUAAAGUGAUGUCCUGGAAUAAAAUCACUACUCUAUCAUUGCUAUUAGUUUGUCUUGUAUUUCAAUAAUUGCCGACAAGUAUUAAUUGUGAAUAUUAUUAUUUUAAAAAUAUUAUUAUUAUUAUCGUCGUUAUUCUUAACAGCAAUGACUAGAAUUAUAAUAAGAACAAUAACGUUAAUACAAUAAUAUAACAACAUAAUAAUAUUUUAAUUGAGAGGAUAAGAAUGAAAUUAUGAAAUUUAGGUUGGGUAAAAACGAUGAGUAUGAAGAAAUUAAAUUACCAUUUUUUAAGCUAAACAGUUCAUAAAUUCCACAUAUUUCAUACUUAUUUCUCUUAUAUUUUAACAAGUAAACAUUAUCAAUCGUUUAAUAUUUUAAUUAAUAAACACGGCAUUAACUACGGAACUAAAAGAUCCCAAAAAAAAAAAAAAAACACAGAAAGGCGUGUAUGUAUUGCUUGUGACAAAUCUCACCCAUGGAAAACUUUGUGAAAGGCAUUUGAAUGUGUGGCCACAUUAGCCUGAUGAUUGCAAUUAGUUUGUCUUUUAAUUAAAUUAUUGCCGACAAACACUAACACGACCCACGUCCGCUACUUGUGUUAAUGUGUGUAUAAAUAUCCGCAGCAUAUUAUCAAACCUGAUGCGUGAUCCUCUUUAACUUUUGGUUAGGGUUCAUCAGACGUUAGAAGACAUCUUUUCUAAUUUGAAGAAGAUGGAAACUCCUUAUCCAUGUUCUUAGGCCAUGUUCAAUUGAAUCUCAUUUAUAAUUUUUAUUUUAAUAUUAUGUAUUUAUGAAUACAAUUAUUGUUAUGACUUUUUUAGGUAAGAAUGGAUGGUCUGAGGGUAACCCAAUAACUAUGUACAGUAUUAUUAAUGAUGAGAGCGUGAAUGACAAUUUGGAUUUUUUUCUCGUCCCUCAAUACGGAAGAAAUCUUGACCAUAGCGGUUAAGUGCUAUGUAACUCUUUCGUAUUAUGUUUAAUUAAUAGUAAAAUGAUGGGUUAUUAUUACCUGUCAAUUACGUGAGUGUCUUUGUUUGGUUUAGUUCAACUUAUAUAAUCUCUUGAGAUAUACAAGAGAUUUUCUUUAUUUACUUUCAUGUACCGCGUCUUCUUGUAAAAAGAAAUUAAUAAAAAAAAUAUCAUUGUGUGCAAUGUAUUGACUAAGUUAGUGUAUUCAUGUUAGCUUAAUUGUGCUCUCUCUUCUUGGUUAAAACAAACUCCACAUAUUGUUGGUUAGCUAAUUCUUGCAGCUAGCAAGUGAUCCUUUUCUUUCCCCUACUGCUGUAGCAUCAAAUCCUUACCAUUACAUAUCAAGUGGUAUUCGAGCCGUCAAAUGAUCCAUGGAAACGCGCAACAAAUCAAAUGCUGAAUUUUGCGAAGAGAUUCACGAAAUCCUUGCUGUACAUGAGUCUAGUUUAUUUCAAACUACGCGUGCAAUGUUCCCGUUAUUGUUUAGUAUGUCUUUUGUUGUUUGCAAUGUAGUUAGGGAUGUUAGCGGGUAGGAUUUGGUACGGGUUUGAUAUUACCAAAAGCUGCAUUUGUAAAAAAAUUUUAAUUAUCAAAUUCAUUGUGGGUUUUAUUUAUUCUUUUAACAAAGCCCAUCAGCUGUGGGUUUAAAUGGUACCUGAUGGAUAUUUUGUGAGUUCCCACGUAUAAAAUCACACUUGCAACAAAACCUAAAAACUUAAAUUACGUAAUUCAAAUUAUAAAUUUAUAAUCAUAGUCUAAAAAACCACAUAAAAUACUUAAUUCUAGAUUUUAUCAAUGUAAAUGAGAAAUGAAAGUUUUAAUAUUAAAAUAAAUACACAAAAUAUAUCAAUUUAACACAAAUUUUCAAAAUUAAUUAUCAAAUACGUAAGUCUAUCGCAACUCAAAGUGCUUUCAAUUGAAAACGAAAAAGAGAAAGAGAAAAAAAACAAAGAACUACAAAUCAAAGUAGCACCCAUGACCCAUUUUGCAGUCUCAUUCAAUACCACUAGCACCCAUCCAACACGAUUUUUCUAAACAAAGUAUAAAGUACAAAAUUACAAUAAGCAUAUCAUACUCCAUGCUUUAAGUUAAAGAUCCUAAUAUAUUUUUAUGAAUAAUUUUUUAAUGAAAUUUUAUGAUUAAAAUUAAAAAUACAAACAUUCAAAUAAGAAUGUCGGACACUUGCGUAACUAUUUACCAAAUUUUUUCUCUAUAAAAAUCGACCUGCAACUUUCAAUAGGUUUAAAUUUAUAAUAUCAAACCUAAUUGCAGCUCGCAAAAAUUAUCCGUUGCGGCCAAGACUUUGGAUUUGCGAUGAUUUUGCCACCCUAAGUGUAGUUAGUAUUGUAUAUCAUGUGGCUCUUAUAAAAAGCCUAGAAGUUGUUUAAAUAACGGGGGAGACACAUAUCUCCCAAAGAUUUUCUCUUUUUCAAAUUAUUAUUUUUUCUCUAUUAUUGUAACUUCGAAUCCUUAUAAAUUACAGAUUGGAGACAUGAACACAAUGUUUUGACAUAGUAGACUUUUGGCUUGUCCAGAGUAAUUUAGGAUAGAUUUUUACGCACUAAGGCUCUAUUUACUAUUGAAGUUUUAGANNNNNNNNNNNNNNNNNNNNNNNNNNNNNNNNNNNNNNNNNNNNNNNNNNNNNNNNNNNNNNNNNNNNNNNNNNNNNNNNNNNNNNNNNNNNNNNNNNNNUAAAUAUAUAAUCCCAAGAAAACCAGUAAUAAUAAUGGAAUCCUCCGUAAACAAAUAAUUAAAUAAUAGCAAAUAAUAAGUGGACAAAGCUAAGUUCCAGAGAUGAUAUAGGAAAUUCUCCCGCACGACACGGCAGAAACAAACUUUCCCUUUCAUUUUCUUUUCUCUUUCUCGCUCUCCAAACAGAGCAAAAGGACCGUGGCAAGAUUCUUCACUUCCAUCCAAAAUCAUGAGCAACGAAUAGUGAGCCUCCCUGUUUCCUUCCUUUUUUUGAUAUUAACCUUGUUAACAUAUACUCAUUUUAAUUUGACAAUACUUCAACUUUUUUUAUUUUUUUGCCUUUUCAUUUUUUUUGUUGAAGCAAUUAUCUGUUCAAGCUGUUGCUCAUCGGAGACUCGUCCGUCGGAAAGUCUUGCCUGCUGCUCCUAUUUGCUGUCUGUUGACUUUUCCUUUCCCUUCUUAUUUUCUUUUUUUAUAUUAAUUACUUUCUAUUUUAGCUUUUUGUUCUCUGAAUUUGUGUUAUUAAAAUGAUAAUUUAGAUGAUAAAUAAUUGUUAUUCUUGUAAAUUUCGGUUUUCAUUACGUUAAUUGUUAGUUUUUAGGUUUAUUAAUGUAAUUUUUUUUUUCAAUUUUUCAGGAUGAUUCUUAUGUCAUAGCUACAUCAGUACCAUUGGAGUUGAUUUUGUGAGUCUCUCUUCUAUAUAUAUGUAUAUAUGUGUAUAAGUUAUAAUAUGAGUCUAUGUACGUGUAUGUAUGUAUGUGUAUGCAUAUGGGGAAAGAAAUGUUGGCAGACUUCAGCAUUUUACUCUUUUUUUUUUUUUUUUGGCAGAAAAUAAGAACUGUGGAGCUGGAUGGGAAGACGAUCAAACUGCAGAUUGUGAGUCAAAAUUUCCUUUUAUCUUGUAUUGAGAGAAAUUCGAUUUGUCUUAUUUAGUGAAGGUUAUUUUCAAGAACCUUGUCUUAUUUUCUUUGUUUGAAGAGUGGUAUGUUGAAAUGAGUGUAUUUGUCUUAUAAACAUCAUUUAGGUAAUGUCUUAUGUUUGAUUGUUUUUAAUCUGUUUAGUGGGACACUGCUGGACAGGAGCGUUUCAGGACUAUAACUAGCAGUUAUUACCGAGGAGCCCAUGGAAUCAUAGUAAGGAGCCUUCCCGUUCUUGGUUUAAAUCAGAAAGUUUGUGAUUUACAUGUGACAUCUUAACAGCAUUGUAUGUGUUUAUUAACUUAUUUUUCAUCUUUCAUUAAGCAGUACAUUUUCCAAUAAAUCUGUAUACAAGAUGAUGUAGUCCAAGAAUGGGAGCCAUAAUAUGAUGCAAAUUGUCUAAUAAAUUCUUAUGACAUAUGAUGUUGUCGGAAGUAAAAGUCUUGCAAUGCUGUAUUCUCUUUUAAGAAAGAAUAAGUGGUAAUUUUGUUUUUCCAAUUUUUUAAUUGAGCAACUGUAUGAGAUUAAUUAAAUGUGUUGGGAUUUCAACAGAUUGUCUAUGAUGUAACUGGGAUGGAGAGCUUCAAUAAUGUCAAGCAGUGGUUGAAUGAGAUUGACAGAUACGCAAAUGACAGUGUAUGCAAGCUUCUAGUUGGGAACAAAUGCGAUUUAGUUGUGAACAAGGUUGUGGACACACAGACAGCCAAGGUAUAUUCAUGACUUUUGUCGCCUGAACUUUGAAUAUAAUUUUAAACUCUUCUCAAGUGCAUUUGCUUGGUAAGUUUCUGCAUACCCAGGACACUCAAACUUUGGACAGUCUGUAUCUCGAGUUGGAAUCUUUUCUGUCAAUACGACUUGUUAAAAUAAGGGUUAUUAUUGUUUGAAUCAUUCAAGAAUUGCAAUAAAUCUAAAGUCCAUAAAAAAUAUGAUUCCAUCAUUUUACUAUUAUAUCUAGACAAAAUCCAUUAUUUUACUACAUUUCAUUGGCACCGAUAGUUGACCUGUUGGCUGACUGAUAAAAUAUCAAUUUUGCACUUUAUAUUAAUUAUUUUUUGGUUAAAAAAUAACACACAAAGUAUUACAAUAUUAUAAAUUCAAAAUAUAAAGUAGUUAAAAAUAAUUCCUAUUAGCCUAUGAAUAUAAUAUUUGAUACCUCUAUUUGUGUAAUUUUUUUCCAAUGGUGAAAUUGUUAUUUUUUUUGUACUAACGGAAAUGUAGUAAAAUCAUAAGUUUUGUAAAGAUAUAGUAGUAAAAUGAUAGACUAAAAUACUUCUUGUAGUUGUUUGAUAUAUUGUAAUUCUUAAAGUAGUCAAUUGAUAAUAUCCCCUAAAAUAAAUGUUCGUAAUAUGUUCUCAUUUUAAUGCAACUGAUUGUUUAAUAAAAUUGUAUUUCUUUGUUAAUCUUUUAUCAUGUGCAUGCUCAGUGAGAAUUUGACUUACUAGAACACAAGUUUGACUUUUCAUUUAAAUGUCUCUUGUAUCAUAUCCUUCAAUGUUGAGUGUGAUUCCAAUAAAAUUGAGUAGGGAGAUCCUUAAAUACCUUUUCCUUUUUUCCAAGGGCCUGCCAAAUUGCUCUAAGUGGCUCUACCCUUUAUCAAUGAAUAAUGAAAAUAAAAUUUUUAUUAAAGCAUUUUGUUCCUUAAAUGGUGACUAAUAGUACCCCUUUUUUUGGAGAGGAAAGCCAAACAUGCCCAAAGAGAAUCAUUUACUUUCCUCUAAUGUAUUUUCUAAUUCGUUUUGAGCCUUGAAUGUCUGUUUUGGUGCGUAUUCUCAUUCCAUGUCGAAUCUUAUCCAUAUGGACAACCCCACUUACAAAAAAGUCUAAUGAAUCUAUUGAAGUUCAUAUGAGGUUUGUGCUUUAGAUUUAGACCUCUCUCUCUCUCUCUCUCUCUCUCCACUUACAUGUCUUUCACUUACCUGUUUGCAUGCACGCCCAUGCACACACUUUCAAGAUAAUACACGGUCACUCGUACUUGUGUUUUGGUUGAAUUACUGGCUGCUAACCUCUGUAAUUCAGUUUGAAACUUGCCACCCUUAGUGCUUCACUCAAAUGGUUGGUUAGGGUGAGAUCUGUAUCGUUUUCCUGGUCUCUUUCCAAGGUUAUCUAAAGGGAUUUGGCAGUCUGAUUCUUUAGGGAAUAUCAUUGCAUAAGAUAUCUAUUGUUUGUUAAUGAAUAAUUUCUAUUUAACUAGUUAUCUAUAUAAAUUGGUAAAUUUUAACUGCAUAAUUUGCAUGCAAUAAGAUUUUAUAAGAAUCUUGUUUUCAACUCAUGACUUAGACUAAUGUGAUAUGUUGAGCAUUAAGCUACAAGAUCUGAACAUCAAAGUGCUUCACAAUGUUAAGGAGAAAGCAUCUUUUUCUGCUUCUUCAUGUGAUUUAAAGUUUCCAAGGUACUUAUUCUAUAAAAUAUCUUUCAAGACUUUGGAAAUGCUUUUAUGUAUGACUGAGAGAAACUUGUUGGGUUGGUUUUUAGCAACAGACGGAGUUAUGGACUUUGUGUUGACUUGUUAAUGAUUAAGACAGUACAUCGGCUGAUCUAUUGGCAUCAAGCAGCAGAUGCAGAAAUUAUGGGUGGCAUGUCAUUGUAUCCAAAUAAUGUACUACAUUGAUUUUUCUGACUUUCUGUUGGUCUCCGAGUGAAAUGCAGGCAUUUGCAGAUGAACUGGGGAUUCCUUUCCUG
rnacentral:lncRNA from 1 species